GUUUUCCUAAUUUCUAAAUCACAAACCCAAAUCUAAAUUAUUUCUCAAAAAAUUGAAAACUUUCCAAAAAUAGCAAUUUUAAGAAAAUUAUUUAUAAAUACUAUAUACAGUUGAAAAAUUCUGAAAGAAUACUCAUCUAUCCACAAAUAUUCUUGUUAUCCUAAUUUCUAAAUCACAAACCCAAAUCUACAGUAUUUCUCAAAAAAAUGAAAACUUUCCAAAAAUAGCAGUUUUUAAGAAAAUUAUUUAAAAAUACUAUAUAUUGAUGAAAAAUUCUGAAAGAAUACUCAUCUAUCCACAAAUAUUUUUGUUAUCCUAAUUUCUAAAUCACAAACCCAAAUCUACAGUAUUUCUCAAAAAAAUGAAAACUUUCCAAAAAUAGCAGUUUUUAAGAAAAUUAUUUAAAAAUACUAUAUACAGAUGAAAAAUUCUGAAACAAUACUCAUCUAUCCUAAAAUAUUCUUGUUAUCCUAAUUUCUAAAUCACAAACCCAAAUCUACAGUAUUUCUCAAAAAAUUGAAAACUUUCCAAAAAUAGCAGUUUUUAAGAAAAUUAUUUAUAAAUACUAUAUACUGAUGAAAAAUUCUGAAACAAUACUCAUCUAUCCUAAAAUAUUCUUGUUAUCCUAAUUUCUAAAUCACAAACCCACAUCUACAGUAUUUCUAAAAAAAUUGAAAACUUUCCAAAAAUAGCAGUCUUUAAGAAAAUUAUUUAAAAAUAAUAUAUAUAGAUGAAAAAUUCUGAAAGAAUACUCAUCUAUCCACAAAUAUUCUUGUUAUCCUAAUUUCUAAAUCACAAACCCAAAUCUACAAUAUUUUUCAAAAAAUUGAAAACUUUCCAAAAAUAGCAGUUUUUAAGAAAAUUAUUUAUAAAUACUAUAUACAAAUGAAAAAUUCUGAAAGAAUACUCAUCUACCUUAAAAUAUUCUUGUUAUCUUAAUUUCUAAAAUUCUAUUUAAGGAAAGUUUUUAUUUUUAUUGAGAAUUGUUGUAGUUUUGGGGUUCUGAUUUAAAAAUUUUGAUAACAAGAAUUUUUGUUGAUAGAUGUGUAUUAUUUCAGAUUUUUUGUUCAAUAGUUGUAAUUUUAAAAAAUAAUUCUCAAAAAUUCUAUUUUAGGAUAGUUUUCAUUUUUAUAGAAAUAUUGUAGAUUUGGGGUUGUGAUUUAGAUAUUAGGAUAACAAGAAUUUUUGUUGAUAGAUGAGUAUUUUUUAAGAUUUUUUUUAUCAAUAUGUUGUAUAUUUUAGAUAAAAUUCUCAAAAAUUCUAUUUAAGGAAAGUUUUUAUUUUUAUUGAGAACUUUUGUACAUUACUUUUAAAGUCUCUAAAACUUUAAUAACAGAACUUCAGUUUUGAUCAAUAGGUUGAUGUGUAUUCUUUUAAAAGUUUUGAUCAAUAGGUUGUAUAGUUUAGAUAAAAUUCUCAAAAAUUCUAUUUUGGAAAGUUUUCAUUUUUUUGAAUAAUAGUGUGGAUUUAGGAUUUUGGUGUAGAAAUUAGGAUAACAAGAAUUUUUUGUUUAUUGAUGAGUAUUCUUUUAGAUUUUUUUUAUCAAUAGUUAUAUUUUUUUAAAGUAAUUCUCAAAAUUCUAUUUUAGGAAAGUUUUAGUUUUUAUAGAAAUUUUUUAGAUUUGGGGUUGUGGUGUAAAAUUAGGAUAACAGUAAUUUUUGUUGAUUGAUGAAUAUUUUUUAAGAUUAUUUUUUAUCAAUAGGCUGUAUAUUUUAGAUAAAAUUCUCAAAAAUUCUAUUUAAGGAAAGUUUUUAUUUUUAUUGAGAACUGUUGUAGUUUUUGGGGUUCUAAUUUAGAAAUUAGGAUAACAAGAAUUUUUGUUGAUAGAUGAGUAUUUUUUAAGAUUUUUUAUCAAUAGGUUAUAUAUUUUAGAUAAAAUUCUCAAAAAUUCUAUUUAAGGAAAGUUUUUAUUUUUAUUGAGAACUGUUGUAGUUUUUGGGGUUCUAAUUUAGAAAUUAGGAUAACAAGAAUUUUUGUUGAUAGAUGAGUAUUUUUUAAGAUUUUUUAUCAAUAGGUUAUAUAUUUUAGAUAAAAUUCUCAAAAAUUCUAUUUAAGGAAAAUUUUUAUUUUUGUUGAGAACUAUGGUAGUUUUGAGGUUCUAAUUUAGAAAUUAGGAUAACAAAAAAUUUUGUUGAUAGAUGUAUAUUCUUUUAAAAGUUUUGAUCAAUAGGUUGUAUACUUUAGAUAAAAUUCUCAAAAAUUCUAUUUAUGGAAAGUUUUCAUUUUUGUGAAUAAUAUUGUGGAUUUGGGUUUAUAAUUAGAAAUUAGAACAACAAGAAUUUUUUGUUUAUAGAUGAAUAUUCUUUUAGAUUUUUUUAUCAAUAGUUGUAUUUUUAAAAAAUAAUUCUCAAAAAUGAUAUUUUAGGAAAGUUUUCAUUUUUUAUAGAAAUAUUUUAGAUUAGGGGUUGUGAUUUAUAAAUUAGGGUUACAAGAAUUUUUGUUGAUAGAUGAGUAUUUUUUAAGAUUUUUUUAUCGAUAGGUUUUUUAUUUUAGAUAAAAUUCUCAAAAAUUCUAUUUAAGGAAAGUUUUUAUUUUUAUUGAGAACUAUUGUAUUUUUGAGGUUCUGAUUUAGAAAUUAGGAUAACAAGAAUUUUUGUUGAUAGAUGUGUAUUCUUUAAGAUUUUUUUAUCAAUAUGUUGUAUAUUUUAGAUAAAUUGUCUAAAAUUCUAUUUAAGGAAAGUUUUUAUUUUUAUUGAGAAUUGUUGUAGUUUUGGGGUUCUGAUUUAGAAAUUUUGAUAACAAGAGUUUUUGUUGAUAGAUGUGUAUUAUUUCAGAUUUUUUGUUCAAUAGUUGUAAUUUUAAAAAAUAAUUCUCAAAAAUUCUAUUUUAGGAUAGUUUUCAUUUUUAUAGAAAUAUUGUAGAUUUGGGGUUGUGAUUUAGAUAUUAGGAUAACAAGAAUUUUUGUUGAUAGAUGAGCAUUUUUUAAGAUUUUUUUAUCAAUAUGUUUUAUAUUUUAGAUAAAAUUCUCAAAAGUUCUAUUUAAGGAAAGUUUUUAUUUUUAUUGAGAACUAUUGUACAUUACUUUUAAAGUCUCUAAAACUUUAAUAACAUAACUUCAGUUUUGAUCAAUAGGUUGAUGUGUAUUCUUUUAAAAGUUUUGAUCAAUAGGUUGUAUAGUUUAGAUAAAAUUCUCAAAAAUUCUAUUUUGGAAAGUUUUCAUUUUUUUGAAUAAUAGUGUGGAUUUGGGAUUUUGGUUUAGAAAUUAGGAUAACAAGAAUUUUUUUGUUUAUUGAUGAGUAUUCUUUUAGAUUUUUUUUAUCAAUAGUUAUAUUUUUUAAAAGUAAUUCUCAAAAAUUCUAUUUUAGGAAAGUUUUAGUUUUUAUAGAAAUUUUGUAGAUUUGGGGUUGUGAUGUAAAAUUAGGAUAACAAUAAUUUUUGUUGAUUGAUGAAUAUUUUUUAAGAUUUUUUUUAUCAAUAGGCUGUAUAUUUUAGAUAAAAUUCUCAAAAUUUCUAUUUAAGGAAAGUUUUUAUUUUUAUUGAGAACUAUUGUAGUUUUGAGGUUCUGAUUUAGAAAUUAAGAUAACAAGAAUUUUUGUUGAUAGAUGUGUAUUCUUUAAGAUUUUUUUAUCAAUAGGUUGUAUAUUUUAGAUAAAAUUCUCAAAAAUUCUAUUUAAGGAAAGUUUUUAUUUUUAUUGAGAACUAUUGUAGUUUUUGGGGUUCUGAUUUAGAAAUUAGGAUAACAAGAAUUUUUGUUGAUAGAUGAGUAUUUUUUAAGAUUUUUUUAUCAAUAGGUUUUAUAUUUUAGAUAAAAUUCUCAAAAAUUCUAUUUAAGGAAAAUUUUUAUUUUUGUUGAGAACUAUGGUAGUUUUGAGGUUCUGAUUUAGAAAUUAGGAUAACAAAAAAUUUUGUUGAUAGAUGUGUAUUCUUUUAAAAGUUUUGAUCAAUAGGUUGUAUACUUUAGAUAAAAUUCUCAAAAAUUCUAUUUUUGGAAAGUUUUCAUUUUUGUGAAUAAUAGUGUGGAUUUGGGUUUAUAAUUAGAAAUUAGAACAACAAGAAUUUUUUGUUUAUAGAUGAAUAUUCUUUUAGAUUUUUUGAUCAAUAGUUGUAUUUUUAAAAAAUAAUUCUCAAAAAUUAUAUUUUAGGAAAGUUUUCAUUUUUUAUAGAAAUAUUUUAGAUUAGGGGUUGUGAUUUAUAAAUUAGGAUUACAAGAAUUUUUGUUGAUAGAUGAGUAUUUUUUAAGAUUUUUUUAUCAAUAGGUUUUUUAUUUUAGAUAAAAUUCUCAAAAAUUAUAUUUAUGGAAAGUUUUUAUUUUUAUUGAGAACUAUUGUAGUUUUGAUGUUCUGAUUUAGAAAUUAGGAUAACAAGAGUUUUUGUUGAUAGAUGUGUAUUCUUUAAGAUUUUUUUAUCAAUACGUUGUAUAUUUUAGAUAAAUUGUCUAAAAUUUUAUUUAAGGAAAAUUUUUAUUUUUAUUGAGAACUAUUGUAGUUUUGGGGUUCUGAUUUAGAAAUUUUGAUAACAAGAAUUUUUGUUGAUAGAUGUGUAUUCUUUUAGAUUUUUUGAUCAAUAGUUGUAAUUUUAAAAUAUAAUUCUCAAAAAUUCUAUUUUAUGAAAGUUUUCAUUUUUUAUAGAAAUAUUGUAGAUUUGGGGUUGUGAUUUAGAUAUUAGGAUAACAAGAAUUUUUGUUGAUAGAUGAGUAUUUUUUUAAGAUUUUUUAAUCAAUAGGUUGUAUAUUUUAGAUAAAAUUCUCAAAAUUCUAUUUAAGGAAAGUUUUUAUUUUUAUUGAGAAUUAUUGUACAUUACUUUUAAAGUCUCUAAAACUUUAAUAACAGAACUUAAGUUUUAAAUCUAUAUAUAAAUCGACAACUAAUGCCUAAUGAUUGGCCUAUAUUACUUUUAAUCCACCAUAAGCCUGUUAAAAGAUGUCACUAGUUGGAACUAUUAUAGCUUUAAAACGUUGUAAGAUGUCCUUGAAAAUUUUAGCCAUUCUUAGUAGUACUAUGACGAAAAUUUCGGGAUCGACUCUACAUAAAAUAGGUCAACAUGUGUUCCAUUUAGUAUUGUCCUUAUAUACUAGAUCUCGCAGGUUCUGUUAGGCUGAUCCUAUGUAUUUAGGCGUCUAAAACAGAACUAAAUAUCUUGAUAACUUUAAUCUUUUAUAUGAAUUUUAGCGCAUAAUAUUAGUGCUUUACGAGUUUGAAUAUUGGUCACCUUAGUAUGCAUUAUUACCUACACACAUACACAUGUUAUAUUUAAAUUGUAUCUAAAAAUGGUUCUGAAUAUUUUUGGUCGUAUACACAUAUAUACAUUUAUACCUAUACAAGGAAAUGGUAUAUUUUAGAAAAUGGUAAAGCGUGGGGAGAAGAAUAUAAGGUGACAAAUAUUCCAACGAGUUUUUUUUUAAACAUAAUGUCAGAGAACUGAAACUGUUCUUAACAGAGCAACCAUGAAAGAUGUAUGCGUGGGGUUCUUCUCUUUCCUCAGGUUUCCAUUUUUGGCAAUCAAAAAGAUUACAUACGAUAACACAACCAUCACCGAAUCACAAACAUCACAUGCCUAUAUGUAUAUGUCUCUGUGUUGUAUAUUAGACAUUGUUCUAGGAGAGAGACCAAGAGAAGAAGAGUUAGAUGGAUAUCUCAUUUUUCCAAGCAUACCCUUUUGAUCUCCCUUGCAGUAGAGCAUUUAAUGGGGAUGGAGAAAACAAUGUAGUGGAGUUCUCUAAUAAAACAAUGAUGGUGAAGGUGAGUGAUGAAUCAAAGAAGAAGCAGAGAUGUUCUAGGGUUUGUAGUAGAGGACAUUGGAGAGUUUCUGAGGAUUCUCAGCUCACGGAACUUGUUUCUGUUCACGGUCCUCAAAACUGGAACCACAUUGCAGAGAAGAUGCAAGGACGAACAGGUAAAAACCAAUCUUUCCUCUGCUAUUUUUAUCAAGAAGUGAAUUUAAAAUGUUUUUUUUCUUGCUUCUUUGGGUUGUUGAAGGCAAGAGUUGCAGACUGAGGUGGUUUAACCAGUUAGACCCAAGGAUCAACAAGAGAGCUUUCAGUGUUGAGGAAGAAGAGAGGCUACUUGCAGCUCACGGAGCAUUUGGUAACAAAUGGGCUAUGAUUGCUAAGAUUUUCAAUGGAAGAACAGACAAUGCCUUAAAGAAUCAUUGGCAUGUCCUCAUGGCAAGAAAGUUGAGGCAGCAAUCAAGUUCUUACACCAGGAGAUUCAAUGGGUCUGCUCAUAAACCUAAUGCAGAUCACACAAGCUUCAAUAUCUCUCCUGGUUUGUGUCUUCUUAAUCUUAUCUAGUAACGAGCUUAUGGGAACAUACUAAUUGAGCUCAAAAUUUCUUCACUAUAGUUAAUAUAUCACAGAGGAAAAAGCUGACUAGAUUGCAAGUUGUAGGGAGAUUCACUUGGUGCUGAUGAGUUUUUAAGCUUCAUGCUUCUUUGUGUUUUUCAUGUUCUGUAGAUGAUGACGAGAUGAAUAUGGAAAAGAACAGCUGGAAAAUGCUAAAAGAGGGAACAACUAACAUGAAAGCUCAGUAUCUCCAAGAAGAGUAUCGUUCUCCACGCAUGCCAAUGCAUGGCCACUACUCAACCUUCUCUGCAGAUUCCUUGGCACUGACACUGCAUGUCUCCAUCCAAGAACCAUCAUCAUCAUUGUCGUCAUUAUCUCUGCCAUCAUCAUCAGCAGAAUAUACAAUGGUGGCCACCAAACCUCCAGCAUUUAUAGAUUUUCUUGGGGUGGGCCACCAAAGCCUCAACAUCUAAAGGAAACAAAAAAAGAGUGGGAGCUAAUCAAGAACUUGGUUACUCCUAUCAUUGUUAUCAGAUUCCAUGUCUUUUUUUUUUUUAUCAACUUCAGAUUCCAUGUCUUUAUGUAAGCUAUUAACAUGACAAGCUAAGAAAUCAUCAAGUGUCUUCUUUUCUAUUUCUCCAUGUGCUAUUUAUUAAAUUUCUUGACAAAAUAUUGAAAACCUGAUUAAUAUCAUUGUUGUACAAUUACUCAAAAGUUUUCAAAAUAUCAUGAAAGUCUGAUUAAUAUCAAGAAUCAUGUCUAAGUGUUUUAACAUACACAAUCUCAUCCCAAAAGGAUAAGGAUCAAUAAGCUAAGAGUGUGCUUUGAAGUACAAAAGAAUUGAUAUGGUUAAAGAAAAAUAUAAUAUCAUAUGAUUCAGCAGAAGCUAUUCUCCAUGAACUUCAGAAAUUCAUUGAAAUCGAUUAUUCCGUCUUUGUUUCCAUCUAGUGAUCUGAUCAUAACCAUGCAAUUCUCUACACAUGAUCCUUCUUUGAACCCUAGUGUUGUCAAAACUCUCUGCAACUCUGUAGUGUCGAUAAAGCCAUCUCUGUUCUCAUCGAACACAUCAAAAGCUUGCUUCACCUCCUCUAAGCUCGCCUCUUUCUCUUCGAACAAACUCGAAAUUUCCUUGGAACUGUACCGUUCUUGAAGCCCAUCGCUUUCUGAGUCGGGUGAAAGCCCUAAGCUUCUCAUAACAAUCUCUGCGUCUUCUUUACAGAGUUCAUCUUCUUCUCGUUCUUCUAUGUGUUUGAUCAAACUCUCUUCAACACGUUGGUGGUGUUGAAGAAGAGGAAAGAAUGUGGAUAAAAAGAUGCGAGGAGAAGAAAGCCAUCUGCAGAACCGACGAGGAACAAGUUGAACAGAGUAAAGAAAGUGAUAGAAGAAGAUUGUUUGCACUCAGACAUGAAACUCUUCUCCAUGAAUGUGUAUCAAUGAACUAAACGUGUUAGAGGAGAUGUUGAAGAUAUAGAAUUUGUCUGCAUAGAGGAAAUAUAUAUAUAGAGAUUAUAGUGUUUUCUAAAAAGGCAAAAGAGAGGAAGGUGGUAGUGCAGGUAGAUACAAAAACAAAGACCGUGUUUGAAAAGAUAUAAAAAAGGAAAAUAGGAUGUUUCUUUCCAACUAUUAUAACAUUGUUGAAAUUGUUAAGAGUUUUUGGUCUUUUUUGAAGGAAAGUCUGGUCGGCUAGACUUUUUAUUAUAAAACAGUUAAAUUUUUCUUCGUUUUGUUACUAAAGAAAAAGGAAAUAUACAACUACUAACCUAAUUCAUGGUCAAGGUCUCCCUUCAGUUUCCACACGUCAGUGUAUCUCGAAGUGAUUCACACUAUUUGUAGAGAAUUCAAUAGAUAAUACAAUUAUACAACUUGAGAAAUGCAUCAACAUUUUCAUCAGUAGUUUCCUGACCUGUGUAAUAUGAGGUUCCGAAUUAUCGCAUGACAGGGGAUGGAUCUAACCAUCCCACAAGGCCCAAGGAAUAGAAGGCCUGGCCCGGACCAAAGAAAGCGAUGGCUCGGAUAGUCGGCUUAAAAGGUCAGUCUCUCGGCUCGCCUCUAGAGUACCUUGAGUCGACCGUCGUCGACUAAGAGGCAUCCAGCUCGGCGACCGCUCGGAUGAAUAUGGGCCUUUCGGCCAAAUAAGGAAAGCCCACGAAGACGACAUAAGCUAGGUCAAGAACGACACAUCAGAGGACUAUAUAAGGAGAAGGAAUAAGAAUGAGAAAAGGAUCCGAAAUCAUCUGACUAACACUUGGCGGCUAGAUUAGGGUUUUCACCUUUACUUCAUCUUGCCGUUAUUUGUACUUUUCCGGUAGCUCGUCGAGUUACCGGCCUCUUCUCUGUCGCAUUCUCUCUACUUCUCUUGUAACCGACUGAACGUUUCUUCCGACCAUAAUAAAACGUCUUUGUUAAACCCACAUCUCUUUUAUCACCGUUUUCCGAUCAAACAACAAGAAAACUGUUACAUACAGUUACAAAAAAAAAAAAACUGCUACAUAUAUGUAGUGUGACAUACAUUGUUUGAUCAAAAAACAAAAGACAUACGUUGUUAUACCAUGUUUAGCAGUAGGUUGGUUUGAUAGUUUUUUCAUAAUUUUUUUGUAGUACUUGAUCAUUACAUAUAUAAUGUGUUAUUCUUGAGUUAUUUCUUUAGUAAAAUUGAUAACUCAAUUGUUAACCCAACAUCAAACAAUUUUUUCAUGUAUUAGAAAUUGAGUAAAUAAUUUUUUUGGUGUUCCACUAGUUAUCCUACGGUUACCUUUUUCUUUUUAACAAUUUUAACUUUUAAUGUAUCCAUGUCAUACGUUUAGGUUUCUUAGUUAAUGAAACAUUUUCAAAAAAAAUAUAGCUGUUUAGUAGUUAGUCAAAACGUUUCCUAUUUGAAUUAUUUUAAAAUAUUAUUCCAAUUAUUUUAAUGCUAAUUCUAUUUGGUAGCUAAAAUUUUACAUACAUAAAGUUGUAUGUAAAUAUAUAGGUAUCUUUUUUAGACUAUAUACAUAAUCAUAUUAUUUAAUUUAAAUUUAAAUUUAAAUUAAUUUAUUUUAAUUUUGAUAUGUUAUUUUAACUUAAUUAAUUUAUAUUAAAUUUUAUUAUGAUUGAUAUGCAUAUUUUUUUAAAAAAUACUGCAAUUUAAAUAUCAAAAUAGUUACCAGCCAAUAAUUUUAACGGCGAAUAUACUACGUACUUUUACAGUUUCUAUUACGUAAUUUUUACUGAAAGAUAUUAAUAAUGUCUCACUGCAUGUUUUUUAAGUAUUUGUUACAAAAGAAAUUAUAUAACUCGUAGGAAGUGAAGAUGAGUGGCUCUGACGCUCCGUCUCAUAAUGUCUUCAUGUACGGUAGACUCCAACAAUAUUCAUCAAGUUACGGCAGACUUCUACAACAUUCGUUAACAAUUUUAUGUUCAAAUUGGAUAUAUGGUAAAAUUAAGACGUUAUGAGACGGAACGUCAUUCUAUCAUGAGCAUAUAUAAGUAGGAGCUUGAUCCAUUACCGCAGACUCCUACAACAUUCAUUAACAAUUUUAUGUUCAAAUUGGAUGUAUGGUAAAAUUAAGACAACAGACGUUAUGAGACGGAGCGUCAUUCCAUCGUGGGCAUAUAUAUAUGUAAGAGUCUGGUCCAACCCUCUUAAUUUUACCAUAUGUCCAAUUUGAACAUAAAUCUGUUAAUCACUCCUACUUAUAUAUGCUCAUGACACAAGAAUACUGGCUCUUACAUUAUUCCGCUUCUUUUUCUUUACCGGUUUGAAAAGCCAUGUUAUAUUUCCAGAUAAAGCUCAUUCCAACGAAUGAACACGUUUUAAACAGUAUGAUUGAUGCUUGAUGAGUUUUUUAUAUCCUGAAAUUCUGUGUGAUGUGACAAGAGAUUUACAGUAGAGCCAUUUUCAAAGAAAAAGACUGAGGAUUGGGGGAGUUUUUCUUAUGCAUAAGUAUUGUAUUUAGUUAAAAUUUGCAGAAAUCAUAUUUUUACCCUCUAUAUUUACUGUGCAUUCGCGAAAAUAUCUAUCAACAAAAGAACAAUAUUUAAAGUUAUGCCUCCAAUUCAUAUGAUUAGUGAUGAAUUAUUUGACCCACAAAAGAUUUUGUAGUCCAACUAUUGGGUGAUAGAGUCAUUGAUAUUUGUUCUUUAAAAGGUGCCACAAGAUCCCCAUAAAAAUUUGUACUACUCUCAUAUCUUUUUUCAUCAUUUACCUUCCCCAUGGCCCCUCUCAUUCCAACCUGAAUAAUCAAAUAAAUUGUUUGGUUAACCAUGUCAAAACAUAGAUAUUAUAAAUGAAUCUUAACACUACGAACAAAGAAUCGUUUUUAAAGUUAACGAUAGAAAAUUAAGAAAAAAUGUAACUGGAGCUGUCGCCAUCUUUCCAGCUCUCAACAUUUUGUCUGGAAUGUGGUGAAAAAAUUUCAGUGCUUGAAUAUGGAUGUCAUAGUUCAGAUCAGUGAUACUAAUUCAAAACAUAGAAAAAACAUUGCUGACUAAAGGUCUAAUCGUCCUUGAUUAAAUAAAGGCAUCAGUUCACUAUUUCGUAGUCAUAUCUAACCAAAACUUAGAAACUAUUUAUAGUUAAACUUUUUAAAAAUUAAUACUUACUUGAUUAAUUAUAACAUGUUAAAAUAUUAAAUUUAGAAGUUUCGAAUUGAUCUGUAUAAAAAUUAAUAAAUUAGAAUGAGAUGAUAUUUUAAAGUUCUUAUAUAGAUAUAUAAUUCCAAUAAUGAUUAUAUAAAUUUAUACAUAUAUAACGGAAAAUACUAAAAUAUGACUCAGUGUUUUUGUUUUAUGUGAAUUAUCUAAGCUCGAUUUAUUCUUAUUUGAUGAGAAUUAUGUGUAGCUAUGGUUUUUUUGAAACAUUUCUAAAUUAUGGUAUCUGUAUUAUUGUUUAAGAAGUUUUUUUUUACUGAUUUUUUAUGUUCUCCACAAUUUUAUAUUGAUGAAUCAUUAGUUUUAAUAAAUAAUAUUAUAGAUUCCAUUGAUUUGUAAGUUCUUGCUUUUUUAUGACCACAUGGUUAAGCAAAGAAAAAAAAAGAACUACCAUGCAAUUCAUGAUUCUUUGCCCAAGAAAAUAAAAGAGGAUACUCGUUUCUUUUCUUUUUUUUUGUUCAAAGAGGAUACUCGUUUCUAUGUUCCGUCUUUAUCAUCUUCUAUCCAACAUUUAAAUUUAAACUAAACAUUUUCUGAUAAUUAAAAUACAUAAGUUGGUCAACUUGUGAGCUGUAAUAGCAUUAAUUGAUUACGUAUUAGCCAGGUUUGAUUUAUAUUUUCCCAAAAAGAAAGAUAAUAUAUUUUGUUGGUUUUCUUCAAAAGAUUAUUGAAAAAAUAUUAUUUUUAACUUUAUACUAUCUUCUAAAAUGUUUGAUAAUUAGAAGAUUUCGGGGGUUUUGACUAAGACCACCACUUAUUGUUACGUUGAUGCCAUGGAUUGACGUGUGUGGAGUUUUCAAGUACGUGUCAGUCUUGACUAUUUGCGUGUUGAACUAUGAUUACGUAGUUUAUUAAAAAGUAUUUUUUGAAAAAAGAAGGAAAACCAUAUUUUAUUGUCAUACAAAUCACGCACAUAUCACGCCAAAGAAGAAAAAAACUUUGGUCGUGUCUGGUGGAUUAGUGACAUUGAAGCGCACAGAAAGUUAAAGCCUAGCAACACGGUUUCAGGAGUUAAGUGUAAAUAUGGCUGGUCUCUUGCACGAUAUUAAUUAGUCAAAUAACAAUAAACCAAGUGGAAAUCAAGUUUCGGUUUCGAAGAGUAGCCGCGUCAUGACCCGAACCGGUGUCAAUUACCUGUAAUAAGACGUGAAUAUGUGUCGCUGUAAAUGUGAUGCGUGUUUUAACAAUAAAUGCCCUAAUCAGCUAUGUUAAUCACUUAUUCCGUAGGCCAAAUCCGAGUAUAGACGAAUUUGAUAUUCGAAAAUGGGUUAACAACCAAAGCCUUUUUGAAAAGAAAAAAAAUUAAUAAUGGUCCAUAGAUAGAAACACAAUUGGAAUGUGGCGCAAUGGUAAAUUUCAAUUGUAUAAACGUAUAAAACUAUAAAAGUGAAUUAUUUGGCAACUAUUUUAUUGGUUCCUUUAUGGUGAAAUUCUGGUUUAAUCUAAUAUUUCCUCCUUUUCCACUUUUUUUUGUCGUUCUUCCUUUUCCACUUUAAAUAGUAUUUUCAGAAUUUGUUUUUGUUUUAUUUUAAAUAAUGUUUUCGAAUUUUUAAUGUAAGAAAUAAAUGUAGUUUGAUGUUUAAAGCCAUUUAUAUUCUGCAGUAUGAUUUUUAUUAGUUGAUUAGCUAUAGUUAUUGUUGUUUUUAAGCAAAUAAAAUAGGUUAAGUAAAAAUUAGUAAUUUUUUAAUAGAGAAAUUGCACUGCAUAUACAAGCAUAACCGCUUAAUUUGCAGAUAUGGAAAAGUGCUUUUUUCAUCAACACGCGCUUGAUUUUAUGACUAUUCUGCCCCUAGGUUCGUGUAACGCUACCUACAUCCUAUUCAAUUUCGAAACCACCUAUAUUCUCUUUCUCAUGCGUCACCAAAAUCGAUACAACACUCAUCUCUCUCCUAGUAUCUUUCACCGCUCAUUUUUUUGGGAGUUCUUCGUCAUCUCCGUCGAAAAUUAUUUUCAGAGGUUUCUAAUACCAAUCUCCAAUCACCGCAAACCUAAUUCUGAGUCGCAAUUAUUUAUCACAUCCUUUGACGGUAAGUCCAUUAUUCUACACAUCUAAUUGUUUUCCUCUGAAGUUUCUUCGAGUAAAACUCUUCGUAUAUCUUUUUAAGAUAUCUAAACUCUUUCAUUUUCAUCAUAUGCAAUUUGGUAGAUCUGUUAAAUAUUUCGAUCCCGUGCAGAUUUCAUGUUCCCCACGGGAGAUCAAAUGGCAGACACCUUUUUCCAUCUCGGUUCUUUGCCAUUGGAGAUGAACCCGAUGGUCUGAGAGUCACUUUCUACCACCUACCACAAGCCUGGAUGCAUAAAGCAUAUAUUAGAGACACUCGAGGAAGACGAACUCGAAGUCCUAAAGGCGUCGUCUUUUGGAAAAUUCAUAGAGUUGGCAGACCAGUCUCCAUAUUUCGGUCGUCUUGGACGUUUCAUGAUGUCGAGACAGCUUAAAGUAAACAAGAAAUACGAGGCAAUGGUAUUAAACCAGCACAUGCAAGGACGCUGGACACGGCUGAAAAUGUAAGUAUUCAAUUGAUAUAUCUAUUUUUAGUAAUAACUGAUCAUUUGAUGUUUCUAUUAACCGGUUAACAAACUCAGAAAACAUGGACUUUUCUAGAUUAUACGGCUAACACACACAGAAAACAUGAAAUUUUCUAGAUUAUCCAGCUAACACACAUAUAAAACAUGAAUUUUAUUAGAUAUCCGGCUAACAAGAUAAAAUAUGUCCAUACUUGUAGGUCCAUGUUACGUCUAUUAUUCCUCAGGACCUGAAAGCACUGACCGUGGAAAGGGCAAGGUCUGUCCCUCAAAACCCCAACCACGCUCAUUCUGGGGUCACAUCCGUCUUGUUCAUGAUACUUAGCUUGGUUUGUUUGUGUUUGUUUGUAGCAAGAAGAUGAAACGAAAGCUAAGAGAGCGCUUGUUACUCUUUGUGAGAUUCUCAAGAAGAAGGUGUGGCUUGGUGAUAAACAUGAUAGAGUUUCCAUUGCAAUUUGUUAAGCUUGCUUUCAUGCUUCAUCUUGGAGGUUUAUCUAAAACUACGUCACUCGUAUUGUAACUUCAGUGUUGAUUGGUUGAAGAGACGUGGUUUACAUUAGGAAGCACAUGUUCCAAGAUGCAGAGAUUCAAUCUGUUAGUAGCUCUUUAGAAACCAGACCUUCAGUGUCAUUACUGUAUGGAAUCUUGAGAAAUACACUUAUUGUCUAGAUCGGGAAGGAUAACAUUUUGAAUGACCGGCUAUGUAUGAAUGGUAAUGUUUUUUUCUGUUUUUUAUCCGAACUUGUAAUAUAUUAACCGGGAAUGUCAAUAAUGGUGAUUUCUUAUGUUUUGCAACACAAGUCCUCCAACCUUCGGAUAUUUUCUAGUUGGUCCCAAUAUAUUCAAGUGUACAAAUAGCUUCACGAAUCGGUCCCAGACUUUCAGAUUCUACAUUCCAAACCCUUUAAAAAUCUCCUGAAUGGUCCUUACAGUCUUAGUUGUUUUUUCAUUGUUUCAAUUCAAGUUACAAUACUGGGAUAAUAGGUCAUAUUACCGGCUAAAUGUAAUUAAAAAAAUCAAGUAAAAUCUUAACCGCAUAUUCCAUUAAAUUAUUAAUUAGUAUAUAUAACCGACUAACUAUAAAAAUGUCGAGAUAACUGGUGUAUAUUACCGGCUAACUAGGGGUGGACAUUUUACCCGAAAUCCGAAGUGGCACCAGAACCCGAUCCGAAAAACCCAAACUGAAAUCCGAACCGAAGUAGCAAAAUAUCCGAACGGAUAUUGAAUUAGGAGAGAUUGGAUAUCCGAACCCGAACGGGUAAUAUCCGAACCCGAAUGGAUAUCCGAAAAUAACCGAACAUAUGAUAAUUAACCUUAUAUUUAUAAUUUACAUCUUUCAUUUUAUAUAAAAUAUUUAUAUUGAUACUACACAUACUUUAAAUUCAUAUGAUACACAUACAAUUACGUAGAAGAUGAUUUGCUAUUAGCUUAAAAUGCAUGUCAAACUAUUUAUUUCAGCAAUUAACAAAAAAUUACAUCCAAAAUUUAAAAACAAUAACCAAAUUAAUGUCUUUUUAGUUUGAAAAUGUUAUGUCCAAAUCUAUUAACCAUGCAAUCUAUUAAAAAUACAAGCUAAAAUGUAAAGUAUCUGGAUAAGUUAGAAUAUAACAAUGCUAAUAUUAGGGGGACCAGUUUUGCAAAAAAAAAAAAAAAAUCGGAUCCUCAGUUGCUUUGAGCUUGCAUCGAUCGAACUGAGAAGACCCAAAUGCUCAGUUCAUCAUGUUCGAACUGCAAUACUCGAUCCAGCUCAAGAUGUACAAUUCAUCGCUUACUGAAGACCGUUCUACUCGAUUUAAUUAUCUCGGUGUAAGCCUCACCAUAAUCAAACAACGAGAAGAGAAGACGCGGACACGACAAUGCUCUGAUGCGGUGGAGAUGUGGUCACAACAAAAUCUUAAGAACACUGAUGUCUGAAUAAAAUCUCCUGAACAUUUUUGUCUGGACCAAAUCUCCUACACACUGCUAUAUGAAUAAUUUUCCACUUAUAGAACAAAGCAGUAACACAAACGAAUUACAAAACAAGAAAUCUGUUAUCGAACGACAAUAAAAUAAUAGAGAAGACACUAGAAUAUUAUUGAAGAUGAGAUUAUGUGUUUUGUGUACAUUAAAUAUAGAAGGGGGAAUAGAAGAAUCAAAGAAAACUCAGAUAAGAAAGCGAAUUGGAGAAAUAAAACAGAUAAGAAAAAGGUGAAAGAAUGGAGAAAGAGCAUUAAUAAUUGUUUCUCUCUCUUCCAAAUAUUUGAUCAUCUUACGUAGAAGAAAGAGAAGGUAUAGGGGCAUCAAUGUAUUUUCGUAACAGUUAGAGGUGGGCUUCACGUUUGGGCCAUCGGUUUUUCCAUAUGCGCUAAUUUCUUCAUCUUAUAGUAUUUAGUAUGCAAAUCACUCUUUUUAAUAUGUGUCUAAAUAUCUUAGGAAUUAAUUAUUUGAAAUAGAAGAGGGAAUAAUUGAUAAAAUUGUUUUAAAAAGUCAAAACAAGAAGUGUCAAAAUACAUGAGAAAGUUUACAACAGUUUAGGUUGAAGACAUUUACUACUCUAUAAAUUCCCACCCCUGCUAUGGGUCCCAGUUUGCCAUUAACCAUAGUUAAAUCAUCAAUCCUGAAACCCUCUCUUUUGAAAAAUUAUUUUUAAAUAUAUGUACUACUAUUAUUCCUAUUUAAUUAUUUAUUAGUUUUCAUUUCUCCUAUUAAUUAUUUUAUUCUGUCUUAGCAAGCAUUCAUCGCCAGAUUCACAGAUAUCUUAUAAGACAUCUUCCCCAUCCUCCAAAAGUUUUAUUUUAAACAUAUUAAAUGAUCUCCAGAAGCUGAUUAGCUCUCUUUAUCUAGAGUUUCUUUGAGCAUAACCUAAACCCUUUUCUAACAAGAUUAUCUUGAAAAUAUUAAAAAGCCAUAGAUGCUUUUGAGUUUUGAGCAAUGGAUAUGACUCUUAAAUCUCCUGAACCCGAACCCGAAACUCCAACCCGUAUCCAACCAGCCAAACCAAUCUCCUUCAGCAACGGAAUUACCAAACGCCACCACCACCCAAUCGCCGUCACCUACAAAGAAUGCCUCAAGAACCACGCGGCAGCGAUUGGCGGUCACGCACUCGACGGUUGCGGGGAGUUCAUGCCGUCUCCUUCUUCCACGCCUUCCGAUCCAACUUCCCUCAAAUGCGCCGCCUGCGGUUGCCACCGUAACUUCCACCGCCGUGACCCUGAAGAUUCCUCUCUCACCUCAGCCGUGCCUCCACCGUCUCUUCCUCCAUCUUCCACACUCGAGUACCAGCCUCACCACCGUCACCACCCGCCUCCACCAGGUCCUCAUCUCCCUCGCAGCCCUACUUCCUCUUCUCCACCUCCUAUCUCCUCCUCUUACAUGCUCCUCGCUCUCUCCGGCACCAAUAAACCCGGCGGAAACAGCUUACCGUUCUCAGAUCUCAACUUCGCCGCCAACAACCUCUCCACUCACCACCUUACCCCAGGCUCUCGGAAGCGUUUCAGGACGAAGUUCAGCCAAGCUCAGAAAGAGAAAAUGCACGAGUUCGCCGACCGUAUCGGGUGGAAGUUUCAGAAGCGCGACGAGGACGACGUGCGCGACUUCUGCCGGGAGGUUGGAGUCGAUAAAGGCGUACUCAAGGUGUGGAUGCACAAUAACAAAAACACCUUCAACAACCGCCGCGACCAGCCAGUCGCUGGCGGAACCACCGUACAUUGCGUUGACAACGGCGUCGCAGUUAACAACGCCGAAGAUGAUGGCGUUCACGGUGGAAACGGUUUAGAGCACAACCUACACGGCGAUGGAGCUGAAGGCGUCUGCGGUUGCCACCGUAACUUCCACCGCCGCGACCCCGAUGACUCCUCCCUCGCUUCCGCCGUGCCUCCACCGUCUCUCCCUCCAUCCUCCACCACCGCUGCACUCGAGUACCAGCCUCACCACCGUCACCACCCGCCUCCACCAGGUCCUCAUCUCCCUCGCAGCCCUACUUCCUCUUCUCCACCUCCUAUCUCCUCCUCUUACAUGCUCCUCGCUCUCUCCGGCACCAAUAAACCCGGCGGAAACAGCUUACCGUUCUCAGAUCUCAACUUCGCCGCCAACAACCUCUCCACUCACCACCUUACCCCAGGCUCUCGGAAGCGUUUCAGGACGAAGUUCAGCCAAGCUCAGAAAGAGAAAAUGCACGAGUUCGCCGACCGUAUCGGGUGGAAGUUUCAGAAGCGCGACGAGGACGACGUGCGCGACUUCUGCCGGGAGGUUGGAGUCGAUAAAGGCGUACUCAAGGUGUGGAUGCACAAUAACAAAAACACCUUCAACAACCGCCGCGACCAGCCAGUCGCUGGCGGAACCACCGUACAUUGCGUUGACAACGGCGUCGCAGUUAACAACGCCGAAGAUGAUGGCGUUCACGGUGGAAACGGUUUAGAGCACAACCUACACGGCGAUGGAGCUGACGGCGUAAACGCUAAUGGCUCGUCUUCUUCUUCGGGAAAGAGCAAUAAUGAAGCUUAAGCUUUGUUUAGCUUAGAUCAUAGAGAGUAAGCACUGCUAUUAUCAUCUUAAUACGUUUAUUAUAUUAAUUAAUAUCGUUUAGCUCUUUUUGCUUUUGUUCUUGCUACUCAUUAUUUUGUUUUCCGAUUUUAAUUUGAUCCUCAUUACCACGAAGUUGUCUCAAUGAGUUAAUAAUAUAACACGAUGAGUAGCUCAGAAAAUAUUUCCACAAGAGGAAUGUUUAUCUCAACUAAUCACCCGAAUUAGUAACUCAACUAUAAGUCGAUUUUUGGUAAAUCACAUGAACCCUAAAUUAGUGCUUGAUCAGAUAAAGAAAGUGCAAGUUUCUCAGAAAAUAAUAAAUUAGUGCAAUUUAAUUGUUUUAUUUAAUAAAUUGUUUGGCUUCUUAUCUUGAAAGUACUUUUGUCGAUUACUCUUAAUUUAAUAUGCGAUCGAACUAAGAUCUAGGUGUCCUUUUCGUAAAUCUCUCUUUAUUCUUCGAGAAAAGAGACAGUUUCUUUUAAAAAAUCUAUUAAAUAUUAAUUAUUAUGUUAUACUAUUAAUAUCCAAUGAUUAGUCGUGUUUUGUUUAUUGGAACCCAAGAUUCAUUGGAUAAUCUAGAUUAAUUUCCUCAUUAAUCCAUUUUUCCUUUCAUCCUUUACAUUCCCAGUAGGUACCUGUUUUGGUAUAUAUUAAUUAUUCUCAAGAUUUCUUAUUUCUUCAAGUACAAAAAAACAAGCAUCUCCUAUAUAUUAAUUAAGAAACAUUUGAAAAGAUGUAACAUCAAUUUUGUAAUAAUUAAAAAAGAUUUAUUGUUUAUCUAUCAAUCAAUUAGAUAGUUAAUUAGUCAUACAUGUCACCUCACAUUAAAAUUAAAAAAUAUGUUGGUCUAAUUCAAUUUUUAUAUCUCACUAGAAAUAUUUAAUACCAACUACAUGAUAUCAUAUGAUAUUAACUAAAGCAAGGUGACUAUUUAUUAUAUAUUAUUUCUUCAAAUAAAACCUACGGAAUUACCUAAUGUGAUUAUGAUAUAUAUAGUAAUUAAUGAUUUUAAAUAAUGAAGAAUUUGCUAAUAAUUUGUAUGUUUUCUAUCAUUUUUGUUUAAUUCUUUACUAUUAAAAUAAAUUACACAAUUACAUUAAUCAUAUAUUAAAAUUUUUGAUUUUUAUUUUGAAUUUUUCAAAACGAGUAUAAAUUACUAAAAUUGUUAAAAGUCUCACAUAAACUUUUGUGAUCAACGUUUAAUUUUUUUUCUAUAAUAAGAUACGAUGAUAAUAAAAUCAUUUAAAUAAAUAAUUUUAUUUUAAUAGGUGUUUAUGUUAAUAUAUAUAUACUUCAUAUUGUUUAAAUUUAAUUAUAUAUCAUAUACGAUAGAUAUGAUUGAUUGUUUUGAUUUAUUUAUUUAUUCUAAAAUGAAUACGAAUAAAAAAGAGUGGUCAUUUGAUUUAUAUGUGCAAGCCAAUUUAUGACAUAAUAGUAAUUGAUUUCUUAGUUAUUUAAUAUAUAAUUAUUAUUUUAUUAUUUCAUAAUAUGCAGAAAAAUAUAAAAUAAAUAUUUAUUCUGCACAAGUCGCAGAUCUUAACCUAAGUAUGUAUCUCUUUAAUAAUUUUGAAUCUUAAAUAUUUUCUAAAUCUCAGGCCAAAAUAAAAGAAAGAAAUGAGAAUAAACUCAAAAAUCAAUAUUUAUAUCGAGAAAAUUUACCUUGUGCAAGACACAUGUCUUAUUUUUAAAUAGUUUUUCUAUAAAUUCACCAUGCGCAAAAGGCAAAUCUUAUCCUAGUAAUUUUAUAAUUUGGGAACUAACUAAUGUUAUUGAAGUGCUAGUAGGUAGGUUUUAUAAGGGGGUCGUUCAAAAAAAGGUAGGGUUUAAGGGGCAGAACUAAUCAUUAACUUUACAAAUAAUUUAAAUAACUUUCCAUUAGAGAAAAGAAUAGAUGCAGCAGUGAUUAUGCGAUGGCCUAAGACAAUUUAAUUAGCAAAUGUCGGUUUACCAAACAAAACAAGCAUAAAUAUGCAAUUAGAUUAGAAAAUUGCUUUAUCUCUCUACACGGGGUUUGUUGAUAUAAUAAAUAAAAUAAAUUACUUAAUUUUACGCAUUUUGUGAAGUCACAGAUAUCUUUUUCAUGGUGGGGACAAACUUUUUAACACAUGCUGAGGUUUUGGCCCUAACUGCCAUAUACCAUGUGCACAGUGUACCACUUACUAAUUUGAAAUGUUCCUGACGUAACUAAUGCUAACAAAAUCGUACAUUUAAUUGUAUAUAUUUGGAAAAGUUCGCUAUCUGGAUAUAUAUAAUAAUAUAGGUCGACCUAAUUUCCCAAUGGGAUAUAAUAGACUUUGAUUGGGAAGGUCCAAGCAGUUAUACAAAAAAAAAAGAAGAUUAUGAAGGUCCAAAAUGAAGUGAUUUUGCUGUGCAACAAUUCUCUAUUAUUUAUACUUUUUGCAAUCACAAACUAUUGACGAAACGCGAUUUGCGUUCAACGGUUCUCUAUCUUUGAGUUUUAGAAAAUCUCAUCCUGUAAGAUUUAAGACGUACAUUCAACAUUAGUUUAUUCUCUACAUUUUCCGCUUUAUCUAAGUUUACAAUGUAUUUGGUCAUAGGUGUGUAACGAUGUUUUAUCAGUUUUAUGUGGUAAAUCGACAAAUACAUAUGCCUCUAUGGACUUUUUAGCACCACUCAUAGAAUUUUACAAUAAUAAUGUUACAAAGAACAAUUAAAUGAUUCUUGUCUUCACAUGUUGACCACAUGUUGGUAAAUAGUAACUCUUGCAAACAUAAGUUUUAAAUUUUAUAUGGCGAAAAAAAGAAUGAAGUGGGAUAGCAUGAACUAGUAAUAUACUUAUUCGGAGAAAUCUGAGAUUUGGGGAAUCAAGGACCAAAUUGUGUGUAUCUUUUUCCCACUCCUGUGUGUUUUAUAUAAGCUGAUUGUUAUAUGAAAAAAAAAAACAAAGGAAUCUAUGGACAUGUGUUACAAUUAAAAGACUUAUGAACAUAAUCUAGAUAACAUCCCCUGGUUGAAAACUAAUUAUAGGGAGACGUAUUUAUACAAAAUAAUAUGAGUUUAUGUGCUCAAACCACUUGUACAAGCUUUUUUUUUGACCAAAAGUACCAGCUUAGUGUUGUCUUCUCAAGAUGAGUUUCUUUUUAAGAAACUAAACCUUUUAAUCCACCAUGUGAUAAUUAAACACGUUUUCUGUUAAGUAAAAAAUUAAUAUUCGUAGUCUUUUUUCUUGGAGAAUAAAAUAAAAAAUAAGAAAUGACCGGGAGAAUAAAUAGGAGAAUGCAAUACUAGAACACCUAUGAAAACGAUCGCAGUGGCUAAAACACCCAUUUAAUAAUUUUAUGUUUAUAUUUUUAUAGAUGCUGAAGAUUCCAUAACCAGCUGUGAAUUGUGUUCUUUUUCACUUUUCAGCAUCUAUAAAAAGAUCGGGUUUUAUUUAUUUAUGCUUGUCAUAGAAAGCGAUUGUAGUUCUCCAGUUUGGUUAAUUGAGUUUAUAGUUUUGAUGACAAAAAAUCCGAUUAUAAUGACUAUAAAAAUUGUUUAAUAUUCAUAAACCUUUCCUAAGACUCUAUAUAAGAUAGCACACUAGCAAUGAGGUUCUUAAACAUGAAAACUUAGUUUUGUUUUGAACUCAUUGGAAACAAACUUUCACCACUCAAUUUUUUUUAUUUAACAAAUAUAUAAAUUAAAAACAAAUAUUUAUGGAUUGUCAUAUCUUACAUUUUUCCUCGGUAAUAAUACAUAAAAUAAAUCAUUCUUAUACAUAAUAAAGCAAUAAUUAACUAAUAUUUAUUUUUAAAAUCUAAUAAAUCAAAUAAAUUUUGAAUUAAGCAAAUUUUCAACAAAGAUUUUUAAAGAGGUUUUAGAUGAUAAAAUAUGUUAAAAAUACAGAAAAAAAAAGAGGAAACAAAAAUUUAAAAUGAAUAUAUAUUUUUACGCCAAAUGAAUAUCUCAUUUAAGAUAUUCAAAAAUGUUUGAGAAGUCCAAACACACAUGUCAUAAUAUAAUUGCACGAACCUUCUUUUUCAAUAAAUUUAAACAAUUAAUCAAAUACAAAACUAUUAAUAUUAUAUAUGGUAAGAGGAUAUCUGACCACUAAUAAUGAUCUAAGACGAUUACUGGAACAAUAGUCUAAGAGACUUCGGUGACGAUUGGUGAUGAUUGGCGAGUAUUUUAAAGAUGUUCUAGAAAAAUUUUACAACUAAUUUUUUUAAUUAUGUUUUAGAAAAAACUUUUAGAAAACAAAAUAUUUUGAACACUUAUAUAUUGUUUCAAAAAAUAGAAAUAAAUAAUUAAAUCUCUUUAAACCUAUAUCCAAUAUUCUACAGAAAAUAAUCAAACAGCUACAAUAAAAAAGGUUUCAGCGUUAAUUCUAGAUCAAAAAAUAUAAAAUUACAGCUUAUUUCAAUCAAAACAAGAGUUUAAAGAGAUUUUGAGACUUUGGGAUUUUACCAUAAUCCACAAGAUAGUACUGUUUUUUACUGUUUAUAAAUAAAAAAAAUACAGUACUGCUUCUUGACGCCUUUUGAUGACGGUGAUUGCGGGUUUUGUAAUUUCCUUUUACGCUGUUUUCCUUUCCUUUUUUUCUUUUGUUUUUGGAAAUAUCUGUUUCGUCUGAUUUAUAUGGUGUCUUGUGAAGGAAAAAUAACAGAUAUGAAUGGGCUUAUUCACAAUUUUGGGCUUCUAGGUUAAACAUUAAACCGACUCACUCAUUUAACAUACAAAAUCAAUUUUGUUCAACUAAAACUUUAAUACACUGAUGGUAGCGGAAAACCAUCCGCAACAAUUCUGUUACUCCCUCUGUUUUUAAAUGUAGGUAGUUUUAGCAAAAAAAGUUUGUUUCACAAUAUAAGUAGUUUACAUAUUUCAAUGCACUUUUUCAUUUAUUGGAUAUUGUAUGACCAAUAAAAUAAUGUUAAGCUUUUUAUAAUUGGUUAAAUUAAUUGAUUAAAUGAUAUAUUUUUUUAGAUAACAACUUUCUAAAUAUUUAUGCUUUUAAGUAAAACUACUUAUAAUUAAAAACAGAGGGAGUAUUAGACUAUUUGUGAAUGAUUUUUCAUUUCAGAACUAAUAACGGAGUAAUUUAAGGUCUAAAUCUAGACGGAGAAGGGUGUGACAACCCAUCCUCUCACUAGGAACCUAGGUUCACAGCGCUGCAGCGCACCGAUCCCAACCCCUCCAUUAUGAGUCCUUUCUGACUCCAUAAUUAGGUUGUUGGUGAGACUUGAACCCAGGUCCUCGCCCUUUAACAACACUCCUUCAGGAUGAGUUGUCACCAAUUGAUCUGCAUGUCAAUUGGUGACAACUCAUCCUGGAGGAGUGUUGUUAAAGGGUGAGGAUCUGGGUUCGAGUCUCACCAACAACCUAAUUAUGGAGUCAGAAAGGACUCAUAAUGGAGAGGUUGGGGUCGGUGCGCUGCAGCGCUGUGAACCUAAGUUCCUAGUGAGAGGAUGGGUUGUCACAAAGGGUUGCUAAAUUUUCAAAAUUUCAAGUAUUUUGAUUUUUUUUUCUAUUCGUCAGUCAAUGGUGGUUCAUGCCGUAUAAUCAACGCCCUUAGCCGCUCUCCGGUUACUUCCGUUGAUCAGUUAGUGAACCCAAUCGCUUCUUUGGUUUCCACAAAUAGUAAAACCAGCAUAAACCAAAAUAGUCUCUAAUAUUUGUUUGGUUCACUAGGAUUAAUUGUUCAGUGAUCUCUAUGUUCACCUAAUCUGGAUCGUUUUUUUGAAGAACCAAUAUAUAAGAUACGAUUUGACCUAAUCAAUUUUUUUUGGGGUAAAAUGUUAAAUUUGACCUAAUCAGUUGCUAAGUUUUUGAAGAUCGAUAGAAGAUAAUUGGUCUAGUUUAGGUCGAUAUAUGUACAAAUACAAUCCAUAGUAGCUAGCUCGUAAUCCUCGGGGUUAAUCGAAUCGCAAAAGUUCUCUCUUUUAAAAUCUAAUAAACAGCAUGAGUAGGAUUGAACCAAAGAUCGAUAUGAAAAUGGAGUUGCGAAUAGUGUAAUAUAUCGAGAAUAUCAGAACUGGAAUGUAAGGUACGUGUUCACGAUGGGAUACUAUGUAUUAUGAUUAAUGAGUCGCAAGUGAAUGAGUGUCUGAGAACUUAGAAAUAUAACUAGCUAGGUUCAUGAUAAAGAAAUUGGAAAUAUGAUGUGAAUAUGUGCUGAUCUAAUUAAACCCGCUUGAAAAAACUUUUUUCAUUUUGCUAUCUAUCACAUGUGCUGUAAAUUGAUACAAAAUAAAAUGUUAAAUAUUUGUUUCUCAAUAUAGAAUAUAUAUACAUAUACACAUUAUAUAUUUUCUCAUUUUACUAUGUCAAUAUAUUUAAUAUUUAUAUGAAAAUUUAGGGAUUUUAAAAUCGACAUUGGCCUGACCAAGUUCGGCACAAUGUUGCUAACAAACAUAUGCAGUUGGAAUUGUUUCUCUCCAUACUCAUAUACCUAACAAUGUACGUUCAUGAUGAUACAGUUCACAUGUCAUUUCAAAUCUAUAAACCAGCCAAAGAUAUCUAAUUUUCUUCGUACGAAAAUAUCUAACUUCCUCAGUUGUUUAUGUUAAUUUUGAAUUCAAUUAACAAACUAAAUGUGAUACAGAAUGUUGUAAUUAAUUUAUAGCAGUUAUAUCAAUGUCGUUUUUUUUUCUUCUUUUGGCAUUCCUUCAUUAUAUUUAUUGCUUUGUUAAUGUACGUACUUUAUUUGGGAGUAGUCAGUUAGAUUCUUAGAUUAAUUCCCACCUAUUUCUGAUUUUAUAGAGGACCUCAGAAGUCACAGACUCACAGGCCAUUAUUGUGAAUGAUCAUUAAUUAGCCUUAACGGUUCUUUAAUAAAUCAAUUAAAGACUGUUUUUUCAUCAUAGCAAGUUAGCAACCAACAAGGAUUAGAUUUGUGGGCCUCUUCCUCCCUUUUUAUUUCAAAGUUUUUUUUAUCUGUUCUAAUCAUGUUAUAUAAAAAUUUGAAAGAUCUCACUUCUAAAGCAAAAAUAAAAGAUUAGAAUAAUAAAAUUAAUACUAUUUUAGAAUUAUAAACAUGAAUAUAUGCAAGGCAUAUUCGUGAAGGAAGUUGAUCUUAUCAUGCCAUAAUCAGCAAGUAUGUAAUAGUGCUAUAAGACAACAACAGUUUCAAGCUUAACUCCACAAUUCCCAUGCGAAAACAAAAACUAAAGCAGUGGUCUCAAAGAAUCAAAUUAAAAUAUAUCGAAUAAUUAAUUGAGAGAACCAAUACCGAAAAAGAUCAAACAUUAUAAAACAUGAAAAAACAAUAAUCUUCACAUUUCAUUUAAAACCCAAUUUUCCAAAACAUUCUCAAACUCAGAACGCAUCCAAUUACAAUAAAUCUUUUACCACUUUCAAUAUAUAAUAAGUGUACUUUGAAAAUUCUUAAAUAGACACAAAUCCUUGACAUUAAGAAAGCUAUAAUAUUUUCAGUUUCACCCUAUGAGAAUAUAUAACACACAAAGACUUGCUCCAAAAAAAAAAAAUAUAUAUAUAUAUAUAACACAAAGACAGGAACAAUUUUUUAGCCAGCUCUAGUUUUGCUGGUCUAAUUCCCAGUCGAGGGAGGUGACUCACAGUCGCAAACAACCUCGGUUUCUCUCCGGUGGAAACUGCGGUGGCAGCCACAGGCGGCGCAAGUUAGCGCUGACACCGUACCUUCCUCUCCGUUGCUUGCCAUGAACUCCCGGCAGCCGUCAACGGCGUAGCCUCCAACUGCUGCGGCGUGGUUCUUCUGACACUCGCCGUAUCUCACACCUCUUACCAUCCGAGAGGAAGCCGUCGAGGAGCUUCUAGAAGGCUCCUCAGGCGAUGCUCUCCUCAACACCACUUGACGCUUCCUCAUAGUUCUUCUUCUUGGCUCUUUUGUGAAAUCUUAACUUGUAUAUGAUAAUGUAUUAGCUAGUGUGAGCUAUAUAUUUGAGAAGAAAAAGGAAAAAAAAGUUAUAUAAAGUUUUUUGUUAAUUUAAAUUUCUAAUUUUCUACGGUGGGAGAUGGAAAGAGAGUAAAAGCUCGAGAUAAUUACAAGAGGCCCUCAGUUGUUAACCCUAACCCUAGAUGAUAUAUUUAUAGCAUACCUUAUAGCAAUCAACAAACAACCACUUAGAUAAUUCUAUAUGCAUGUGUAUGUCAGUAAUACGUAUAUGUAUUUAUAGACGUGUACAUGUACAUUUCCAAGGAAUGUAUCAUGUAUCAUCACAGAUGAAAACUUACCUAGCUAAUUUACUAGAGAUUUGUUUUUAAAUGUGUACAUCAUACAUGUAUGUGCAUAUAUAUAUUUUGUAAUUUAAUUUUCUUUUGGCGUCCACAACUAUCCAUGUAUUCACAUGUGUUUGUAAUAUUGUAACAAAGUCAAAAAAAUUUCUUGAAUACUCACCAGUUAGAAAAGAUUGAGCAAGUUAUAGAAUUUGAAACUUCGCUAGGCUUAGAAAAGAGACUUAUUUGUCAUAAGCCUUUUUUAUUUCUCGUUGUAUGAACCAAAAAUGUCAAUAAGAUAGGAGAUGCAUAAAAACGUUCACUUGCAAUAUAAACCACGAGAUAUGGAGCCAGUGAGCCACCACUUUGUGAGUUAGGCACCCGUCUUUAUUGAUAUUAUUCUCGUUUUAGAUGAAUUUCUCCCAAAACUGAUGCUAUAUGCAACUUUUUUUUUUGAACAUUGCUAUAUGCAACUUUCAGAAGAAAAAAAAACACUUCUUAUAUUCCAACCAGCAUAGCGCUUAGUAAUCAUUUUAUGGUUUUAACUAACUGAUUAAUAAUCAUAACCAUAAGCAAGCGAAUAAUAUAAUAUAUAAAAGUGGGUGCUGAACUACGACUUGUGUGUGGAUGCAACUUUUGUUCAAUUUUGCUAGAAAACCCUAAAAUGAUGAUAAAGCUUUUCUUUAGGACCAAACAAAGUGAUUGGUUCUAAAAGGAAGAAAACAGCUAAGCUUGUAUUUGUAAGACCUAAUAUGUAUUGUGGUGGCCCCUUAACCCCAUGUUUUCUUCUUCUUCUUCAUCCAUUAUGUUCUAAUAACACGUACGUAUGAUUACGAAAAUCAUUUAUACGUGUCGUAAAGAAUAUUACUUAGUAUCGACUUCGAGAUAAUACUAUGCAUAGAUGAGAACUGUCUGUAUUGGAUACGUGGUACUGUGACCCACUUUGUUGACUUAAGAUCAAAAAUUCAAAAUUUGUAUGUAAUCUAACUAACAAUCAAUAUGUUUAGAUCGCGUGAUGAAAAUGCAUGAACAAAAAUAGAAGUGUGUGUAUAAAUGUAUAUACAUUUCGACCUAAAAACGUGGGACUGAUAAGUUGGGCUACCAAACCUAUUUUGUACAUUAUGAGGACAACGCAAUCCUUCACGAUCUUUUGCUACUUGCAAUUACGUCUUGAUAUUUUCAAUUACACGUGCAUACAUUCAUUCGUAUUUCAGUUGACAUCAAAUGUUCCUAUUCAUAUGUUCCAUCAAUCUCGGAUAAUCAUGCAGGAGAUUUUUGAUAUUUUCCCCAUUCGAGAUUAGAUAUAAAAAUGCAAAACCUUUGGAUUCGACGUAACUCUUGAGAUGUUAUUGAAAAAAACUAGUCGCAUAACCAAGCGCUUGUGGUUCCCGAUUUCUAAUAGACGUAUUUGUUAGGAAUUCAACAUAUGACCUAAAAUGAAACUAAAGAGUAAUACUUAAUACAGUAACAUAAAUAUGAUAAUAAUUAAGAAUCAAUAAUUUCUUAUUUAUUUUUUUAGUUAGAAGUAAUUUGUCACAUAUAUAUUUUUUUUUGAUCAAUAAUUUGUCACAUAUAUAUUAAUGUUUGAAUUUGAGCGAAAUCGAAUAAUCCAGAUAAGAUAUAUUAUUGUGUCUAGCGUUUGGUUCAGUUUAAGAUGAACUGAAAAUGUCAUCAUAUUGAGAGGCGCAGUAAAAACAACCCAGAGGAAACUAAAUCUGAACUAUCUACAUCUAGUAAGUAACUAGAAUAAUCAAAAUGAUUAAAUUUCUUUCUACAAGGCAUUACAAAGUAAGCUUGCAAUUUGUUAAUUACAAAAGCCAAAGUGGUUAGUGGAGUAAUGAUGGUUAUGAUUUAUGAUAAGGAUAGAGAUUUAAUUUAUGAAAUAAAGCAAAGAGAGUUUGUGUCUCAACAACCCAACCCUCAUUCCCAGCUUCCAUUAGUAUUAGUGAUGUGUGAUCUUUUGACUACUCAGCGGUCAAUCUUAUGUUUUAAAUAGGAUAAGGAAUCUUAGGUUUCACUAUUCAUGUAAUAUCAAAUAAUGAAGCGUGAGUUUAGAAAAUUAAAUAAAUUGCUUAAUGGAUAUAGUGUAUAAAUUUAAAAAAGAAUAUAUCAAAUGAUCCAUAACUUCAGACUUGAAACUUUCUUUUAAACAUAUGAAGUUGGAAAAUAACAUAUUGUCACCUGUACUGUACUAUAGGAUGUACUUAAUUAACCUUGGUAGAUACUCAACAAUUUAUCUUUUUUUUUUUUCCAACUUGCAACUUUAUUAUAAUGACGAAGAAAUAUCCUCAUGGAGGAAUUGAGUUAUUGAUACAGGUACAUAGAAUAUAGAGUUGAAAGAAACUUGAGAAUUAUGAAAUUGUUUAGCUAAAUGAUCUGCAGCUUUAUUAUCUUCCCUUGGAAUCCAUCUAAAUUCUGCAUCUUCAAAUUUCUCCUUCCACCCUUUGAUUUCCAGAAUCCAAUUAUGCAUGUGGAAAUUCCUCUUGGACGUUGUUAGUAGCUCCUGAACCUGUUUGUUGUCACCUUCAAAAAUAACUUUACGGUAACCUUUUGUCCACGUAUGUUGCAUUGCCAUAAGAAGAGCUUGUAAUUCUGUCUCCAGACUUCCAUCUCCAUUAACUGAUUGUUUACCCUGGCCUCCACCUAGGAAAAAUCCUUGAGCAUCUCUGAAUAUCCACCCUCCUGUUGACAUAUUUUGUCUCCUACUCCCAUCAUAAUUAAUCUUCACAUAAUCACAAGGAGGUCUCUCCCACAUUGAUUGUUUGUGUCUCCCACUUAGCCUCUGGGUUGUAUUGCUGUUGCUUUCAUUUGAAUACAACACCUGAGUCCAUUCACGUGCUUCAUGUUGAGCUUGUUUGAGGUCUACUUUCCUCUCAGUCUGUUUCCGUCCAUAAACUAAAUUGAGCUUGUUUGAGGUCUACUUUCCACUCAGUCUGUUUCCGUCCAUAAACUAAAAGGUUUCUGCUUUUCCAGAUGCGCCAGAGGAUCCACAAAGGCUGUUGCCUAUCUAUAGGGUUAAGCGCCUUAUUAUUGAUCGAGGAUACAAUAGCCUUUAACUUCUCUUCAAAACUGAUACUAUUAUCAGUAAACGUACGGUCUGGUAGAUUUGCCCCUCUCCAAAAUGCUUGAGUAUACGGGCAUUUGAAGAAGAGAUGUUCCAUAUCUUCAUCUAAAACACAACAUUUUCUACACACACUAUCUUGAGAGACACGUCUUCGUUUUAGGAUUGAUCCCACAGGCAUUACCUCUGAUAGAAUUCUCCAUAAAAAAUGUUUGAGUUUCGGAGCAGUAUUUAACUUCCAUAGAGCAGCUUUAAUUCCAGUUGAUCCUCUUGGUGGUAAAACUUGUUGAUCUUGGCUAUGUAUGCUCAACCAGUAACCUGACUUAACCGUAUACAUACCAUCGUCAGUGUAGUUCCAACCCAGCAAAUCUUGUCCUCCAUAUUGGCUUAACACAAUGUGUUUUACUAACUCCACAUCCUCUGGUACCAUAAUUCGCUAUAAUAAUUCGACAUUCCAUUGUCUUGUACCCGGGCGAAAUAGUGAAUGAACUGUGUGAUAGUCAUUUACUAUAUUAUCAAUACCUCUUGGAGCUCUAGGUGGAUGAGUGGAUAGCCAGGCGUCCCUCCAGAUUAGAGUCUCUUCACCAUUACCAAUUUGAACCCUCAAUCCUGAUUUAAGAAGUUCCUUUCCUUCCAUUAGCGAUCGCCAUAUAAAUGAGGGUUUAUUUCCAACCCUUGCAUUGAGAAUAGAUGUAUCCUGAUGAUAUCGACCACGCAGAACUCUUGCAAGUAGACUUGUUGGUGUUUGGCCAAUCCUCCAUACUUGUUUGGCAAGUAAAGCCAAGUUAAAAUUUUCAAUAUCACGAAAACCUAGCCCACCUUCUUUCUUUGGAACACUCACUCUCUUCCAACUCAUCCAGUGCAUCGACCGUCUCCCCGUUCCCUUACUCCACCAAUAUUCAGCAAAUAGUUUCUCUAUUUCUUCACAUACUCCUUUAGGAAGCUUGAAAACAUUCAUUGGAUAAACCGGAAUAGCAGAUGCUAUUGUUUUAAGUAGAAUUUCUUUCCCUGCCUCAGAUAGAUAUUUAUUUGACCACCCUUUUGUUCUUUUUUUUAUCUUCUCCAAGAUAAAAUUAAAUAUCUCUUUCUUUUUCUGUCCUAUAACUUCUGGUAGACCCAAAUACUUGCCACAUCCUCCAUCGUUAUGUAUGUUAAGGAUUGUGCGGAGUCUUGUCUUCAUAGUAUCUGAAACUCUGGAGCCAAAUGUAAUAGCUGAUUUAGAUAAAUUGACCGCUUGUCCAGAAGCCUUUUCGUACAUUUCUAGUAUCCUCUGUAUAGUCUUGCAUGACCGUGGAUGAGCAUGGCAGAAGAACAAGGCGUCAUCAGCAAACAAUAGGUGAUUUAUGGUUGGCCCAUAUGUGCUUAUCUUCAUUCCUUUCAGUUUUGUCUCCGCAGUAGCCCUCAACAGUAAAUGGCUUAGUACUUCACUGCAAAUGAUGAAAAGAUAAGGAGAAAGGGGAUCACCUUGGCGUAUUCCUCUCUGUGGGGUAAUGUUUCCUGUUGGAGAUCCAUUGAUCAAUGCUGAGAAGCUUACUGUACUGACACACAUCAUUAUCCAUCCGAUCCAUUUUGCAUCAAAACCCAUCCCGAUCAUUGUAUCCUCCAAGAAUUUCCAUUCUAAACGAUCAUACGCCUUCGAGAUAUCUGUCUUGACUGCCAUGUAAGACUUCGCCCAUCUCUUCCUACUCUUUAAAGAGUGCAACAUUUCAUGAGCAAUAAUAACAUUGUCAAUAAUGUUUCUACCAGGGAUGAAGGCAACUUGGUUCUCAGCUAUUAUGUCUGGCAGGUGCUGCUUCAAACGGCCAACAAGUAUUUUGGAGAUGAUUUUGUAACUUACAUUACAAAGCGAUAUCGGUCUAAAAUCACCCAUAGCUCUUGGAACCUCUAUCUUCGGAAUUAAGCAUAGAUUGGUUUUAUUGAUCUGAGGGUCUAGAAUACCAUUAUCAAAGAACUGCUGAACUUCUUGAGUGAUCUGAUCUUUAAUGGUUGGCCAGAAUUGUCUGUAAAACGCACCAGUAAAGCCAUCCGGUCCCGGGGCUUUGUUUGGACCAAUACUGAAGACAGCUUUUCUAACUUCCUCUUCGGUAACUGGCCUAGUGAGGUCCUCAUUCAUCUCCCUUGUGACUCUUCUAUUAAAAUGGUUAAAAACGCCAUCAUAUGUAAAUUCUGCGUCUCUUGUUGUUGUAAAUAGAUUCCUGAAGUAAUCCUCUGCGGCUUGACCAAUAGCCACAUCACCUCGUUGCACCAUUCCAUUCUCAUCCUCUAUUGCCAUUAUUCUGUUUCGAGCCACCCUUGUUUUGGUACACGCAUAGAAGAAUUGUGUAUUUCUAUCUCCAGACUCCAACCAUUGAUUUCGACUUUUUAACCUCCAAAAUUCUUCCUCAUCACUAUAAGCUUGUGAUAGUUCUUUCCGUAUCUGUCGUAUCUCAUUAGUUGAGUGGCUUCCAUAAGACAUUGCGAAGUCAAGUUCUUCUUUUAAAUGAGCAAUGCGGAUGACUGCAUUAAACGUAUGUUUCCUCUUCCACCGGGAAACCGAACCUCUGCAAGCUUUAAGUCUAUUCUGAAUAGAUGUGCCUGAUCUCUGCUCCGUCCAAGUAGUUUUAACUUCAUCUUGGAAACUCUCCUCUCUGAAUAUUCUUUUAUCAUAUCUAAACAAUUUCACCGGCCGGUUAGUCGUCUGUGAGAUUGUUGUCACCAAAGGUCGAUGAUCAGAAGCUUCAAACGCAAGAAAUUCUGUUUGCGCCGUUGGAAACUGAGCUAACCAGUUUGAGUUAGCCAUGCUUCUAUCAAGGCAGCAACGUAUGUCAUAAUUAUGUCGCUUCCCAUACCAAGAGAAUUUAUUUCCUGUUGCUUUCAGAUCACGAAAGUCACAUGUUGCAAUCAUUCUUCGAAAAUCAACAAACGAUCUUUCUGGUCGUGCUGGUCCCCCUUGUUUCUCCUCAUUACCCCUGAUUUCAUUAAAGUCACCCAUUAUCAGCCAAGGCUCUGUCCGUGUAGUAGCCAUUCUCUCCAAACGUUCCCAUAGUUGAUGUCGCAUAGAGGGUUCAGGGUAACCAUAAACAAAUGAGAGAUAGUAGGAAACAUCAUUCAUUUCAACAAAGCAGUCUACAAGAUUUGGAGAUUGAAACAGAACUGAAACAGAUACAUACUUCUUCCAUAACACAGCAAUUCCACCACUCAUACCUUGUGGUGGAACAGUUACAUGACGGUCAUAACCUAGAUCACAGACCACAUCUCGCACAUAGUCAUCCUUUUGUUUUGUUUCCAGCAGGCAUAGUAUGUCCGGGAAAUACUUCCGUUGUAUUUCCUUGAGGCGUCGAACUGUAGGGUCUACACCCAAACCCUGACAGUUCCAAACGGUUGUAUUCAUGGUGAAGCUGGUGGAUUAGGGCCCACCGCGCCUCUCACUUGAUCAGUUGUUGUGUCAUUACCGCUAGAUUCACCUCUCUCCAAAGCUGGACAUUUGAGGAGACCUUCUUCCAUCAACGAUGCUUCUGCUUUCCUCUUUCGUGCCUGCUGAGACUUGGAUCGUGGGGGAAUGGUAUCAUAUAACGCUUGCAUUGAACUCUCAUCUGGUUCCUCCAUGAUUCUCUUGCCUUGACGUGCAUUAUCCCCUGCACUGUCUCCUGUGGAGUUAGAGUAGAUUGGAACCGGAUUGGAAAGCUCACUGGACUCCUGUUCUCCUGAAAACAUGUCUCUCAACGGCUCCGCAUUGUAUUCUUCAUCAUCUUCCAUCACCUGAUACUCUACCCCAUUGGGUACUUCAUUCUCCUCAUUGUUGUUCUCCUCAUUCAUCUCAUGGAUUUCAUGAAUCUGAACUCCUUGUUCCGCCAGAGGAACAAGUAGUGGUUCCUCAUUAUCAUCUUCAUCAUCAUCCUCAGAGUCAUGAUCCAUUCCACCAUUUUGGAUCAAACAACUACCCGAAUCAUGCGUGAGCAUUCCACAUACCUCGCAGAAACCCCUUAACCUCUCAUAGCGGAAUUUGAGGAGAGUGUUGACUCCUGGAGUGAACUGGAAGUUCUUCUGGAACCGAAGUGGGAGAUCAACAUCCCAGUUAACUCUGACACGAGCAUACUCCACUCGAACUGCCGUCUCAGCAUUGUAAUCCACAUCCAUGUAUUGCCCCAUCGCGCGUCCUAUAUGCAUGAUUACGUCUUGGUUCAUGUACUGGAGCGGUAUUCCCCGUAUCUGGAUCCAGAGGGGAAUAAAGUUCAACAUCAAAGGGUUAAACAGAGGAGACCACCUUUGCAUUAUGAGCAUCCGAUCAGCAAACGCCCAGGGACCUCUCCUGAGGACAUUCUCCAAUGAUUCCUCCGAUGGAAACACAAACUGGAACCGCCUUCCUUCAACAAUUCUUCCAUGAACCAACCCUGCAUGUCCCCACUGUCGUGGUAAAGCCGCAAUGAUCGCACGAAUGUUUUGACGCCUUGGAAUUACAGGACGCCCAAUGAUGAUGAAACGGUUCUCUGCUGCUGCUUGGUUGACCACAUCCAGAGGUAGCGCUACUGGUUCAUCUUCCACACCCAAAUCUAACUCUUGUAAAUUGCGGUGAAGGUUAUCCGCCAUUGUUAUCAAUCUUCUGUACUUUUGCAAUAGGAAUUUGCUCAAGAUAGUAUUGAGUGUGUGAAAGAAUCGACUGAUUCUAUAUUGCCAUAUAUAGGGUUCCAGAGAAUAACUCCAAUACAUUAGUGCAUCACGAUGUGUAGUUGCCAUCGUGGGGAUAACCGUCGGGGAGUGGGCAAAUAACCGUCGUCCGCCGUCGAAAACAUCAAUAACCGUUACCGAAAUAACAGUGCAAAGUCUGAGGAAUAACCGUUUCCAAAUCGCCUUACUUUCGCCUUCUUUCAUCUUUUCAUUAAUAUUUCUUUUGUUUUUUUACAACAGAAAAAUACUCAACAAUUUAUCGUCUAGUCUAAUUAGGCACUCUGCUAUUAAAUAAUUAAUUAAUUAAUUAAUGUCCCAAUCAAAAUAACAUAUUAACAUGUGAGGAAGCGAGAAAGAUGGUUGCAAUAAAUAGAAGGGAGACGUUGGGCUUUGAGAUCACAUGAACCGCACAUGAUUCUUGAGCUCCUUUUUAACACCCUUUUCUUUGCCAUUGGGCUGAAGUCCUCGGACCCAAGACCAAGCGCGCCAAAUAUUCACAAUUGAGUAACGUCUAGCCUAUUCAAUUAAGCAACAAAGAAUUCUAGAAAUGCACAAGUGCUUCAAAUUUUCUACUUGUUUGCUAAUUAUUCAAAAGAUAUACCUCCUUGAAUUUGGACCUGAUGUAAACUAUUUAUUUCAUUACAAUCACAUAUGCACAUAACAUUGUAGUGUAGUUUUAACCUUCUAUUAUACACAUGCAAAGAAACUGACAGGUAUAUAUACAUCGAGAUGUAUGUGAAAUAUUUACAUCUAUAUUACAUCGAGAUGUAUGUGAAAUAUUUACAUCUAUAUAUUAUUAUUGUGUACACUUAUAUACUGUUCUAUAAUCGAUAAAAAGUUUCAUAAAAUUACGGCAGAAGAGAAGUAAGUCAAAAGCCAAGAAAUUUCAUAGGGUUCUUGCCGUACAUUGCUUUACAGCAAAGUUGCUGCUGCUUAUUUUGCCUCUUUAUUUGAUUCUCUUCUUUCUUUUUGGAUUACAGUUUCCAUGAUGAUACGAGAUUGGUGAGACAAUUUUUUUGAAAUAGUCGGUUAGGUCAACUGAACCAUAAUCCAACAAACAAUAACACAAAUUACGGCAGAAGAGAAUUAAAUCAAAAGCCAAGAAAUUUCAUAGGGUUCUUGCCGUACAUUGCUUAAUUUGCUUUACAGCAAAGUUGCUGCUACUUAUUUUGACUUUUUAUUUGAUUUUUGUUUUUUGGAUUACAGUUUCCAUGUUGAUACGGGAUUGGUGAGACAAUUUUUCUGAAAUAAUCGGUUAGGUCAAUUGAACCAUAAUCCAACAAACAAUAACACAAGCGGUUCACUUUUGUAAACAUGGUUCUACUAUUUUCACCAUCGCACGACAACUGGCAUUAUCUUAGAACAAGAAAGGAGAAGCUAAAUUGAUGGUGACAUUGACUUUUCUUAUAGUACUUUAGUGACUAUUUGAUGCAAGUCAUAACUCACAAGGUCACACAAGAAAGAAAGUCAAACUUUAAUUCUUCAUCACUUUCAACAGUAAUACUUCCAAUCCAUCCCGUUUUUAAUUUAUUUUCUGUUUUUAAUAAAUAGUUUGUCGGCCCCAUUUAUUUCACGCAAUAAAUAUUUUGCUUAAUUUUCUUUACUAGUAGUAGUAAUUUUUAAUUAGUAGGUCGUUAAAAUCCACCGGUACGAAUGUGUUAUUGGUUUAUAUAUUUUGAUUAAUUUAGAAAUUUAUAUAGUAUUUAUAAAUUUAAAUAAAAUAUGUAAAUUCGAAAUUUUUUUCUCGAAUUUGAGUAGGGCUUAUUGGUUGUUGUAUUUUAAUGGAUUUGAAAUUCGAACUAAAUCUAGUGUUAUUGGUUCUAUGAUUUUCAAAUCUGUAUUAAAAUCAUGUGUUAUUGGUUUAAUGAUUCAUAAAUUCUAUAUCAAAUCAAGUGUUAUUCAAUCGUACGGAUUUCAUAAUAUAUUUGAUUUUAGAAUGGAUUUGAAUAGAUUUGUUUGGAUUUUUUAGUUAAAAAUACAAAGACUCAAAUCCAAAAGAAAACCUCUGGAUUUGCAUAUUUUACUUGGAUUCUUUUUAUGUUGAGAUCUCAAACAUAACAUGCUUCAGAAAGAAAAACAAUAAUUAAAAAUGACAAUUUGAUAAAUAGAAAAAUAAAGAUAUAUGAUUUUUCACCAAUACUUCAAUAUUUGGGUGGACAUAUUUCAGCCCCCUUAAGAAUUCAGAAGGCCAUUUGUAAAACACAACAUCAUUAAUUGUGUAAUUAACGAGAAAAAUAAAAAAAAUUACUAGAGACUUAGCUCACGAUAAUCUAAGCAAAUUAAUUCGGAAAUCCCAAAAAAAAAAUCAGAAAAAGAAAAAAACAAAGAGGAUCCUAAAUUUAGAACCGUCUGAUUAACCAAGUUAUUCAGAAGAAGUUAGGGUUUUCAUCCAACAGAAUAUCACCAAUCUGUCCACCAAAAUCCUCAAACAGCCACUUCUCGAACAAGGACAAUUGACUUUGGUUACUACAUCCAGUUAUGGCUUGUUUAGUCUCAUGAUCAGGUGAAAGUUUAGUCUGAUGAUAUGGUGAGUCACAAUCGUUCGAGUGAUCAAGCCCGGAAAAUGCUUGAAAUCCCCCUGCACAGUCUUUCUGAACAUCAUCACUCUUCAUCAAUUCUUUUGUCUCAGAAUCUGGAGGAUUCUUCUGAUCAGCGGAGUUCUGAGUCUUUGGUGAGGUCUUCACCCACCCUUUAAGCAAUUUCGCUAUAUUCUCGGUGCUAGAGGCAUAUGUGGUAGAUGUUUCUUGCACCCGAAGAAACCAGCAUGUUGAGGAAGAAGAACGUCUUGAUUCAGAAGAAGAUGAUGUUGUCGCCGUAGUGGCCAACGUUGACGUAAUGAUCGGUGCUACGGCAGGCGACAAAGCCUCGGAGAGGGCCUUCUUGGCCAAGUGAAUAUCAGUUUGAAGUCUUCUUUCCCAUUGACCUCUUGGUAUGUAAGAGUUCGAAUUUGCAGAAGAAGAUGAUGGAGAAGAAGAGAUCGAGGAACGAUCUCUUGAUUGAUCAAGUUCUUGAUGAGAAUCUUGACUGGCUUUGUUGAGUUUCUUCUUCAAAUGAGUGUUCCAAUAGUUUUUAAUGUCAUUGUCUGUCCUUUGUGGAAGAUAUGAAGCAAUUGCAGCCCAUCUACACCAAAAAUUAAAUGCCCUCUAUUAUUUGUAUUACUUUUCUUGGUUUCAAAAAGUUGCGUGAGAUGAUAUUGAAGAAAUAAUCUUUUGAUUAAGGGUUGAUUGAUUAAAUUUACCUGUUGCCUAAGAGGGCUUGGAGAUGGACAAUCAUUUUUUCUUCAUGUUCUGUGAAGUUGCCUCUCUUGAUUCCUGGCCUUAAAUAGUUUGUCCAUCUAAGCCUACAACUCUUGCUGCAUCUAAGCAACCCUGAAUUGCAAAUGACGAUGAAGGUUAAAAUAAAAUAAAAACCAAUGAGUAAAAACUUAAGCUUCACGUGUGUAUAUAUAACAAAUUUCAUGGAUUAAAUUUUGCUCCUAACUUCCUAAGGUCAAUAACAAAACCCUAUCUAAUUCGUUUCAGAAUACGGUUUUGAUUAUGCUAAUUCCACAAUCAAACCCUUUUGGAGAAGAAGCAAAGUGUAUAUUAACCAAACUCAAUCCAUACCCAUAUUGAUAUAUAUGUAAAUAUAUACAAAUCUUAAGAUAUAUAUAUAUAUAUAUAUUUAUAUCACCGCGAGAGAGAUAAAGAUGAAGAAUGAAGAUUAUACAUACCAGUAUUAGUGGGGACAGCUCUCCAGUUUCCAGGACCAUGUUCUUGGAUGUAAGUAACUAAAAUGAUAUCUUCUUCAGGAGUCCAUGGCCCUUUCUUCACUCCUCCUUUGUCACAACAAGGAGGCCUCACCAUUAUUUUGAUACCUCUCUUAAUCAAUAAAUUAAUUAAUAAUCCCUCCUUUCCUCUUUUUGCCUUUCUUAAAUUCUCACAACUCUUUGCCAAGAAAAUAGAAGAAAACUGAAACAACUUUAGUUGUUGAUGAGUCACAGUAACUUAGCCUCACUUAUUAGUAGCUUUGGAUGGAUCUAAUGGCUAAGCUUGGCGACAAAUGUCUAUGUCCACCUUCUUCUUCUAUAUAUAUAUGCUGACCCCUCUUGGUCUUGGACUCUUGGGUCUCUCAAAAUCGAGUAUUUAAUAAAUAAAAAUAAAGUAAAAUAAAAAUGUGUAAAGCAUUAACUACAAAAGUGGAGGUAAAUCCUCCAAAGUCAGCUGUGUGGCAAACGGAAAAGUCUCUACCCUCUACACAAAACCGCGUGGCAUUCAAUGUGGCCUUGCUCCUCUCAAAAACCCUAAUAUUCAAAAAGUUUAUUAUAAUUAGGUUGUGUUAUUUAAAAUAUCAAUAAUAACGGGGACAUGCAGGAUAACAUGAUAAUGAUAUUUGAUAAGAUAUCUCCCUCUAUAGUGUUUGAUUUAUUGCUACGAUAAUUUUAAGAAUUGAAUAGUGCCUAUUGCAUUUAUGUGUAGUGCAUAGGCUUUGUUAAUAAUAGAAAUGUUGAUAUGGUAUUUUGACGAACGAUAUUUUCUCUGCGUCAUUUUUGCUGUUUCGGUUCUCCAUGAAAACUAAUUAUCUUCUCUAUUAAAAGAAAAUUAUCAUUUUUAUCUAUUACAAAAUAGUCAUACUAGAAAUCUAAGUCUAUAUAUUCAAAUAUUUUUUUAUUAUUUACAUUAGUUUAUUUAAUGUAUAAUAUUUCUAAAUAAUUAUAAGGAUAUUAAUAACAAAUCCAUUUUAACUAUAAAUUUAAAUUUUAGUUUUAGAAUAACAAAAUCUGUUGAGAAAAAAUCUAACAAAAUCUUUUUAAAAAUUUAAAUAUUCUUUUCAUUAAUGCACUGAUUAAUUUCGCAAUCAGUAGUAUAAUAUUAUUAUAAAUUAAUUUUAAUUAAUUUUUUAUUAUAAACAAAAUAAUGAAUUUUUUGCUAAUUUUAUAAAUUUUAUAAGUAUAUUCUACAUUAUAUUAAAAUAGAAGUAAUUAAUGAAUUACAUAUUAAAAUUAUGUUUUUUUGCAAACAUAUUAAAAUUAUGUUGAAUUGGUAAACCAUUAUAUUUUGAAAAAAUACUUUCAUGAAUAUAAAUAAAUAAAAUAUUAUUCAUCGUUUAAAGUGACUAAAAUAUCAUUCACUUUUUAAAAUGAUUAAUAUUCAUAAAUUAUGUAAUAACUUUCACAAAAAAUAAAAUUGUUAACAGAUGUUAAAGUUUAAUAUUUAGAACUAUAUAUCAUCUAUUUAGUUAUUUUUAAAAUGACAGUAAUAUAUUAUCAUAAAUUAUUAUAUACAAAAUAAUAUAAAAUUUUAUAUUUAUAUUUAUAAAUGAAAUGUUAUCCGCACGGGUGUGCGGAUUAAAAUCUAGUUUAUUGUUAAGAAAAUAGAGAGGAAAAAAUUGCUGUUUUGGAUUGAACCAGUGGGUCUUUGGCCAUUGUCAAAUUACAUUAUGGUCUACGUCAUUCACAUGGCUGAAUCUAAAAUUUUGAGAGCUUGAAAUAUUUUUUAAUAAAUUUUUUUUCAAAAUUUAGACGCCUAUACCUAUAUAAAAAAAAUUGGGAGCAAAGCCAAUGUUUCACUGACCUAUACCCAGAUCUGUGGUCAUUCAUGAUGUUGGGACUCCCCGAUACAUACAAUGUUUGCAAAUGCAUCUAUAUAUACAUGAAAAGAUAUCAAUAUGAUUUAGUAUGUUUUAUCCUGGAUUUUUGGUUUUUAGAUGGAACCAGUUGUACGUUACAUAUGUCACUAUCUUAGGUGGUGAAAAGAGAUUAAGAUUUAAGAGAUAAUGUUUUUUUUUGGUCAAAGAGAUUAAGAGAUAUUUCAAUGAAAAUUUGGUAUAAGAUAAAGAGGAUUACUGGAUUUGAUAGACGCAAGGCAUACAACCAUUUAUAUUUAUGUGUACAUGUGUAUUUAUGUGUAUAUAUCAAUUUGGGUUCACGAGGCCGGAGGAAAAGGAUGAAGAAUAGUCACGGGACUACUUUAAUUUCUCUCUUUUUUUGUCAAAUGUUGUGCUGUGUCAAUUUAUUUAUGCACUAAUGCAGGUAAUUUUUUUAAUCACUUGGACUGAAAUUGAAGAUGUUGAUAACAACUCAAAGACGUAAUUAAAACCAAAAAACUCAAAAGUGUAAUCUCGAGAAAUGAAAAUGGUACUCAAAGGAGUAUUUGUUUACAUCUAAUUAAAACAAAUUUGUCAAAAUAUAUUCUUUUACGGUGGAUGUCCGAAAUUUUCAUUUUCAUUCCCUCUUCUUUAAUUUUAGUUUCAUCACUUCAGUCUAUCAUACGGAGGAAGUGUAGGAUACGAUCCAACUUUCUUUUAAACUAGGACGUAAAUUUCGACGGCCACAAAAAUUGGAGAUAUGUACUUUAUAAACUGAUAUAGGUAUGGAUGGUGCUUGUGAUGUAGGGACUGGCCAAUCACAUUUUCCAGCGUAUAUAUACCUACUUUAAAACAUUAUUAGUAAAUAAAAGAAGGAAAAAAAACAUAAGCAAUAAAAUAAAAUAUUAGGUACAAAUUGAUAUUCGUCAAUGAAGAGAAAUAAAAGCACUGCAAGCGCACAUGCAGUUGAUUACAUGAGAGAACAACAAAUGCGAGUGCAGUUCAUAUUUAUUACUAUAAGCAAGUGACACUGCAUGCGAUCGGUAAUACUCGAUUUAACCAAACCGGACUUGACCGGUCUGUACCGUUUGGUUAGUUUAUUAAAAGCUAUUGAAUAUAUGGGCCUCGUUAUCAGGCCUAGCGCUCACAUCCGUUGGAUCUAGGGUUUAAUUAGAUAUAUAAACUCCCAUCAAAGCUCGCGCCGCACUUCCAUUGUUUGUUCUGUUACUCCUCAUCAGAGCUUUGCGAAAAUGGUUCAACGGCUUGUGUACCGGUCACGCCACUCUUACGCCACCAAAUCCAACCAACACCGCAUCGUCAAAACUCCUGGUAACGUUACCGACCGAUGAUCUAAUGAUGUAAUAGCAAGAUUGAUCUAAAGAGAUAUUUUUUUGUUUCUGGUUUUGUGAAGGUGGGAAGUUGACUUACCAGACGACGAAGAAGAGAGCUAGUGGACCUAAGUGCCCUGUCACUGGCAAGAGAAUCCAAGGGGUAUGUAUGUAUGCCUUUUUUUUUUUCAAUUCUUUGUCGGAACUCAGACAUGAUUGUGGUUAGAUGUAUGUCGGAAUGAGACAUUUAGUUAAUGUUAGAACUUGUUUGUUUAAGAUUGGAAAGAUAGUGGAGAGAUUUAUUCUUGUAAUCGUUUAGAAUUUAGUUUUGGAUGUUUUGUGUUUGUGUAGAUACCGCAUCUUAGACCUGCUGAGUACAAGAGGUCGAGGCUGUCGAGGAACAGGAGGACAGUGAACCGUGCAUACGGUGGUGUUCUAUCUGGACUAGCUGUUAAAGACAGGUAAGCUAAUUUUUCUUAUUAAAGGUUAUUACAUGAGUUCUUGAAAUGUAACUAAUAUGUCUGCUACUACAGGAUCGUUAGGGCAUUCUUGGUGGAAGAGCAGAAGAUUGUGAAGAAGGUUUUAUAUAUUUAUGUUUUUAUAACACCAUAUAUCUAUGUUAUGUAUGUUUUUAUAACACCAUAUAUCUAUGUUAUGUAUGUUUUUAUAACACCAUAUAUCUAUGUUAGUUGUCACAAAUCUUCCCCUCAUUGUAUAUUUAUAUAUGUAUGUUUUUAUAACACCAUAUAUCUAUGUUAUGCCUCUUUAUCUAUAUAUUUUGGUAUCAAAUAUAUAGUUCACAAAUAUUCAUUGUAUAUAUAUAUACACGUUAUGCCUCUUUAUCUAAUAUCAUUUGACGUUUUUUUGUUAGCAGGGAAAAGUUUGGUUAGGCCCUAAUCUUCUUAUAUGUCUGAAACCACCUGCUGUUAAUAUAUGAUGAUAUGAUGUAAAUCACCCCUCCCAACAUAAAUCAAAUUAGGAAUACAAUAGAUCCAAUUCUUUACGUUAAAUCACUAGUCCAGACACAUCGUCGGUAGCAUUUCAAUGUUACAUGACAACGACGACGAAAACUUCAAGUUUGGUAUUAUCUUUGAUCAUCAUUAGCCAACAUGUCUAUAUACCCGAAUCCAAAAAAGGAAGAAGAAGAAAUUGAUGUAGAUGGCCAUCUGGUUAUAUGGUAGGGAAUCUAUGAAAACGGCAAUUGUACAUUUUACAUAUCAAAAUGAGUUUACCCAUUUCAAACAGAAAAGCAAAACCAGUUGAAUUAUUUCUUAUUACCUAACUUAAAAUUACGUUUUAUGAAAACUCACUUUUGGUUAUUUAUUAAUUAAGAAAGUAUAAUUAGCACAUUACCAUGUUAGGAAAAUAAAUUAGGGUCGUAGGUCCUAAUAUCACGGAUGUUGUCGAACAAAAUAAAGCAUAAGAUAAGAGAUCUUUCUCUGUAUAAUGAAAAUAUUAGAUUGAGAUUUUUUAAUAGAAAAAAUGGGAUAUUAUAAAGAGUAUGAUUCAAAGGUGACAAUGGCACCAAGACAAACUAAUUAAUUAUAAUUGUAUCAAAGGAAAAGUCAUUAAUGUUGGACCCUACAAUACCCAUUUAAAGGCAAACAAUAAUAAUUCUCAAACAUGUUAUAAGAGUUAUCGGUUGAAUCAAAUUAUAUAAUAAUAAUUCAUGUACUCACUUCCAUUAUAAUCAGAUUUGUUUAUGGAAUGUGGUGAUUAUCAAUCUAUAAAUAGGUUUAUCUAUUACCUAUAAGCACUGUAUACAGUCGAAAGUUUCUUUUGCUGAGUUUUAAGUACCUUUUACAACUAAUAAAGUUGUGCCUAUACUAAAGAGAAAUCUCACAAAGAUCAUCAAACCAGCCGUUACAUUCUUUUCUUUAUUUCCUUUAAAAAGGGUUCAUUAAGUUCGGCAAACAACAAAAAUAAUCCAUUAAAUUUAACCAUGUCCUUUUUCAUACAAGACGUUUAAAUAUAUUUUAUAUAUGAUACAAUAUUAAUUUCUUUAGUAAAAAACGGCCACUAUGUCAAAUGCAUUUCUAAAAGUUAUCCACUUAUUCUACACGAAUUUUAAUUCGAUCGCAUAAGCAAGUAUGGUCAACAUGAUCUCUGUUUAUGUCAAUCAAUCAACCUUUAGAUACAAUGUCAAUAUCUAGUGACAAUCAACGAUUCAAAAUUAGUGAAACUUGUUUGAGUGGUGUUUGUUGUUAUUUUAUGCUGUGUCCCCUACCAAACAUCGAUGCUUCCUCAAAAAGAAUAAAAGACAUUUCGUUAAAAUACACCACGAUAUCUUCAUUAUGUUGGAAAAUAAGUGUUAUAAAGCAUAAAAGAACUUUCCAUCAAUGGAUCAAGCUAGAAAGAAGGAAUCAUAGUAGCAGUAAACCGUAGACCAUAUCUUAUUCAACUCUCACAUGCCCCAAUUUUGGCCUCAACCCAAUCUUUGAAUCUUAUGUUAAACAAUAAUUACAGGAAUAUUAAUUUGAUAUACUAUAACAUAAAAUUAGAUGCUUUGCUCGAGGAAAGGGGUGCACAAACGACCAAAUCCACAUAUUUACUAUUUAUACAUUUAUUUAUUCUUAUCUGUUGUCGUUGGCACUUGGCCUAUCAGUAUUUUCCUAUUUUCACUAUCCAAGACCAACUUCAUUGCGAAUUUCUCAAACAAUACCUCAUCAAUAAAAUAAAAGAAGUAUAAGAAAAUUAGGAAAAAAAUGAAUUGGGGUUCUUAUUUGAGAUAGGAUGAGAUAGUCAUGAAAACACCAGGUGCCAUUAGUCCAUAUAUGAUUGGUUUAUUUGUUCUAAGUAGUAAAAUUUAUCUAAACAAACAGUUAGAUUAAUAUCAAUAUUUAGAGGUUGAGAUCAUCUAUACGGGGAUCUUAGGGAUAGACAUGCUUUAAUAGGUUUGAUGACAAAUAGUAUGUUUGAAAUAAAGAUCUUAUGUUUUAUUGAUGAAAUAGAUGAGUAUAUAUACUCAAGAACUUAAACAAGACCAAAGCUUAACGUAAAUAGGAAAACCUAAUUGUUAUCCUUAUCAGAAACUUAAAUAGAAAACUUAUCCUAAGUUAUAUAGGAGUUAUCCUCCAAUACCCCUCCUCAAGUUGGAGCAUGUAGGUUGUUAAUGCCUAACUUGAGAAGAAAUGAAUCGAAUUCUUUACGUCCAAGAGCUUUGGUUAGAAUAUCGGCAAGCUGGUCAUGAGUCGAAACAUGAGUCGUUCUGAUGACUCCUUUAGUUAUCUCAUCUCGUACAAAUUGGCAAAUGAUCCCCAUAUGCUUAGUCUUUUCAUGUAGGACCGGGUUAGCGCUUAUAUGUAGUGCUGAUUUGUUGUCGCAGCAGAUGAGCAUUGGUUCCUUGUGUGUAAUACCAAGUUCAGUAAGCAAAUCUUUGAUCCAGAUAAGCUCCUGUGUUAUAGCUUUUAGUGCUCUAAACUCGGCUUCAGUUGAAGAAAGAGAAACACAAUCCUGUUUUCUUGUCUUCCACGCUACAGGGGACGUCCCAAAUUGUACAAUCAUGCCAGUUAGCGAUCGAUGCGUCACCGGACAUGCGCCCCAAUCUGAGUCACACCAACCAGUCAAGGAGAGCGGAGCAUCGGCACGACAUAGAACCCCUUGUCCAAUCGUCCUUUUUAAGUACCGCACAACCUUGAAGGCUGCAAGCCAAUGUUCCUCUCUAGGCUUUUGCAUGAAUUGAGUGAGAAUGUGGAUAGAAUAUGCAAGAUCUGGUCGAGUAGCUAGAAGGUAAAUGAGUCUUCCAGUAAGGCGUCGGUACCGUUCUGGAUCAUCAAGAAACGGACUGUUUGAUUUUGCGAGAUUGUGGUUUUGAUCCAUAGGUGAUCCAGCCGGUUUACUUCCAAGCAAGCCACACUCCGUAAUGAUAUCAAUCGUAUACUUACGUUGACAUAGAUAGAUUCCUUGUGGUCCUCGUGCGACUUCGAGGCCAAGAAAAUAUUUGAGAGAACCCAAAUCCUUCAUAAAGAAACAUGUUGAUAAAUAUGUUUUGAAUGAUCGUAUUGCAUCUGAUGAGUCUCCCGAGAUAAUCAAGUCAUCGACAUAGACAAGAAUGCGCAGUGUGACUUUGUUGCGUGAAUACACAAACAGUGAAUGGUCUGAGCAUGUCUGAGAGAAUCCAUAUUUCACGAGGGCUUCAACUAGUUUAGCAAACCAACACCGGGGUGCUUGUUUUAACCCAUAGAGUGACUUUCUGAGACGGCAGACUCGGUUAUCGUUUGGAGCUGCGAACCCCAAAGGAAUCUUGAUAUACACUUCAUCAUGGAGAUCUCCAUGAAGGAAGGCAUUGUGUACGUCCAUUUGAUGUAUCUCAUGAUUCUUCUUUGCUGCAAUAUCAAGAAAAAUGCGGACCGUCGUCAUCUUUGCUACUGGUGAGAACGUCUCUGUGUAGUCGAGACCUUCUUCUUGAUUAUUUCCCAGAACAACCAGUCGAGAUUUAUGACGUUCUAUUUUUCCAUUUGCCAGAAGUUUAAUGGUGUAAAUCCAUUUAGUUCCAAGAGCCUUUUUGCCUGGUGGGAGUUCUUGAAGAUCCCACGUAUGAUUACGUUCAAGUGCAUCCAUCUCUGUUUUCAUAGAUGCCCGCCAUACAUCGUAUUUCAUUGCCUCCCGAAAAUGCUUAGGCUCGAUAUUGGUUGUUAAAGCCACAAGAUAGCUACGAUGGGAAGAUGAAAACCGAUCAUAGGAGACAAAAUCAGAUAGAGGAAAGAUCGUACCUGAAGACGGCUGAGGCGCGGAUGAAGGAAGAGAAGAAGUGAAGAUAGGGAUUGUAGUAACCGUAUUCACGACAUAGUCACGUAGUCGAGAAGAGGGCAUUCGUGUGCGCUGACCGCGUCCCAUAUUGUCUGCAGGUUCUAUAACACAUGUUGUGUCUGUUGCAGUCGUUGUAGUCAAUAUCUCUGUUUCAUCAUCUGGCUGUGUUGUUUCGACUGGUGUCUCAGUAUGUAAGGCACUUUGAUCAUCUUCUGUUUCUAGAUUUUCUUCUUGUAUGUUUGAGUUCACAAACGGUCCUGUAGCAAGGAUCUCCUCAGUCUGUGACGUCGUUUUCUUAUCAGAAUAAGGGAAUAUAGUUUCUUGGAAUUCAACAUCUCUUGAUAUAAACACCGUUUCUUGCUCCAGGUCAAAGAGUUUCCAGCCUUUAGUACCCGAAGGAUAACCGAUGAGUAUGCACCGUCUGCUUCGUGAGGCGAACUUGUCACCCUUAGUAUUUUUAUUAUGAGCAUACGCUAGGCAUCCCAACACACGAAGAUGAGACAUGGUCGGAGGCUGUUCAUGGAGAAUCUCGUAUGGAGUUUUGUUAUUGAGCAAAGGUGAUGGUGUUCGAUUGAUGAGAUGUCCUGCGGUCAAAACACACUCUCCCCAAAAUUCGAUUGGCAAGUUUGCUUGAAACCGUAAGGCACGUGCAAUGUUGAGGAUGUGUCGAUGUUUCCUUUCAGCCCGUCCAUUCUGUUGCGGUGUAUAAACGCACGAUGUUUCAUGGAUGAUCCCUUGUUCUUUGAAGAAACGUGUGAGACAAGUGAACUCUGUUCCGUUAUCACUUCUCACUGUUUUUACUUUCUUUGAAAAUUGUCUUUCGACUAAGAGUAGGAAGUCUUUGAGUUGUUGAGAAACCAUCGAUUUAUCUGGCAUCAAAUAUAACCAUACGGCUCUUGAUCUGUCAUCAAGGAUUGUGAGAAAAUAUCUAGAACCGCAGAAGGCUGUUGUUCGGUAAGGUCCCCAGACAUCACAGUGUAUUAAAUCAAAAACUUCUUUUGCAUUAUGAGAACUGUCUGGAAAACUAAGUCGAGUUUGUUUGGCUCGAAAACAAAUAUCACAAGUUUUGAUAAUAUGUUCAUUAGAAGAUGAACUCUUAAUCUCAGGAAUCAUGCUGGUAAUUCGAGAAGAUGGAUGACCAAGGCGCCUAUGCCACAAAACUGAGUCUUCAAGGACAUUAGUCUGCAGCGACACGAAUGUUUCAAUCCCUCGAUAUUGUCUGCAGGUUCUAUAACACAUGUUGUGUCUGUUGCAGUCGUUGUAGUCAAUAUCUCUGUUUCAUCAUCUGGCUGUGUUGUUUCGACUGGUGUCUCAGUAUGUAAGGCACUUUGAUCAUCUUCUGUUUCUAGAUUUUCUUCUUGUAUGUUUGAGUUCACAAACGGUCCUGUAGCAAGGAUCUCCUCAGUCUGUGACGUCGUUUUCUUAUCAGAAUAAGGGAAUAUAGUUUCUUGGAAUUCAACAUCUCUUGAUAUAAACACCGUUUCUUGCUCCAGGUCAAAGAGUUUCCAGCCUUUAGUACCCGAAGGAUAACCGAUGAGUAUGCACCGUCUGCUUCGUGAGGCGAACUUGUCACCCUUAGUAUUUUUAUUAUGAGCAUACGCUAGGCAUCCCAACACACGAAGAUGAGACAUGGUCGGAGGCUGUUCAUGGAGAAUCUCGUAUGGAGUUUUGUUAUUGAGCAAAGGUGAUGGUGUUCGAUUGAUGAGAUGUCCUGCGGUCAAAACACACUCUCCCCAAAAUUCGAUUGGCAAGUUUGCUUGAAACCGUAAGGCACGUGCAAUGUUGAGGAUGUGUCGAUGUUUCCUUUCAGCCCGUCCAUUCUGUUGCGGUGUAUAAACGCACGAUGUUUCAUGGAUGAUCCCUUGUUCUUUGAAGAAACGUGUGAGACAAGUGAACUCUGUUCCGUUAUCACUUCUCACUGUUUUUACUUUCUUUGAAAAUUGUCUUUCGACUAAGAGUAGGAAGUCUUUGAGUUGUUGAGAAACCAUCGAUUUAUCUGGCAUCAAAUAUAACCAUACGGCUCUUGAUCUGUCAUCAAGGAUUGUGAGAAAAUAUCUAGAACCGCAGAAGGCUGUUGUUCGGUAAGGUCCCCAGACAUCACAGUGUAUUAAAUCAAAAACUUCUUUUGCAUUAUGAGAACUGUCUGGAAAACUAAGUCGAGUUUGUUUGGCUCGAAAACAAAUAUCACAAGUUUUGAUAAUAUGUUCAUUAGAAGAUGAACUCUUAAUCUCAGGAAUCAUGCUGGUAAUUCGAGAAGAUGGAUGACCAAGGCGCCUAUGCCACAAAACUGAGUCUUCAAGGACAUUAGUCUGCAGCGACACGAAUGUUUCAAUCCCUCGAAACCGGUACAAUCCCUCUCCUUCUCUUUCACCCGCUCCAAUCAGCGUCCUCGAGGUACGGUCCUGCAAUAUCAUAAGUUUAUCAGUGACUUGUCCAACAAGAAAAUUAUCAGAAACAAGUUGACCGAAGGAGAUAAGAUUGGUAUGAAAUCCUUCGACGUAAUACACAUUCCGAAUUUGCAAUUUCGGAGUGAGUGUUACGGUUCCUUGUUUUGAAGCUACAGCACCGGACCCUGCUGGUAAUAAGACAGGUAUGGUCGGAAUAUCUCUUGUAUUUUCCAUCAAAUCAAGAUGUCCCGUCAUAUGAUGAGUUGCGCCUGUAUCUAAGAUCCAGAUACAAUCAUCACUCAUACCCUUUAGACGAUCUGUUGUUGCUCCUUUGUUGAUUAGUUUCUGCACGAUGUUCCAUUGGUCAUCUGUGAUACCGGUUAACCCAAGACGAUCUGCCUCAGUGAUGGUUAUGUUUGCUUGAAUCUCUUUUGGAGUUGUGUUCAGAACCGUGGCUGUAUUAGCUUUCAGGUUUGCACUACGAUCCUGUCCAGACGAGUUGCUGUUUGUAGGUUUCGUAUUGCGAUUAGUGGUUCUGUUUUUAGAAUUUUCCCACCACUCUGGAUAACCAAUAACGGUAAAACAUCCUGCAGCAUCAUGACCUGUACGACCACAAACCGUACAUUGCCGAGUUGGGUCCCUGUUUCCAGGUCUUGUUGUAGUAGGACGUGGAGAAUUUGAUGGUCUGGUUUGUGAAGCAAAACUCAUGACAGCUGGUUCUGGCUUUGUUGUUGAUCGAAGAAUCUCGUUUUGUGUUAUUGUUUGAUAUACACUAUCAAGAUCCGGAAGAGGAGAAAUUGCACAAAUUUGAGAGCGUAUGACUCCAUGCGUAGACUCGUCAAGUCCGGCAAGAAAGUCAUGGACCCUCAGAGUUUCCGUUUCUUUUUCUUUUGCUGUAUUCAGGUCGCAUUCACACUUGCCGCAACUGCAUUGUUUCGAGUUCAUACACUCUGCAAUGCCGUCCCAUAGUUUUGUGAGACGCCCAAAAUACUCGUCGAUAGACGAGCCAUCUUGUUUGCAAUUUGCGAGCGCGUUUCUUAGCUGUUGCAAGCGUGCUCCGCUUUUAACCGAAUACCGCUUUUUGAUGAUGUCCCAUAGGUCUUUUGCGACUUCACGGGUUGAUAUUGAAGAUCUGAUUUUUGGUUCAAUGGUUUGUUUUAUCCAACCUACAAGAAGAUGAUUAUUUGCAAUCCAAUCUUCAAGGUAGUUUGAAUCGGCUGCCGGUUUAGGAAGACUGCCGUCGAGGAAUCCGAAUUUCUUCCGUGAGCUUAUGGCCAUAUGGAAGUUGAUAGCCCAUUCAUCAUAAUUUAACCCAUUAAGGAGCGGUUGUGAAAUCACAGCUCCAGGAUUAUCAUUAGAUGAGAGGUCAUAUGGUGAGAUUCUUUUGUACUUCAGGUCGCCAGUUGCUGGAGUGAUCGACAUCGUUUGUUUUGUGUGAUCGCUGAAGUUGUUUGGAUGUUCUUAGUUUCAAGUCGAGAAACAAAGAGUUUUGAAUAAGGAUGUUGUGUUUGCGAUUUUUGCAAAGACAAUAGAAAUUUUAUGUAUUUAGUUUUGUUCUUGCUCUGAUACCAUGACAAAUAGUAUGUUUGAAAUAAAGAUCUUAUCUUUUAUUGAUGAAAUAGAUGAGUAUAUAUACUCAAGAACUUAAACAAGACCAAAGCUUAACGUAAAUAGGAAAACCUAAUUGUUAUCCUUAUCAGAAACUUAAAUAGAAAACUUAUCCUAAGUUAUAUAGGAGUUAUCCUCCAAUAUUUGAGUACUUGUUUUAUGAUUAUUUUUUGUUACUAAAAUGUUAAAUUCACUUGUGUUAUGAUGUUUAUUCAUAGCAAAGAAAAAUCAGGAACAAAGUAAGAAACUGAUGAAAAGAGGUACAAUAAAACUUACACUCACAAAGUAAUUAUCAAUGUUUAGGACUAAAAUAACAUUAUGUAUCUCAAUCCAUAGAUAAUGCUGUCGAUAAAACUUAUUGUUUUAAAAGAAGAUAAAACUUAUACUUAAGAUUUUUAUAACAACGAAAAUGAUAUUUGAAAAUAUAUAAACUAUGCCAGUCCCAUACAAGCAAGAAAGAAACUCAUAUAUUUGAAUCAGUUUGUUAAUGUCCUGUAACUGUUAAAUGUUUAGAUGACACAUUGAUUUUUAAUAGUUGAAAUUUAUCUCCAUCAACGGAGAAUUUAUUAUCAUUUAAUUUUCUUUUUAAUUGAAAUGUUGGAUUUAUUAAGAUUGCAUUUGAUCAAGAUUGAAAUCAAAUAGAGCGUGAUCAUGUUUUUAGGCUACAUAGGACACCCAUACAUGUAUAAGAACUAAAAUGGAGCUCUUACUCUUAGCAUCACAAAAUUUGAUCUCUCAGCAAUACUAAGUUUGGUUUGGUUAUGAAUCAUACUCAUGGCAUACUAAAAACAAAUGAAAUGAUAAGUCCAUGAAACAUAAUUUAAUUUAUGGAUUACAAAUUUCUGAAUCGAAUAUAAAUUAUUAGUUUCGAAAUUUUCUUCCAGUAUGUUGGCUCAUAAGAUCCUUCUUGUUUUUGUUAAAUUUACUAGGUAAAAUGGCAAUAGAGUGAUAUAUAUACAUAUAUCAAUUUUUUUUUUGCAAUUUUGAUUUAAUUUUAAACUGCUGUUAUUUUGAAGCAAAAAAUAAAUAUAUUUUGCAAAAAAUAAAUAUAUAGAGCCAAAAUCUGAUGAGAAAACACAGUCAGUGGCAUCUAGAAUAAACCAAAUAUCACCCCUCUAAUCCGAGAUUAUUAACUCCGCGUGUGGUCACCGUCAAUUACUAUGGGCUAAAAUUAGUGGCUUCUAGAAUGCCUUCGACAUUGGUGUUUUUAGGCGCUAGUCAGAUUCCGUAUGGUGUCUGGAUAUCCAGAUCAUAAUAUAUAUAUAUAUAUAUAUAUUUAUUUAUAUAUAAUCUAUAUUUCGAAACCACUAAUUGAAUUACACCAAAUAUGUGGAUUUGUUUAAAAAAACAAAUUUGGAUUUGUUUACAAAACUAUUAAUUGAAUACAACAUUAAUUUAUCAAACAACAAAUUAUAGUACUCCCAAAAUACAUUAAUUCAUUAACAUCAAAUGGCCUUUUUCAACUUGUAGUUUUUUUUCCUUAAUCUCCACAUUAAUUACAGCAAAACUAAGGGUCCGAAUGGUAACCGCGGUUUUGGUAAUAAAAGCGGUGCGGAAUUGAAGUGCGGUACGGUCCAACUGCGGUUCGUGCGGUUUAUGGAAUAGGUGCGGUUUUGAUAGAAUUAGCGGUGCGGAUUUGUGUUUGAUUGGUGAAAAUAUAAUAUGCGGAAUUGAAAAAGUUAAAAUAUAAAUAUUAUAAAGGAAACAUAUCAUUAUAACUAACAUAACUAAAAAAUUUAAAUAUUAACAAAUAUUUUUAAGUGCACAUGAUUUAUUUUAAAUUUAAAUUAAAAACUCGAGUUUGAUAUUGAACCGAGUCAUUGACUUAUGACGAGUUUAACUGAUUUUUGACCAAUUUUCUAGUUCGAUUUUGUUGUAAUUAUUUUCACAUUAUUAAUAUUUAUGAUUUUAGUUUGUUUGUUUUCUGUUUUUUUUAUAAUAAAUUAAACAAAAAGGAAAAUGUUUUGGAUUUAAUUUGUAAAAAUAAAAAGAUAUUAAUUUCAUAAAGUAUUUUAGAUGAAUUAAAUCUAUAUUUUUGAAAAAGUUGUAAGCUAAUAAAGUAAAAUAUAUUAUUUAAAAUAAAUCAAGGGGAAUUUUAAAUAUUAGAACUAUUUUGAAAUAACAAUUCUAAUAUAUAUAAUAUUCAUUAAUUACUAAUAAAGCAUUUUGAAAAUAAAAAAUACAAUUAAAAAUGUAAAUAAAGUGGUAAAUAAAAUAAAUAAAAACUAAUAUUUAAUACUUUAAUUUUCUCAUAACAUAUGUAGAACACUAUCUUUUGCUUUCUCAUUUGUACAAAUGAAAUAGAUUAAGCAUUUUAAAUUACUACGUAAAUUUAUUGUCAUGUUUUAAUAAUAAAAAGAAUAUCUAGCUUCAAAACCAAAGCAAUUGUGAGACACGUUACUUACAUAUUACAAUGAUAGUAUUAGAUGUUUUACCAAAAAAAAAAAUGAUAGUAUUAGAUGAUAUAAAAUAUUUAUAUCAAUAAAAUAACAUAAAAAUAAAAGCCAUCAAGUGCGUUAUUGGUUGGACCGCUGGUCAUGGCCUGCUUUGAUAAUUCAAGUGCGUUAUUUGUUUUAACACGAACAAACAAAAAACAGUUUUUGACAAGUGCGUUAUUUUCAGAAAAACGCUUUUGAUUUAUGUUUUGUGUUGAUUGGUGACAUCUGCGGUUUUUCUGUCCCAUCAUAACAAAUACGCACCGCGAAGGUGUUCCCAUUCAUAACCUACAGUUCCCAGUCCACGAGCACAUACGAAUAUCUCUCUAUGUUUAUUUCGUCUUUGACCACUGGUCUUCUUUAACACUUCGUCUCUCUCUCUCCUCUCUUCAUUAUAUACACACAUCACAUCUUCUCCACACUCUCAUUCUCUCUCCAUUUCUUUCUUUUAUUUCGUCACUCCAAAACAAAACACUCAUAAAGAGUUCUCGAACUCACAAAUCAAUUGUCAGUUUUUUUUUAAAUACAAAACGUUAUUAUUCCUUUUCUUUAUCUCUCUGCUCUGGAUCUCUCCUCCAUUGCCAAUGAUCUCGUCCUCUCUCUGAGCCAACUCGUGUCUGACUCGCUUCUCCUUCCUUAAUCUCACGCCGCAAAAAUGUCAGAGACAACGGCAGAUGCAAAGCCGGUUCCUCCGGCUGAAGCCGAGAAGAAGAAAGAACAGAGCUUACCCUUCUUCAAGCUCUUCUCAUUCGCUGAUAAAUUCGAUCAUCUGUUAAUGAUCACUGGCUCAAUAGGCGCCAUUAUUCACGGCUCGUCCAUGCCUGUCUUCUUCUUGCUUUUCGGUGAAAUGGUUAAUGGAUUCGGCAAGAACCAGAUGGAUUUACACCAGAUGACACAUGAAGUCUCCAGAGUAAAAAUCAAAUCCUCUCAUUUCUCUCGUUUUAUUUUAUGUUUUAUUAAAAAUUAUAUUCAAGAUCUGAUCUGUUGUGUUCUGUCUUAAAAUAUGCAGUAUGCUCUGUACUUUGUCUACUUGGGUCUGGUUGUCUGCGUCUCUUCAUACGCAGGUUUGCCUCAAAUUUAAAAUCCAUACUUUAUAAUCAGUACCUCUAAUCCAUCUUUUUUUACCAAUACCUCUAAUCCAUUUCUAUAUUUGUAAUUUUAAAUAGAAAUUUUGCUCUAAUACAUGUUUCUACAAUAGAGCCUAAUUAUUUUAUGUGAAGGGAAAAUAUAUAGUUAGGUUAUAACAUCUCUAAUUGUUAGGUUUCUAAAACAAAAAUAUUAUAAUUAUUUAUUUAUGUUUUAUUUUUAUUUUAAAUUAGUUAAUUAUCUAUUUGAAUGAUAAUGUGUUUUUUUAGGGGAGAUUUUAUGAAAUAACCAAAAAAAUAAACAAAAUAGAUUUCUAGAGUGAGAAUAGAGAGAGAUAGGAAGAGAAAAGACCAUUUUGAUUACUUAUCUAAUUUAGGCAUUUUGUUUGGCUAUAGGGUGCAAUUUCUCUUUUUAGUAUCCUAAAGUUUUAAAAAACUCAUAACUAAAAUUUUUUGUUCAUUAUCUCUCUUAAUUUCAUUUUUUUAUAAUAAUGCUAAGAAUUCUUCUUAAUACUACUAUUGGAAGUGCUUUUAGAAGAAAUCCUAAACCGAAACAGAAAUUAUAUAAUAAUAUAAAAUAUCAUUUUUUUAAUUAAAUACAUUCAUUGAAUCAAAAUACUUCUCUAAAUUUUUUAUAGUAAAAUAUAUAUUUAAAUUGAGUUUAAAAUGUUCUAUGUAAACCCAGAAACAGAUAUCAUAUGAUAGGGUAAGAAAGAAAUUCAAUUUUUUUUUUGUAAUUGUAAAAAGUGGAAGGUAAGCUGAGUCCACGUGACUACUUGAGUCAUGGACUCAUUCUUUGUCUAUAUCGAUUAUGCCGUCAUCAAAAUGGAAUCUCUUUCACAUUUAUAACGCUUUGAAAAAACAAUCUUUUUAUUAUUAUUAUGAAAUACAGAGAUUGCAUGUUGGAUGUACUCUGGAGAAAGACAAGUAGCUGCGUUAAGGAAGAAGUAUCUUGAAGCUGUCUUGAAACAAGACGUUGGAUUCUUCGACACCGAUGCAAGAACUGGCGACAUUGUCUUCAGUGUCUCCACCGAUACUCUUCUCGUCCAAGACGCCAUCAGCGAGAAGGUAACAACAACAAAAUCUUUGUCCCUUUUACGUUAGCAAACCGUCAGUUAUCGUGCACCCCAGGUGGGUGCACGUUAGCAAGCAUGAGUUAACGUGCGCUUGAUACUAUCACCCUGUGUUUUUUUACAGGUUGGGAACUUCAUACAUUACUUGUCAACGUUUUUGGCGGGGCUUGUGGUUGGGUUUGUGUCAGCAUGGAGGUUAGCUUUGUUGAGUGUGGCGGUGAUUCCCGGAAUCGCAUUCGCCGGCGGGUUAUACGCUUACACUCUCACCGGCAUCACUUCAAAGAGCCGUGAGUCUUACGCAAACGCCGGUGUUAUAGCCGAGCAGGUGAAAAAAAUCUUUUCUUAAUAAUGCUUUACACUGUUCUUAGACUUGCUCGUUGUACUUGAUCCCUCUAAUGAUUAUGUUUCUCUUCCUUCUCAUUCAAUCCAACAAGGACUUAAACAGUGGUUUCAUGUAAUAAUUGACCUUUAACUUAAAAAUUUUGGAAAAUCUUUUAGACAAAAAAGUUUUUAUAACAAAAUAGCACAUAAAGAGAAAAAUCUCUAAAAUAACACUAUUUAAGAGACAAAAUGACUAAAUUACUUUAAACCCUAAACCCUAAACUCUUACACUAACCUCAUUCUCUAAAUAUUAAAACCUAAACAUUAAUCGCUAAAAUUAAACUUAAAUAAUUUUAUUUUAAGCUUUUAAUUAAUCUAUUUUGAAAGAAGAAAAGCUUGUGUGGUAUAAUUUGAACAAAAAUGUAUUUUAGUGCUAUUAUAGAGUACCUCUCUAAUUUUUUUUUGUUCUUGUGAAUUUACAGGCAAUUGCUCAGGUUCGAACUGUUUACUCUUAUGUUGGAGAGAGCAAGGCUCUUAGCUCGUACUCAGAGGCGAUUCAGUACACUCUUAAGCUUGGUUAUAAAGCUGGGAUGGCUAAAGGAUUAGGUUUAGGAUGUACUUAUGGAAUAGCUUGCAUGUCAUGGGCUCUAGUGUUCUGGUACGCUGGUGUUUUCAUCAGGAGUGGAACAACAGAUGGAGGAAAAGCAUUCACUGCUAUCUUCUCAGCCAUUGUUGGUGGAAUGUAAGGAAACAGAACAUCAAACUGAUGCCCUUUUUUUUGUUAUAGACUUUUAACAUGUGACUAUGUUGUUUCUAGGAGCUUGGGACAAUCUUUCUCAAAUCUUGGAGCGUUUAGUAAAGGCAAAGCUGCUGGUUACAAGCUGAUGGAGAUAAUUAACCAGAGACCAACUAUAGUACAAGACCCCUUGGAUGGGAAGUGCUUGGAGCAAGUUCAAGGAAACAUUGAGUUUAAAGAUGUGACGUUUAGCUAUCCUUCGCGUCCUGAUGUUAUCAUCUUCAGAAACUUCUCUAUCUUCUUCCCUUCUGGGAAGACCGUAGCUGUGGUUGGUGGUAGUGGCUCUGGGAAGAGUACUGUUGUUUCCCUUAUAGAGAGAUUCUACGACCCAAACAACGGUAACUUGAGUAACAAGCAACUCUUUUUAUCUAGGUUUUUGGCUAGUGUAUGGAUCUUGAUAACUUUUUUUUAAUGAGCAGGGGAGAUUCUGUUGGAUGGUGUUGAGAUAAAGACGCUUCAGUUAAAGUUCUUGCGUGAACAGAUCGGUCUUGUGAAUCAAGAACCUGCUCUCUUCGCCACAACCAUUCUUGAGAAUAUACUCUACGGGAAACCUAAUGCAACAAUAGAUGAAGUUGAAGCUGCUGCGUCUGCUGCCAACGCGCAUAGCUUCAUCACGUUGCUUCCUAAAGGCUACGACACACAGGUUGGAGAGCGUGGCGUUCAACUCUCAGGUGGACAGAAGCAAAGAAUCGCAAUCGCUCGGGCGAUGUUAAAAGACCCCAAGAUUCUGUUACUAGACGAAGCAACGAGCGCUCUUGACGCUAGCUCCGAGAGCAUAGUUCAAGAGGCUUUAGACAGAGUCAUGGUCGGGAGAACCACAGUGGUCGUCGCUCAUCGUCUAUGCACCAUACGUAACGUUGACUCCAUCGCGGUGAUACAGCAAGGACAAGUUGUUGAGACCGGAACACACGAAGAGCUCAUAGCUAAGUCAGGUGCUUACGCAUCGCUCAUUAGGUUUCAAGAGAUGGUUGGUACUCGUGACUUCUCUAACCCGUCAACACGUCGCACUCGUUCCACACGUUUGAGCCAUUCCUUGUCGACCAAGUCACUGAGCUUAAGGUCAGGGAGUUUGAGGAAUUUGAGUUACUCUUACAGCACUGGAGCUGAUGGUCGGAUAGAGAUGAUAUCAAACGCAGAGAGUGAUAGAAAGACUCGUCCCCCUCAAAACUACUUUUAUAGGCUUCUCAAGCUUAAUGCACCUGAAUGGCCUUACUCAAUCAUGGGAGCUGUUGGCUCGGUUCUGUCUGGUUUUAUCGGUCCAACCUUUGCUAUUGUGAUGAGUAAUAUGAUUGAAGUGUUCUACUACACUGACUAUGUUUCAAUGGAGAGGAAGACAAAAGAGUAUGUGUUCAUCUACAUUGGUGCUGGUAUCUAUGCUGUGAUAGCUUACUUGAUCCAGCAUUACUUCUUUAGCAUCAUGGGGGAGAAUCUCACAACAAGAGUAAGAAGAAUGAUGCUCUCAGGUAUGUAACAAAAUCUUGAAACAUUUUUUUUAUUGUUGCAUUUCUGAAUUUUUUUAUUUUUUUAUAGUUUCAUUUUUUAUUUUUUUUGUUUGUUUUUUUUAUUAGCAAUCUUGAGGAAUGAGGUUGGUUGGUUUGAUGAGGAUGAACACAACUCGAGUUUGGUUGCUGCAAGGUUAGCCACUGAUGCAGCUGAUGUUAAAUCAGCAAUAGCAGAGAGGAUCUCAGUGAUUCUGCAGAACAUGACUUCACUUCUCACAUCUUUCAUAGUUGCUUUCAUCAUUGAGUGGAGAGUCUCACUUCUCAUCUUAUGCACAUUCCCACUUCUAGUCCUUGCUAACUUUGCUCAGGUAACAAAAUUCUCAAUUCUUUGUUUUGCAACUAUAUGCACAUUAAAACAAUCUUUAAGGGUUAAGGUCUUAUUGAGUCUGCACAUAAAACUUGAUUAAGUAAAAGCCAAUAAAAGAGUAACUAACUUUUAUGUUUUCUAAACUAUUGUUUAUUUUAUAUCCAAAAGUUCAAAACUUUAUAGAACAUGUCAACACAUUCACUGCCUUCUGUAGUUGCAUUUCCUUUUCCGAUAAUAAUAAUCAUAAAAGAGUAUUCAGUCUUUUUUUUUCUCUUUUUUUUUUAGAAUAGUGUGUGACUGAUUGUGAGGGUGCAAGAUGAUGGAGCCCUCACAUCAAUAAAGUAGACUUUUACAUCUGUGAAGAGUAUUUAUUAUAUAGUUUCUAUUGGUAGUACGGCACAUAGAUAACAGUGUUCAUGAAAAUAGCUAAGAUUCAUCUGUCUUUUUAUGUAUCUAUCUUCUUGCUUUACUUCUGCAAAAUAUUUCCUGCUUUAAGCUUUCAUAGUUACUUCUCUGAACUCUGAUCCCACUCUCUUAUUAUUUAAUAAUUUUCCCCAUAAACCCAUUUCUCAUAUUCACAUAAAAUCCAAAAACCUUGCAACUUUUCUUUUCACACCAAGAACCAAUUAUUAUUAGGCACUGUGAAAGAAGGGCAGUGAUUUAUUCAAAAACCACUGUUGUUUUCUUCAUUGGUCAAACUGCUUGUCUCAGUUUUUAUUUACUUAUUCAAGUUGUGUGUGUGUCAGAGUGUCAGUGUUAAACAAUCAACCAAUGGUCCCAAUGAUAGUAUUAGAUGAUAUAAAAUAUUUAUAUCAAUAAAAUAACAUAAAAAUAAAAGCCAUCAAGUGCGUUAUUGGUUGGACCGCUGGUCAUGGCCUGCUUUGAUAAUUCAAGUGCGUUAUUUGUUUUAACACGAACAAACAAAAAACAGUUUUUGACAAGUGCGUUAUUUUCAGAAAAACGCUUUUGAUUUAUGUUUUGUGUUGAUUGGUGACAUCUGCGGUUUUUCUGUCCCAUCAUAACAAAUACGCACCGCGAAGGUGUUCCCAUUCAUAACCUACAGUUCCCAGUCCACGAGCACAUACGAAUAUCUCUCUAUGUUUAUUUCGUCUUUGACCACUGGUCUUCUUUAACACUUCGUCUCUCUCUCUCCUCUCUUCAUUAUAUACACACAUCACAUCUUCUCCACACUCUCAUUCUCUCUCCAUUUCUUUCUUUUAUUUCGUCACUCCAAAACAAAACACUCAUAAAGAGUUCUCGAACUCACAAAUCAAUUGUCAGUUUUUUUUUAAAUACAAAACGUUAUUAUUCCUUUUCUUUAUCUCUCUGCUCUGGAUCUCUCCUCCAUUGCCAAUGAUCUCGUCCUCUCUCUGAGCCAACUCGUGUCUGACUCGCUUCUCCUUCCUUAAUCUCACGCCGCAAAAAUGUCAGAGACAACGGCAGAUGCAAAGCCGGUUCCUCCGGCUGAAGCCGAGAAGAAGAAAGAACAGAGCUUACCCUUCUUCAAGCUCUUCUCAUUCGCUGAUAAAUUCGAUCAUCUGUUAAUGAUCACUGGCUCAAUAGGCGCCAUUAUUCACGGCUCGUCCAUGCCUGUCUUCUUCUUGCUUUUCGGUGAAAUGGUUAAUGGAUUCGGCAAGAACCAGAUGGAUUUACACCAGAUGACACAUGAAGUCUCCAGAGUAAAAAUCAAAUCCUCUCAUUUCUCUCGUUUUAUUUUAUGUUUUAUUAAAAAUUAUAUUCAAGAUCUGAUCUGUUGUGUUCUGUCUUAAAAUAUGCAGUAUGCUCUGUACUUUGUCUACUUGGGUCUGGUUGUCUGCGUCUCUUCAUACGCAGGUUUGCCUCAAAUUUAAAAUCCAUACUUUAUAAUCAGUACCUCUAAUCCAUCUUUUUUUACCAAUACCUCUAAUCCAUUUCUAUAUUUGUAAUUUUAAAUAGAAAUUUUGCUCUAAUACAUGUUUCUACAAUAGAGCCUAAUUAUUUUAUGUGAAGGGAAAAUAUAUAGUUAGGUUAUAACAUCUCUAAUUGUUAGGUUUCUAAAACAAAAAUAUUAUAAUUAUUUAUUUAUGUUUUAUUUUUAUUUUAAAUUAGUUAAUUAUCUAUUUGAAUGAUAAUGUGUUUUUUUAGGGGAGAUUUUAUGAAAUAACCAAAAAAAUAAACAAAAUAGAUUUCUAGAGUGAGAAUAGAGAGAGAUAGGAAGAGAAAAGACCAUUUUGAUUACUUAUCUAAUUUAGGCAUUUUGUUUGGCUAUAGGGUGCAAUUUCUCUUUUUAGUAUCCUAAAGUUUUAAAAAACUCAUAACUAAAAUUUUUUGUUCAUUAUCUCUCUUAAUUUCAUUUUUUUAUAAUAAUGCUAAGAAUUCUUCUUAAUACUACUAUUGGAAGUGCUUUUAGAAGAAAUCCUAAACCGAAACAGAAAUUAUAUAAUAAUAUAAAAUAUCAUUUUUUUAAUUAAAUACAUUCAUUGAAUCAAAAUACUUCUCUAAAUUUUUUAUAGUAAAAUAUAUAUUUAAAUUGAGUUUAAAAUGUUCUAUGUAAACCCAGAAACAGAUAUCAUAUGAUAGGGUAAGAAAGAAAUUCAAUUUUUUUUUUGUAAUUGUAAAAAGUGGAAGGUAAGCUGAGUCCACGUGACUACUUGAGUCAUGGACUCAUUCUUUGUCUAUAUCGAUUAUGCCGUCAUCAAAAUGGAAUCUCUUUCACAUUUAUAACGCUUUGAAAAAACAAUCUUUUUAUUAUUAUUAUGAAAUACAGAGAUUGCAUGUUGGAUGUACUCUGGAGAAAGACAAGUAGCUGCGUUAAGGAAGAAGUAUCUUGAAGCUGUCUUGAAACAAGACGUUGGAUUCUUCGACACCGAUGCAAGAACUGGCGACAUUGUCUUCAGUGUCUCCACCGAUACUCUUCUCGUCCAAGACGCCAUCAGCGAGAAGGUAACAACAACAAAAUCUUUGUCCCUUUUACGUUAGCAAACCGUCAGUUAUCGUGCACCCCAGGUGGGUGCACGUUAGCAAGCAUGAGUUAACGUGCGCUUGAUACUAUCACCCUGUGUUUUUUUACAGGUUGGGAACUUCAUACAUUACUUGUCAACGUUUUUGGCGGGGCUUGUGGUUGGGUUUGUGUCAGCAUGGAGGUUAGCUUUGUUGAGUGUGGCGGUGAUUCCCGGAAUCGCAUUCGCCGGCGGGUUAUACGCUUACACUCUCACCGGCAUCACUUCAAAGAGCCGUGAGUCUUACGCAAACGCCGGUGUUAUAGCCGAGCAGGUGAAAAAAAUCUUUUCUUAAUAAUGCUUUACACUGUUCUUAGACUUGCUCGUUGUACUUGAUCCCUCUAAUGAUUAUGUUUCUCUUCCUUCUCAUUCAAUCCAACAAGGACUUAAACAGUGGUUUCAUGUAAUAAUUGACCUUUAACUUAAAAAUUUUGGAAAAUCUUUUAGACAAAAAAGUUUUUAUAACAAAAUAGCACAUAAAGAGAAAAAUCUCUAAAAUAACACUAUUUAAGAGACAAAAUGACUAAAUUACUUUAAACCCUAAACCCUAAACUCUUACACUAACCUCAUUCUCUAAAUAUUAAAACCUAAACAUUAAUCGCUAAAAUUAAACUUAAAUAAUUUUAUUUUAAGCUUUUAAUUAAUCUAUUUUGAAAGAAGAAAAGCUUGUGUGGUAUAAUUUGAACAAAAAUGUAUUUUAGUGCUAUUAUAGAGUACCUCUCUAAUUUUUUUUUGUUCUUGUGAAUUUACAGGCAAUUGCUCAGGUUCGAACUGUUUACUCUUAUGUUGGAGAGAGCAAGGCUCUUAGCUCGUACUCAGAGGCGAUUCAGUACACUCUUAAGCUUGGUUAUAAAGCUGGGAUGGCUAAAGGAUUAGGUUUAGGAUGUACUUAUGGAAUAGCUUGCAUGUCAUGGGCUCUAGUGUUCUGGUACGCUGGUGUUUUCAUCAGGAGUGGAACAACAGAUGGAGGAAAAGCAUUCACUGCUAUCUUCUCAGCCAUUGUUGGUGGAAUGUAAGGAAACAGAACAUCAAACUGAUGCCCUUUUUUUUGUUAUAGACUUUUAACAUGUGACUAUGUUGUUUCUAGGAGCUUGGGACAAUCUUUCUCAAAUCUUGGAGCGUUUAGUAAAGGCAAAGCUGCUGGUUACAAGCUGAUGGAGAUAAUUAACCAGAGACCAACUAUAGUACAAGACCCCUUGGAUGGGAAGUGCUUGGAGCAAGUUCAAGGAAACAUUGAGUUUAAAGAUGUGACGUUUAGCUAUCCUUCGCGUCCUGAUGUUAUCAUCUUCAGAAACUUCUCUAUCUUCUUCCCUUCUGGGAAGACCGUAGCUGUGGUUGGUGGUAGUGGCUCUGGGAAGAGUACUGUUGUUUCCCUUAUAGAGAGAUUCUACGACCCAAACAACGGUAACUUGAGUAACAAGCAACUCUUUUUAUCUAGGUUUUUGGCUAGUGUAUGGAUCUUGAUAACUUUUUUUUAAUGAGCAGGGGAGAUUCUGUUGGAUGGUGUUGAGAUAAAGACGCUUCAGUUAAAGUUCUUGCGUGAACAGAUCGGUCUUGUGAAUCAAGAACCUGCUCUCUUCGCCACAACCAUUCUUGAGAAUAUACUCUACGGGAAACCUAAUGCAACAAUAGAUGAAGUUGAAGCUGCUGCGUCUGCUGCCAACGCGCAUAGCUUCAUCACGUUGCUUCCUAAAGGCUACGACACACAGGUUGGAGAGCGUGGCGUUCAACUCUCAGGUGGACAGAAGCAAAGAAUCGCAAUCGCUCGGGCGAUGUUAAAAGACCCCAAGAUUCUGUUACUAGACGAAGCAACGAGCGCUCUUGACGCUAGCUCCGAGAGCAUAGUUCAAGAGGCUUUAGACAGAGUCAUGGUCGGGAGAACCACAGUGGUCGUCGCUCAUCGUCUAUGCACCAUACGUAACGUUGACUCCAUCGCGGUGAUACAGCAAGGACAAGUUGUUGAGACCGGAACACACGAAGAGCUCAUAGCUAAGUCAGGUGCUUACGCAUCGCUCAUUAGGUUUCAAGAGAUGGUUGGUACUCGUGACUUCUCUAACCCGUCAACACGUCGCACUCGUUCCACACGUUUGAGCCAUUCCUUGUCGACCAAGUCACUGAGCUUAAGGUCAGGGAGUUUGAGGAAUUUGAGUUACUCUUACAGCACUGGAGCUGAUGGUCGGAUAGAGAUGAUAUCAAACGCAGAGAGUGAUAGAAAGACUCGUCCCCCUCAAAACUACUUUUAUAGGCUUCUCAAGCUUAAUGCACCUGAAUGGCCUUACUCAAUCAUGGGAGCUGUUGGCUCGGUUCUGUCUGGUUUUAUCGGUCCAACGUUUGCUAUUGUGAUGAGUAAUAUGAUUGAAGUGUUCUACUACACUGACUAUGUUUCAAUGGAGAGGAAGACAAAAGAGUAUGUGUUCAUCUACAUUGGUGCUGGUAUCUAUGCUGUGAUAGCUUACUUGAUCCAGCAUUACUUCUUUAGCAUCAUGGGAGAGAAUCUCACAACAAGAGUAAGAAGAAUGAUGCUCUCAGGUAUGUAACAAAAUCUUGAAACAUUUUUUUUAUUGUUGCAUUUCUGAAUUUUUUUAUUUUUUUAUAGUUUCAUUUUUUAUUUUUUUUGUUUGUUUUUUUUAUUAGCAAUCUUGAGGAAUGAGGUUGGUUGGUUUGAUGAGGAUGAACACAACUCGAGUUUGGUUGCUGCAAGGUUAGCCACUGAUGCAGCUGAUGUUAAAUCAGCAAUAGCAGAGAGGAUCUCAGUGAUUCUGCAGAACAUGACUUCACUUCUCACAUCUUUCAUAGUUGCUUUCAUCAUUGAGUGGAGAGUCUCACUUCUCAUCUUAUGCACAUUCCCACUUCUAGUCCUUGCUAACUUUGCUCAGGUAACAAAAUUCUCAAUUCUUUGUUUUGCAACUAUAUGCACAUUAAAACAAUCUUUAAGGGUUAAGGUCUUAUUGAGUCUGCACAUAAAACUUGAUUAAGUAAAAGCCAAUAAAAGAGUAACUAACUUUUAUGUUUUCUAAACUAUUGUUUAUUUUAUAUCCAAAAGUUCAAAACUUUAUAGAACAUGUCAACACAUUCACUGCCUUCUGUAGUUGCAUUUCCUUUUCCGAUAAUAAUAAUCAUAAAAGAGUAUUCAGUCUUUUUUUUUCUCUUUUUUUUUUAGAAUAGUGUGUGACUGAUUGUGAGGGUGCAAGAUGAUGGAGCCCUCACAUCAAUAAAGUAGACUUUUACAUCUGUGAAGAGUAUUUAUUAUAUAGUUUCUAUUGGUAGUACGGCACAUAGAUAACAGUGUUCAUGAAAAUAGCUAAGAUUCAUCUGUCUUUUUAUGUAUCUAUCUUCUUGCUUUACUUCUGCAAAAUAUUUCCUGCUUUAAGCUUUCAUAGUUACUUCUCUGAACUCUGAUCCCACUCUCUUAUUAUUUAAUAAUUUUCCCCAUAAACCCAUUUCUCAUAUUCACAUAAAAUCCAAAAACCUUGCAACUUUUCUUUUCACACCAAGAACCAAUUAUUAUUAGGCACUGUGAAAGAAGGGCAGUGAUUUAUUCAAAAACCACUGUUGUUUUCUUCAUUGGUCAAACUGCUUGUCUCAGUUUUUAUUUACUUAUUCAAGUUGUGUGUGUGUCAGAGUGUCAGUGUUAAACAAUCAACCAAUGGUCCAUGUUUGCUUGUGUUUCUUUGCUUGGUACAUUAGGUUGUGACAAGUUUUUGUUUUUACUAGCUGCAAGCUUCAGAACUUUGCUUAAGAUAUCACCAACAUUUUUUCAAAAUGUCAAUAAGAUUCUUCACCCGUGAUCUAAUGAAAAUCUAUCAGUAGAUUACACACACAAGGACCUAGAGAUACAAUGUACUUGCACAAUAAUUGAUGGUGUUGACGUUUUGCAUGUGUGAUUAACUGAAUGGUUCUUCAUCAGUGUUCUAAAAAUCGGUUUAAUAGGCGUCUACAAGUCCGUCUAGACCAUAAAUUGAGUUUAAACGAAACAAUUUUCCUUGAAUAAUUUAAAAAAAAAUCAGUUUAGAUACUAAAAAGUUGAUAUAGGUAUCCGCCUAAUAAAUAAUCCUCUAUAAAACAUGUAAUCAUUGUCUAUCGAUUUCUUGAACAUUGUUUAACAUCUUUAAUUGUUCUGAUCUAUAUUGCAGCAACUAUCUCUGAAGGGUUUUGCUGGAGACACAGCUAAGGCUCAUGCAAAGACAUCAAUGAUUGCUGGUGAAGGAGUCAGCAACAUUAGAACAGUAGCAGCCUUCAAUGCACAAAGCAAGAUCCUCUCCUUGUUCAGCCACGAGCUCCGUGUCCCACAGAAAAGAAGCUUCUACAGAAGUCAAACCUCAGGUUUCCUCUUUGGCCUCUCCCAGCUUGCCCUCUACGGUUCCGAGGCUCUAAUCCUCUGGUACGGUGCCCACCUUGUGAGCCAAGGCAAGUCAACCUUCUCCAAAGUGAUCAAAGUCUUUGUGGUUUUGGUCAUUACAGCAAACUCUGUUGCUGAAACUGUAAGUCUUGCUCCUGAGAUCAUCCGGGGAGGUGAGGCCGUUGGUUCGGUUUUCUCGGUUUUGGAUAGGCAGACAAGGAUUGAUCCGGACGAUGCUGAUGCUGAUCCGGUCGAGACAAUACGUGGAGACAUUAAGUUUAGACAUGUGGACUUCGCUUAUCCUUCAAGACCGGAUGUUAUGGUGUUCACAGACUUUAACCUUAGGAUACGAGCUGGACAUAGCCAAGCUCUUGUGGGGGCAAGCGGCUCAGGGAAGAGUUCUGUGAUCGCUAUGAUCGAACGGUUCUACGACCCGCUUGCUGGUAAAGUCAUGAUUGAUGGUAAAGACAUACGCAGGCUAAACCUAAAGUCUCUGAGGCUGAAGAUAGGUCUUGUUCAACAAGAACCAGCUCUUUUCGCGGCAACCAUCUUCGACAACAUCGCAUAUGGUAAAGAUGGUGCGACUGAGUCAGAGGUUAUCGAGGCGGCUAGAGCUGCAAACGCUCACGGUUUCAUCAGUGGUUUGCCUGAAGGAUACAAGACUCCUGUUGGUGAGAGAGGAGUACAGUUAUCAGGUGGACAGAAACAGAGGAUUGCUAUAGCUAGAGCAGUGCUCAAGAACCCUAGUGUGUUGCUUCUUGACGAAGCAACAAGCGCUUUAGAUGCUGAAUCUGAAUGUGUGCUUCAGGAAGCUUUAGAGAGGCUCAUGAGAGGUAGGACUACGGUGGUGGUUGCUCACAGGUUGUCUACCAUAAGAGGAGUUGAUUGCAUUGGUGUGAUUCAAGAUGGGAGGAUUGUGGAGCAAGGCAGGCAUUCUGAGCUUGUAAGCCGACCAGAGGGAGCUUAUUCAAGGCUGUUACAGCUUCAAACUCAUAGGAUUUGAAGCUUGAUGGAUUAAGAACAAAAAGUGAAAAUUUAUGUAAUUUAUUUAUCAGAACUUUAAUUUGGGAAGAUUAUAUGGACUAUAAUGAUAAUAUGAACAGGUGUAGAUAAUGAAGCUUUUGGUUGUUUAUGAAGGUUCUUUAAGGUUCCUCUUUUAUUUUAUUUUAUGUUAUAUUAUUUUAUUUUAUUUUUGGCAGAAGCUUUUUUUUUUUUUUUGUCAACUGGCAGAAGCUUAUAUAUGCUUAUGUGCCCUUUAUAUAUGCUUAUGUGGCCCUUUAUAUAUAUGCUUAUGUGCCCUCUCUGGGAUUUGAGAAUCAACUAUAUUUUCGUUUUGAUUUUGGUUUAUCAAUAUUUGGCAAAAACGCUUAGUUCAUAGUAGAAUUGGUAGGACAUUAGUGGUUUGAAUUUGAUCAGGCAUAGUUUGAUCCGGUCAAGUGGUCUUAGAGUGAGUCCACGAUUAACAUAUCAUAUAUGUACAAAUAUACGAUUGCAUUAUUUUCUAAGCUUAUCAAUGUUUAAUACUCAAACUGAAAGUGAACUAGAGGGCUCAAGAACACGCAAGCUUUGAAAAGGUUAUUGUAGAUUUAUCUUCCAAUAGUUGUGGUGAUGAAAAUGUUAGGAUCUAAUCACUCAUUUCCUUUUUCAUUAUUCCUGUCUGGUGUGUGUGGAUAUUAAGCUCAAAAUUAUAUGAAAAUGAAACAAACCAAAGAAACCACUUUCUUAUUGUAAUUAUAAUUUUUAUCUCUUCAAUAUGAUUAGUCUACAUGUUGGAUCUCUCUGCUUUUAUUUGCUUUGCAUGUGGUUUUUUAAAACCCUCUUUUAAGAUAAAAACCACUUUCUUAUUGAAAUAGUAUUUAUUUCCUAAUUAUUUUGGCAGUAAUAUGUAUGAAUGUUCGAAUUUGGAUGAUGACGCAUGGAUAACAAUAACACAGACUAUUUUAUUGAUUUAUCAUAGUCCAGAUAUUUGGAUUUUCUAAGUUUAUGUGUUGUUAAUCUUUUUUUGUAACUUUAUGUGUUGUUAAUUGCAGUUAAAAUUUUUUUUUAUCAAAUUUCAGCACAAAUGUGAAAUGAUUAACUAGAAAAUAUACAUAUAGCUUUUACAUAUAGAUCACAUAAAACUAAAAGCAUCUCAUGCGAAAGUAAUGAACACCUCAUGAAAAGCUGAAUCGAGUUAUGAAUUUUAUGGAAAGUGUUACUGUGUUAGUGUUAUCAUUACAACCUCAAAAUAAUUUCGAAUAGUAUACCACUUUGUUUUUUUAUCAACUAAUAGUAUACCACUUUUAAAUAAAGAAAAAUAUUGAAUAUGAAGCAGCAUUGGAACGCGUAGAAUGUCCCCACUUUGCUGACUGAGACACCUCAGGUGUCCCGUACCAGUAGGGUGUUCACUUUACAGUAGUAUGUGCGUAUUUUCAGUUUGUAAAUGUCGUAUAUACAAAAGCAUAUUCUUAAAGACAGCUAUAACGAAAUGUGAGAUAUAACGAAAUGUGAAGUGUUAUGCUCCCAAAUUGAAAGUUUAAUUUAGCCAAUACUAAUGUAUAAAAGGUUUGAACUAAUCCCUUUAUUGUUAACUGAUUUUAAAAUUUUUUUAUUCAGAAUAUCGUUUGUUGAUUCGAAUAGAAUGGUUCAAAAAUGGUUGAUUAUUGGUUGUGAAUGGGCAUAUUAAGAUCUUACAUUAGAGUUUAAAGAAAUUAAUACCAAUAUAUGAAAAAAAAUGAGUUAAUCCACUUAUUACUUAUUGUCAAUCAAUUUUAUAUUUGAAAGUUCAUAAAACUUUUACGUGAAAAAAUUAAAUAUCAAUUCAGACUUAAUUUGGAUCUUGUUAAACUAUCAAACAAUUAACCAAUAAAAAUCUAUUUUAACAAGAAGAAAAAGAAGCGACAUGUUUUUUUUUAUAACCGUGACAUGUCUACAUCCAAAGACAAAUCACUAUAAAAUCCGCAUGAUCCGUGUUUUUUUACCGCUUAAAACGUUUUGAGUGAUCAAAAAGAAUUGAACCCAUGUCGGUACUCAUAGCUGUGAGUUCUUUACGAUUAAGCAUAUACGAGUUACAUAUACCAUAUAAUAUCAAAUAUGUAACCGAAAUUUUAAACUUUAUGCUUAUAAUCUCUUUUGAUAAUUGAUUUUUUUUGGAACGCUCUUUUGAUAAGAUUAGUUUCCGAUUAUACCUCCUAAAACGUAAAUUUUCUAUUUUCAGCAUAAUUUCGAAUCAAACUAAUCUAACGCCAUGAAUACAAGAUUUUUAGAAUUUUAGUUCGGUGUAUUGAACGUACUGCAUUUUCUUUACCAAACUUAAUUCAUUUUACAUAAUUCGACAAUUAUCUCAAGUCAUCAACCCCGUGCCACUACGCAUGCGACCAAAUCCACUUAACAAAAAGACCAAGAGGAAACAUUUGAUGUGAUAUAUCAACACAUUUCUUCUAUAGUUUUCGCUUCGAUUAAAAUGGAUCCUCUCCUCUUGGGGUAGAAAAAUAGAAAAGUUGAGCGUCUCCUUCUGAUAUUCUUUGUCGCCAUGUCAAGUCAUUGUCGUUUCCCUUGUCAUAAGAGCAUCUCCAAUCAUAAGUUCAAAAGUUCUCUUUGUUUAUUGAUUUAGUUAUUUAGGAAAAGUCAAAUUGUUAUUGAAUAAUUAAAAUAUUAAUUUUUCAUUUUCUUAAGAAACUCUAACGAGGUUCAGUCGAUAAUUUUACUCUGAUACUCUAAGAAUAACAGUCUUCAUCGACGAGAAAACUCCCAAAACAACUAGACCCAUAAUAAGUUUUUAAUCCCCUUUCUCGUUUCUCUUAUGCGUGACAAUAUUUGCAACGCUUUGUCCAUCUUUUCCUUGUAUCUACAACGUUUUUUCUUUAGGCCGUAUGGGUCUUCCAUGACCGGAACAUUAAUAUUUCAAAUACUCCGAAUAUAUUUGUUUACUAACCACAUGAUCACUACAUAAUUAUUCUCUAUGCAUUGGCUUCAUUCACAUAAUAUCAUUGUAAAUUAUUUUUCAUCUAUCUUUUCCAAUAUUCCACCUUAAACAUAGUUAAAAAAAAGUUCUCUCUGUAUAAUAAUCGAAAAGUAAGUACGUUUUUGUGAUAUAAAUACUUUUUAGACCUUUUAACAUUCACCACCGUAUAGUAUAAGUUAGUUACUAUGUUACAAUGUUAUGGUAAUUUAUGGAUUCAACGUCCAUAUUGCUAUCGUGAUACUUCACCGCCUACUUGCAAUAGUAUCGGUAAUAUUAAUAAAACUCGGUUACGUGAUAUCAUAAAGUUGUUAGUACAAUUCAACGUUUGUAAAAUGAAGUUGGUGUAAGGAGUUAAAGCAAUUAUAUAUUGGUAAAUUGACCAAUCGGUUUGUGAGUAAAGCUAUAGGUAGGUGAGUGUGCUUAAACAUCAUUAAGUAUUCUGUCGGCCUAUAAUAUCAUUUCUUAUACAGUAUAUUUCUAUUUAAAACUUAUAAGAAAAAUAACUUAUAAGAAAGUCAAGACGUAUUGAUGACUCGUCUAAAUCACUAUUAUAGCAUGCUGUUUAUUAUAAUUACGAAUUUUAGCAAAAUCGUAAGCUUAAACUACGACGUUGAUUCCGCAACGUAAACCUAACUAUACCAGAAAUUUCAACUAUUUAAAUGAGAAUACUGUAUAUAGCUGCAUACGAAAAUUCAAUUAUUGCAUAUGGCUGCCUUUUCUCAUCAUUUCUUCAUUAACUUAUACUAGAUCCUCUGUCCGCGCUACGCGCGGAAUAUAAAUUUUAAAUAUAUUAUUCAUAAUUAUUAUUAAUAUGUGAAUAUUUUUACUUUGUAUUAAAUUUAAUUUUAAUGUUUAAUAGUAUCUUUAGCAGUUUUCUAUUAUUUUUUCUACGUUUUUGUUUUCUAUAAAUUUAGAAAUUUUAAAAAAUUUGAUAUAUGUACCACUUAGCUUUGGUCAUAUGAUAUGUCGAUAUUUUAUGAACACACUGAAGAUGGUAUUGAAAUCAGCUUAUCUUUUAUGUCAUGGAGGAGCGAAUACAAAAAGAAAUUUGAUAUGGAACAUAUAGCCAUUUUCAUGUAACUAAUAUUUGAUUUAAGACCGCGCUACGCGCGGAUUAUAAAUUUUAAAUAUAUUAUUCAUAAUUAUUAUUAAUAUGUGAAUAUUUUUACUUUGUAUUAAAUUUAACUUUAAUGUUUGAUAGUAUCUUUAGCAGUUUUCUAUUAUUUUUUUUACGUUUUUGUUUUCUAUAAAUUUAGAAAUUUUAAAAAAUUUGGUAUAUGCACCACUUAGCUUUGGUCUUAUGAUAUGUCUAUAUUUUAUGAACACACUGAAGAUGGUGUUGAAAUCAGCUUAUCUUUUAUGUCAUAGAGGAGCGAAUACAAAAAGAAAUUUGAUAUGUAACAUAUAGCCAUUUUCAUGUAACUAAUGUUUGAUUUAAGUGUAUUUAUAUAUAAAUUUAGCGCUAACUAAUGGAAACAAAAAGAAGUCACACCCUCUUUUGCAGGUGAAUACUAAUUUUUAUUCACUAUUUUCGAUGGGUUUUAAAAUAUGUAGUAGGUGGUAAAUUAAAUUAGAUUUUGUGUGUGUCUUUGUUGUAAUAUUGGUUUGCAAUGUAUUAUUAUUUGUAAUCAUUUUCUCUCAUGUGUCAGAUAUUCGUUUAUCCUUUUCGUUUUAAAUUUUUUUCUUUUGGUGAAUAAAGAACAUACACUUAUUUAUAAAGAGGAGAUAUAUAUUUUAACAAAGAGUAUUAUUUUUAUUUGAAUAAUAUAUGUUUCUGGUUGCAAGAAUACUAUAACAUAUUUAUGUAUAUGAGAAAAUACAUUUUUGAAAUCAAUAAAUGUAACAUUUUAUUUUCUUCUAAAGUUAAUGUCCAUGUACAGUUAUGUAUUGUAUUUAAAUAUGAUAUUUAUAUUUUUGAAGUUCAUAUUCUUCUAAACCACCGGAUACAACUUAUUGUUUGUAGAAUUUUGCUCCUACUAUAAAAGUGUAGUAGUUUUUUGAUUUCUCAUUUUUAAAUGUGUUGUAAUUGAUAGUUUUUUUUAAUGUAAUGUAAUUGAUAGUAGGAUUUCAUUUUUUUUUAUAUUGUUGGAUUAACGCUUCUAACCAGCCGGUUAAUUGUUUCUUAGCAUAUUGAUUUCUCAUGUAUCACAUAAGAAUAUUUGUCAAGCUCUCUUUUUCGACUGCUUGUUUUAUGUGUUUAUAGUUCAGCUUUUUGUGGAUACAUGUCGUUGUUUAAUGUUUCACUUGUAUAUUAACGUUACUUUUGUUGUUAUUGUAUGUAAUUAUUUUGUGGGAAUGAUUGAUACAACAAUGAUUAAUAUGUGAUUAUAUGAUUUUUGUGUUAAUUAUUGGUGUUAACUUUUGGAGUAUAUUUAUUGUAGUUUAUUAUUUUGUUGCUGUCAUUAAUUGUUGCCUAAAUUCUUUAUUUGAACCAAUUUUAAAUGUUUUUUUUCUAACUUUUGGUUCAUCUUAGUUUCAAAAAAAAACUUUUGGUUCAUCUUAUUUAUUUCUUUUUGUGUUUUGGCCAUAAUAUUUAUUUUGUAUGUAUGGUUCCAUUUUUUAUUUUUUUAAUUCAUUUGUUAUCUUUUUCAUUUCAGCCUCGUCUAUGUAAAGACAGUUUCCAGGUCUAGCUCUAGUAUUUGUUUUAGUUUUUGGUAUUUUUGGAAAAAAAUGUUAAGGUAGUUAUUUAUAUUUAUUUCUGAGUUUGAAAGAUUCUCUGUUGAUUCCAAUACCAUGGCGUUAAAUUUAAGCCGAUUGUCUUCAUGGUCAUUGCCGGAACAUUGAUUAGACCUUGAUUUUGUUGUAAUAUUAAAUUCAAUUUUUUUCAAUUUAUGUAAGAGAAGAAAACAGAACUGCUUGCCUAAACCAUUCAAGCAAUUAGUCCAACUUCUGUGUCUAAUAUAUAUAAUUAGUCAUGUUUAAGACCAAACAACAAAAACGAUUAUAAAGUAGAGCACAUUUGAAUAUGGUUGAAUGUGACUAUACUUUUUGAAAACUAAAUAAAUAUACAUUUUUAAAUCUGAAAACUAAAACAAAGUUUUAUCUAAACAAAAUGAAAAUCAAUACUAUGAAAUUUUUGUUACUUUGAAUCAAAUUUAUCGUCAAUCUAGAAAUAUGGUCAGAGAGUUUAAUGACUUUCUCAAAACUUUUCAUGGCUUCCCUUUUCUAUGGAUACUGCUCAAAUCCAAACCUUCUUCAACAAACAGAGCAUAGAGCUCUUGUCUCCCAACAGUGAGUGCAGCUGACACUGGGAUCAGCGAAGACAAAAAAUAAACCAUGAGCACAUCCAGUGGCUCGAUCCUUCAUGAGCAUCACUUCUAAACCUCACCGAAACUCUGAAAUGUACUCUCGAUCUUCAGUGCGUCUUCCAAGAGAGAUGACCGAUGAACAGCUUACAUGAUUCAAUUUUCAUUCUGCAACAGAAUUUGUUCCCGAGUUAUACAUCUAGUAAACAUCUCGAUCUGACUGAAAAAAUCAUAUAUGUCUAAAAAAAAUAUAAAACUCAGAAUCAUCUACUGGAAAAAUCUGAUUGAAAUAAUUGAAUCGAACAAAACUUUACGAUCAGAUCGAGAUCAGCUUUACUAAGAGGGCCGAGACCAAAAUCCGACCCGACGCUCUCAAAGACGAUGUGGAAUUUGCCGGUGUUGCGGUCCUAGAAUUUUCCGGAGAAGUGGAGCUAGCAAUCGUAGUUUCAGUUAUAUUAAAACUGCGUAAUUGGUCACCUGCGGUCCAUGUUCGAAACUACGCUAGGAGUGAGUCGGGCUGUUGGUUGGUGUCUAGCGAGUUAACGAAAAAUCGGAGAUUAAGCUGGAGUACGUGGGGAUUAGUUUUCAGUGGUUUUCUUAAUUUAUGUAUAACUAUAAUCUAUUAAACAUUUUUCUGCGUUUCUUUUGAAAGACGACGUGGUCCAGUGGCAAAAGACGAUUUUAUGACGGAGGAUGUCACGGGUUCGAAACGCAGAUCCUUUCUUUUUGUUUUAGAUUUUUUUUUUUAAUUAAUGGCAAACUCGUAAUUAAAUCGUCUUCUUCCUUUUAGGGCUUUCACUUCUACUAAAUUCGUCUUCUUCCUUUUAGGGUUUUCACUUCUACUGCGAAAUUUGCAUGGCCGCCUCGAACUUUUUUAACAUAAAACAUCAUUUUCUUGCAGUUUUCUUAUCAAUUUUUGCAUAAAAACUGUAGAUUUGCGACGUAACAUCAAAUUCCAAGCGUUUAAAAUUCAAAAGCCUGGACUUUUUUGAUGAAUCCGAUUUUUUGUCCGAUUUUGAUGAAAUCGCGGCGGUUCUUCACCGCCGAGCGUUGCAAGGCCAUGUACUCGGCUUGGUUGCCGCGUUUUCGAACAUGGCCUGCGGUUGAUGAACUAUACUAUUCGUCGGUUGAGUAUUCCCGAGUCAAUGUGAAUAUUGAACUGGAAAAUUGUAUUUAGAACUGAAGCCGAGAUGAUGAAAUCGACUCAAACAGACGAAUCAAUCUAUUAUUAGUGACUUUAUAGGUUGAAUCAAUAUAUAAUUAUGAGUGCUGGAGGAAGGUUUGGGAGAUAACACAGUCUUCUCAAAAAACGUUUUUGCAAGAGGAAAAAAGAUGAGAAGAUCAAUCGAAAUAGGCCCGAAGCUUUUUGAGAAGUUUGAUGGUGACGUGACCAAACAAUGCUCUCUGAUUGGUUGAAUUUAAUAAAUGACGUGGACAGCUUUAGAGUGGAGUAUAUCGGGCUUUUAGUAUAGUAGUAUAGUAUUUUAAUCAUACUCUUUAGUCAUGUGAAUUAAACAUGCAAUUUAUGUGUAUAGUGUCUAAUUGUGCUAUAUACAUUAGCAAAAUUCUUCACGUAUGAUUAUUAUUUUUUAUUAGGUAUGAAUAUACUAAAAUAUAAUAUUCAGAUUCUAAAUAUCACAAUAAAUAUUUGAUAAAAUUUUAUUUUAAUAUAAAUAUGAUUUGUUAAACAAUAUAUAAUGAUUUUUUUUAUUAAUAUUGACUAAUAUUUUUUUACUGAGAUAUGAAUAAUCAUCUAGUAAUUUUAAAAUGAUAAAAAAUCUAAAUAAUUGACAUGAUCAAUAAUUGUGAAUAAAUAAGAUAAUAAAGACUGCAUUCUUUAGACGCGUUUCUAACAUGACAUGUAACUUUGCAUAUUAAUCAGUAAUACAGUUAAUUUAUAAUUCUAGAAAUCAAAUCUAACCUGUAAGUUUGAAAGCCAAAUAGUUCGAAUUCGAAUACUUAAAUAUAUGACCUACAAUAGUUAUUCAAUGAUUCUUAUUCUUUGAAAUAUAAUUUUUAUUUUCACCCUAUAAAUUUAGGUAAAAUAUUUUUUUACCAAAAUUGAGACUGUCAUUAUUUUAAAAUUUACUUUGGUUUAAACUUUUUUAUUUGUAUGGAAAAUUAGUGAUAGUCUGCUUACUUUAUUUUUCCAGUGAAAUGGAGUAUACUGCUUCUAUUGCUUGUCGCUAUAGCUUUAGUAACAAAAGACUAUACCAAUAGGAUUUAGUCCUCAUCACUCCAUACUCUAUAUACAGGGUGAUUCUCAAAUUUUGGGGAUCACAGACAAUUAGUAAAAUAAAUUUACUAAACAAAUUGAAAACUCUAUGUUUAUGUAUUUUAAGUUUAAAAUUUUAUGAGGUAUAUACUCUACGUCCAAAACGGUUCUGUCCAUGUGACUAUUCAGUGGAGGAGCUUGUUUAAAUUUGAUCUGUUUUCACCUUAAAACUUUGAUAUUCUACCAUUCUUUGAUAGAUAAAUCCGAAAGCGAAAACCAUAAAAAUCACUAAAACUAAUCUUCUAUGGUCUAAUAUUUCUUCAAGUCAAUAUAAUAUUUUAAAUAGUGAUGCUUCAAUGAGCAAAAUUAUAUCUCAAUCGAUUAACCUAAUCCAUCGACUCGACUAAAACUAAAACAUGCUUGAGAACAUCAUAGUUUUUUUUUUGCUAAAAUGUUAACAUCAUAGUUGACAAAGGGUUUGCAUAUUAUAAAGUAGGUUUGCAUAUAAUAGAGUUCAAACGUCACACUAAGUGAAAAGAACAUUUAUUGAUCAUUUGGCUAAUCAGGUUGAUUCAGCAGACACUAAUCAAUGCAAAUUUAACUGAUAAAUUUCCUGAAAGAGUUCAAUGUUAACAUGAGAAAUUGUAACGUUAGUAAGACUUAACGUAAAUAACAUGAAAGGUUUGUUAUAACUUAUACCAUUCACUGAGGUCACAAAAGAAGAAAACAAAUAGGUAAAAAUAUGUUAACAUGAAAGGUAUGCUAUAACUUCUUAAAUUAUUAGUAUCUUAUAUGAAAUUUAAUAUAUUUUUGUUGAAUAUAAUUAGUUUUUUUUAUGAAAGAAUAUAAUUAGUUUCUUAUUUGGAAAUGGGGGAACAAUUAUUUUUUUAUUACAACUUGAUAAGUAAUGGUCAAGUAAAUAUUCAUCUGAACUUUACUCCGUAACCGUAAAUAAUAAAAACUAUAUAAUCUCACCAUAUAUAGAAACACAACAUGCAUGUCAUUUGGUCUCUUAUUGUUAUUGCUCACUUGUGACGUUGCUAUUUGUUGUGCAAGUCGAAAACAUAAUAUCUACUACACUAUACUCAUGAGGAAAAUGAUUCAAGAAAAGCGAAUAGCAGUAUAAGGUUCAGACUACACUCAAAAACUCAUCGAGAAGAAGUUAAACACACACAGUUCAUGAAUCAUAAAGUAGAACAGAACAUAAGAGUUAUUUUAACCAAACAACCUAUAAGUACUUAUGACAUCAAAAUCAUAUUCAAAAGCUUGAAGCUUUUUUUAAGACUUUAGUUGCUCCUUUCCCUUGUAGAGAGUUGAAAUUGAAACAUCAGAAACCUUGACAACCUUGUACCUAACUCCAGGAAUAUCUCCCACAACAUGACCCUCAGAAAUAAAGAACUCGUCCUGCAGACAUUAACAAAAGAUGAUUCAACAUUUCACAAAACUAAUCCACGUUUAGUAAAUUGGUCACAGCAUAACCUUCUUUCCGUUCUUGAUAAGUUGUACUCUAGCACACUUACGGAUGACAGAGUUAGGCUGCUUAACCUCGAUUCCGUUGCAUAUUCGAACACUAAGACUCACGCAUCAACACCACUGUCCACACUAAAAUUAAGCAGAUAAAGAAGCAAAUUCAUAUAGCUCUUACGUUUUCUGAUGGACGAUUCCUUUUGCAUGAGAAGGACCCAACAAAAAGCUUUUUCCUUUCAUUUCCUAUGGUCAAUAGAAACGGAACAAAGAAAAUAAUCGUCUACCUGCCUGAACCCAUCUUUGUAUCUCUGUCCAUCUAACACUCGUUGUGCCUACAAAAUCACACAUGAGAUUAAAUGUCACAUCUAAGCACAAAUACAAAAUCUCAAAUCUUAUCCAUAUAUGAUGAAGUUUAUAAGUGAAUUAUACCUCACACAAAAGCAUAUCUUCUUCAGAAAACCAACAUCUUCACUUGAAAUCUGAGUUUAAAUAUGUAUAUCAUCUGUUAACAAAAGAUCCAUAACUGGAUUUAAGAAAAAACUCUUGUAGUUCUAACAAAAGAUCCAUAACGGAAACAGGUUAGCAUAAUCAUUUAUAUCAGUAUGAUUCAAACUGAUUGACCCACCUUCUUCACAAUCUCUCCGUCACGGGAAUUGAUUUUUUUACCGGAGAUUCUCGGAGGGUUGAAAACGGUGAUAGCUGUAACCUGGUAAGAACCUGGAUGAUGAUGAUUCAAUGGUGAAGUAGCUUCGACGGCGGCUGAGCUUAGAAUUCCGGUGGAUUGCAUGGCCAUAGAUGUAACUUCUUCAGAAUAGGUUUUGAUUUAGAUUAAGACAUAUAUAUUUAUAUAAGAGAAGGAUCAAGGGAGGUGAAAAGAAACAUUCAAGGAUUGUUUUAAGAACAUUAUUGAUUAAUGAUUGAGAAGGUUAUGCAAAAACAAAUCAAAUCGCAGAAGACGAAGUGGAAGAGUCAAGAGACUCGAAGCUUGAAACAACGAUACAUGUUUCUCUGUUUUUUCUCUUCAUGGGCUGGGUGGGGUGGGCCACACUGAUAAUUUUCAUAAACCCACACGAAAGUUCAAUCUAUAUCAGCAAUGGUGAUAUGGCAAAAUUAAACUUUCUCAUUGGUUGAUUAAAUUUGCCUACGUGGAUAGUUUAGAUGUUGAUCUUAUUCAACUUUUAGUAUUGUAUUGAUUUUGAAAAUUCUUAUUUUGUUACAUUAUGUUUGAAUGGACCAAAGUUGAUAGGAAAAAUCUAAAGAGAUCGUUGGACAUAAAAACACUGUGGAGCCUAAGCGGCCUAACAUUUAGUACGCGAAACCCACAUGGACUAACAUGUUACAUCUCCCUGCAACUAAUUAUAUAUGUAUAUUACAUAUAUAUAUACAAUUAUACACGCACAAUGUCUACAUUUAUCUGCAUUAUUUUACAAAAGAAUGGAGUGAGUUUUACAAAAUAUUUAUUAGGAAGAAGAGGUGGAAUAUUCAACACAUAUUUGCCUGCCUCAACCAAAUCCAAAGCUAUAGAAAUAAUUGCGAAAUACUAUUUUAAGAAACAAAUUCAAGUUUGAAGGAAAAGAGCCAAAUCAGUCUUAACAUAUUUUCUAUGUAGUUAAAGGUUAUAAUCGCAAUAUAUACCAUCUGAAAAUCAUUUACCCUGCUCAAAAAUAAGUAGAAUAUAGUUAUAUUGCUUAUCUUUAAUCAAUAUAAAAUGUGUUUGAUAAGUUCAUUAAAAUAAGUUCAUUAAAAUAGAGAAUGAAACAACCAUACUAGUCCAAUUAACCAUUGUGAUGUGAAACGUAGCCAAGCAAUGCUUUAACAAUCAUACUUUGGUGUCCCCAUGAAGGACCAUAAAUAAAUAAAUAAUUAGUAUGAAAAUGUUGCUUGACAUGUUUCUCUCAUCAAGCCAUGUCAUAAUCUAUUUUAAAUGUGAAAAAUAGGAAAUUUUGAAAUUAAAAAGAUGGCUUAAGAUGUUCAUUAUCCCUUCUAUUAUUUCAAAUAAGUAAAUUUUAUUUAUUUGUUUUCUUUUUAGCUUAUGUAGCAUAAGUUCUAAAAUGUCCAUUUGUAAAUUUUAAACUAGAAGGUAAACUAUAAUCUAUUAAUAAGUCCGAACUUCUCCCUAACUUAAACUUUGUAACAGUAAUUUUGGAAGGUAUGUUGCGUUGGGAAUGUGAAUCACAACACCAUUGAUUUUGGAGAAGAAAACAUGGUUAAGUUGACUAAAAUUUAUAAUCAAUGGGAAUUAAUUAGUCAUUUUCCCUAAUUUGUUGAUACUUUUGUAUGUUAUGUAAAUAAUGCACACACAAAGGACGUAAUUAAGUACAUUUUGUCCCCGUGGUAAUCAUGAUUAAGAAUCUAAUUAAGGAGGCAUAAUCCGAGAUCUUAAGCAACCACAUGGGACAUGCAUGCCGUUUAGCAUCAAGUGUACAAAAUCUCAAGUUUCCGAAACAGAGGAGUUAAAUUAGGAAGAAGACGAACUUAUCAUGACUACUUUUUUUUGAGUAAUCAGUUUCAAGGUCGAAGGAAGUCCACGCUUGAUCCUUUUUCGAUGUAAUGCUUCAGUAAUUAGAUUCAGCGAACAUACACAAAUGAUCUAUAUUCUUCUUUUUUUUAAAGAUGAUCAGCUAUGAACUUUCUAGAUUAUUCACUAGCUCUAGUUCUUAAUACUAACACAAUGUGAAAAUUUAGUAAAUAGUAAUGGAAAUGAAUAUAGAAAGUCAAUGUCAUCACAUGGUAUUGCCUUUUAGCGACAUGCACAUAAAGGGCCACAUUGUUAGCUCAACAUGGAACACUUCUCUUAAAUCCCACUUCAACUUCAAUAGCAGCUUUGGGAACACACAGCUUUUUCAUAUCUUUCUCUAUUUAAAAUCAAAACUCUCCUCCGUUAUUCAACAUAUAUAUGUAUAUAUAUAAUAACCUCAAUUAUCAAUAUUUUUACUAGUUUUUUGUUUUCAAACAAAUGAUAUUUAAAAUUGACAGUGAUAAUUUACUGUAACUUAGCUAUGGCUUUCUGUUAGAGAUAACUAAACAUGUUGCAAUCUGGAUAAUACAAGUAAUUAGUGAUAUUUUCAUAGAUAAAUGUCUAUCAGAAAAACACUCAUAUAUUUUGUAAGAGAUAAAUAUGUCACUAUUAUACCACUAUAAGCAUAAACUAUUGCAUGGUACAAGUUAGCAAGAAAAAAUGAUUACUGAUCUUAAUAUUACAUAUCCAUUUCACAUCUACCCUCUAGGUACAUGUACACGAGAUCAAAGUUUUCUAUAAAUUAUUAUUACAAACGAUUUCGGUUAGAGGUUAUCAAAUCUAUUUCUCUCAUAUUACAUCAUUGUCUAGGCUUAUUUCUCUCUUCUCUCUCAAUCCCUCCCCUGUGGUCCUCGACCUAUUUAAGUCCCUCUUAUCACUUUCUCAGUUUCUUUAUAUCUCUAAGUGUCUUUACACAAUACUUCCUUACAUUUCAGUUUUCUUCUCUUUCUGCUUCCACACCUUCAACAAAAUAUAAAACUCGUGGAAUAAACAUAAACCUUCUAUAUCUACUGGCUAUAUAGACUCUUAUUUUUCUUCAUAAACUUAACUCCCUUAUUAAGUAUUAUAACCUUUUUAUCUCUUGCUACUCCUCCCCAUCUCUUCUCUAUUGUCCAAUCCGGAGAAAGAGAUAAAGUACGCAGCUUAAGUUUCACUUUCUUGCGACAUAAGUAGUGUUACAACUAAGCAACAAGUAAAAUCCUACAAAGAAUGUCUAACAGAAGAUCAAGACAAUCUUCAAGUGCUCUGAGGAUCUCCGAUGACCAGAUGAUCGACCUCGUAAGUAAGCUCCGUGUUCUUUUGCCUGAGAUUCGUGAACGACGCCGUUCUGACAAGGUAAAAUACAUAACAUCAAUUUCGUCGAGACGUUUACGUCUUAGGGUACUUUUUUUAUAUAGUUCAGUUUUUUCCCCUUUUAAAAAGGAAGAAAAAUAACUUUUUUCGUGAAAAAGAAGAUAGAACACAAAUUUAUCAAACUAAACGUCGAAACUUUUGACUCCUGACAGCGUAUUUGUUUUCUAUUUUGACCACAUGGAAACGUCUAAAAACUCAUGUUUGCGUGAUGUCCGUACAUGUAUGUGGUCUUGAUUAUGUUUGCAAAUAAUAUUAAAUAUUAGGUGUCAGCAUCGAAGGUACUACAAGAGACAUGCAACUACAUAAGAAAGCUGCAUAGAGAAGUUGACAAUCUCAGUGACCGUUUGUCGCAGCUCCUCGACUCAGUUGAUGAAGAUAGCCAAGAAGCUGCCGUCAUUAGAAGCUUGCUUAUGUAACCUUCCAAUAUAGUGAUUUAUUAUAAUAGAAAAUAUUAAUUUAUAUGUAAUAUGUUGAUCGUCCUUAAUAUACUAUCAAGCGACGUGUUUUUAAUGAGCUUCCGAAUUUCGGUCCAGCAGUUACAUUUGAUUAUAGUCUGAUUAUGUUCUGUGCUUACAAAAUAUCGAUCAUUGUGGUGUCUGAACUCGAUUGUGUCAGUCAAAAGAUAGAAGAAAAUGCAGAAUGAAUAAAUAAUGAAUAAUCCAUUGUACUAUUUUUAUUCCUAAUGGAUAAAUUGAUCUCUUAUCAAAAUACUUGAAAGUUUUAAAAUUCAUUUCUAACAAAUACUCCACAUGUUCUUAAAAGAUCCAUAUUCUACAUUUUUCACACAUUUUAAUAAAACGCACUUAAUUUGUAUAUUUUUUUGUGUUUAUCUUUUUUACAAUUUUAAGUCAAUAAAAGAUCAAUUAGUGCAAUUAAAAUUUUUAAAGUUUGCAAUUAGUUAAUAAAACAUGCAUUGAAAAUGUAAAAAAUGAAUUUUUUAGAAACAAAUUUUUUUUCUAGAAUAUCUAUCUUUAAGGAACGGAUGGAGUAUUUAUACCUUAUCCCUUUAAUAUAAAAUAUUUACUAAUAUUUAUUAUUUAUUGGGUAUGCACCGGCUCAUAAUUUAUUGCAUUCUAUAAAUGCACAUGACGUUGACGAAGUAAUGAGGGGUAUCUACAUUUUAACGUCCGACAAAUCUAUUUGGAAAAACUUUGGUUUUGUGGGUAUGAGAAAUGUCCCAUGACGAAAUAUCAGUAUGCCGAGAGUAAUAUUACUUUGGUUUCAAAAAAAAAUUAACAAUCAAGUAAAUUUCAUCCCCGCACUUUUCACACAAUAACAUUGUCAUCGUUAAACUUUGGUUACUUUAUUUUAAUGCAUCAAAUUUAGUAAAAAAACAUCGUCAUCGUCAUGUCUCUUUGCUGCCACCGGUAGGUUGUUCUGUUAAUGUAUGAGGCUCAACUAGUCUAUAAAGUUUUGCCUUUAGAUUGAUUGUCAUAGCAAUACUUCACAUUGUGCAGUUUGUAGCUUUUCAGAGACAAUAGAAGAAUAAAAAUCGAUUUCCUGCGUCAACGAAACGAACAAGAGUUGACGCAGAAUGUUGACGCUGCCGCUGCCGCCGGUACCAGCGGCAACCAAACGAACAGCCCUUAUAUAUGAAUCUAUGAUACUACAUUAAUUCAAAGAUUUGAUGAGAAAGGGGUGGAGGAAAAACCUUUAAAAGAAUAAAAACAAAUAUACUUGUUUAAGCGAUUUCCAGAUAAGGUUUACAAUAUCACAAUGUAAACUGACCUAUAUUUCAUAAAAAUAAUAUAUUUUCCUAUAAAAUGUAAAGAUCAAUGCUAUAAAUAUACACAAAAUUACUACUGAGUAUUACCGAUUGGGAAUGAGAUUGUUUGGAGGGCCUAUAAGACUUGAAGGUUCUGAAGUCACCGCCAUAAUUUGAUCCAAAUUAUAAUAACCAUCAUUUUGGUUGCUUGUCAUAUGUUCUCUGUUUAACAAAGAACAGAGGUAAUCUAAACCAUUCAUAUGAAAACGAUUAGUAAUUAAAUAUAUAUAUAUAUAUAUAUAUGUUAAAUUAACAUGGAAUUAGAUUGCAUACCUUGUUGAGAGGGUAUGAGCUUGAAAACACUGUUGUUGAUGCUGCAGAUAAACCUAUAAAUUUGUUUAUUAUAAUAUAAAUUUAAACAUACGUAUUGGUUGUUAGUUAAAAAAAACAUUGGUCAUGGUUAAAGAAAAUAAAAGAAUUGUUCUUAAUAUAUAUCUUUACAAAAACAGAUGUGGCAUACCAAGUUUUGAGAAGUUGUUGUUAUAUUUGUAACGAUUAUAAACAGAAAGUUAUUAUCGCUAGAGAAACGGUGUAAUUGCUGAGGAAAAGGUGCACCAAAUGGAGCGGCAUUUUCUUGUUGUAUCCUGCACCAGUCAAUAAUAUAUUAUGAGUUUACAUAAUCAACUAUGAGAUUUCUAUUAUUAUAAAAAUUGUAACUGAUAAAUUAACUUCAUACAUAAAAGGUAUUGGAUAUUAGUGAACCCAAGAAUAAGUCAAUAAGAGUUACUCUUGGGUCCACCCCCUAGGGUGAACCUCUAGGUUCACCAACCAAUAAGAUUUCAUUAUUUCAAAUUCGAUAUCUUUUAGAAAAGGAAACAAAAUAUUGUCAAGAUAUAUUAUGUUUUUAAAAUAAAAAGGUUAAAAAAAUUAGAAAAAAAAUAAUAGUUAGAGAAAAACGAAUUUAAAAAAAAAAUAUUUUUAUCGUUGUCAGCAAAACACUAUACCCUAAAUCCUAAUCCCUAAAUCCUAAAUCAUAAAACCUAUAAACCCUUGGGCAAACUCCAAACCCUUGGAUAAUUCAUACUCUAAAUCAAAAACACUAAAUCUUAAAACCCUAAACCCUUGAGUGUUUAGUGUUUUUGAUUUGAAGUUUAGGAUUUAUCCAAGGGUUUAAGGUUUACCCAAGGGUUUAGGAUUUAGGGUUUAGGGAUUAGGGAUUAGGAUUUAGAGUUUAGUAUUUUGUUGAGAAUGUUAAAAUUUUUUUUUUUUAAUUACUACUUUUUAAAUUUAUUUAUUUUAACCUUUUUAUUUUAAAAAUAUAAUAUAACUUAUAACUUGAGAAAAUAUUUUGUUUCCUUUUUUAAAAGAUUUCGAAUAUAAAAUAAAAUAAUCCUAUUGGUUGGUGAACCUAGAGGUUCACCCUAGGGAGUGAACCCAAGAAUAAAUCUUGGAAUAACUUGCUCUUGAUGAUAGUUUGGAAACUCAGGAGAAUUAGCCAUAGUUGGAUGUGCAAAUCCGUUGUUUCCUUGCUCGAGGUUUUGACCAACCACUCUUUGGUUCUGAAAAUUAUUAGACAAAAGACUUAAUAUAUUAUAGUUAUGAAAUUGAAAUCCUCCCAAAGAUUGUUAUAUACCAUUGUGAAAACACUUGACUCCUGAAUUCAACAUGGACUGACUGAAGGAACGUUGUUGUUCACUUGAAUGUCCGUUAAAACGAGUUUCUCGUAAGAAAGAGUCAUGUGAAUCGACUUGUUCUUCAUGAUAAUUAUGGGCUUGGUGUUGGUCCUAACAUGACCAAACAGUUGGGUUAUAAGCACACUAUCACCAUCAAUAGCGCUAUUAGCUUAGAUUAUGGUCCAUGUCAAAGUGUAGUAAUAACUGGAUUUAAUGCUAGUUAAUUAGAUUUGUGAUUAUUUAACUGUUGAAAACAUACUAAGGAGAUCAUUUUCAUUCAUCAUAUACACAUGGAUCAAUCCAAUAAACUAUUCAUGCGUCUUUCCCUGCAUUCAAUAAAUUUGGAAAUUAUUCUGCAUUUCAUUUAUAUCCAACGAUUUUAUCCUUGAUAAAUUAGUACACAAUAUUAUUUAAAAAUUCAAUUGUGGAAGAGAAAGCGAAGAAUAUACCAUUAAUGGAAGAUAUUGGUUGGGUGAAUCGGAGAAAUUUAUAAGAUUCAACAUUGGCGAUUCAUCAUCAAGCGUAAUGUCAUCAGAAAACAUGUUUACUGUACAUCUUGAUUAGAAUACGAUAUCCUUAUAUAUCAAAAUGAGUGGUUGAAAAAGCUAAUGUAGCAAAGUUAAAAAAUAUUUAUUUUUACUGUAAAAUAUCAAAUAGAAAAUAACUAAUAUAUUACAAUUAUACCAUUAAAGUAAUAAAUUAUAUAUUUCUAAAUAAUAAUGAAAAUUAAAUAGACCAAAAAAAUAAUUUGAAAUUAUUGUUCACUGUCCUAAAAUAUUGACAAAAACUUCAAAUACAUAAAUUAUUAUUUGUAACAUAAUAAUACAUAUUUUAUUAUUUUAAUAUAAAAUUAUAGUUUGCAAACAAAAGCAACUUAAAUAAUUGUUGCAAGCAUAAGAAAUGCUCAUAAUAUUUUUUAAUGGAAAAUAGCUAUUUACAAUAUAUGCUAAUGUAGCAAAGUUAAAAAAUAUUUAUUUUUACUGUAAAAUAUCAAAUAGAAAAUAACUAAUAUAUUACAAUUAUACCAUUAAAGUAAUAAAUUAUAUAUUUCUAAAUAAUAAUGAAAAUUAAAUAGACCAAAAAAAUAAUUUGAAAUUAUUGUUCACUGUCCUAAAAUAUUGACAAAAACUUCAAAUACAUAAAUUAUUAUUUGUAACAUAAUAAUACAUAUUUUAUUAUUUUAAUAUAAAAUUAUAGUUUGCAAACAAAAGCAACUUAAAUAAUUGUUGCAAGCAUAAGAAAUGCUCAUAAUAUUUUUUAAUGGAAAAUAGCUAUUUACAAUAUAUAUAUAUACUAUACUAAAAGGGGGAUAUAAGCUCCUCUUAGAGUGUCCACAUAGGCACAAAAAAUCGUCCAAUCAGAGAAUCCGAAGUUGCCACGUCAUCUCAUUUAUUUUUUCGUAAAAAAUUAAAAACAAUGCAAAGGAAAUGAUCGAACCUGGGUUAGUAUGACAUAAAUAUAGGGCACAUACUACUAAGCCAUUGAAACUUUCUUGGACACAUAUACAAGAAUCAUUAAAUAUGUAAUCACAAACUUUUAUGUAUAUUUACAAUAAUAUGAAUUCAACUUUCAAGACUCCGAUACUUUGUUUUAUAAAAAAAAAUAAGUAAGUGACUAAGCUAAUAUAUUCUUUGAAAGUGUGAGAACAUUGACAAAUAUGAAAAAUCAUUGUUUUCGUGACAAAGUUAAGAAUUUUGUAAAAGUAAGUUUAACAUAUAAAUUUUCGUGACAAAUAUGAAUAAGCAUAGAUUUUUGUACAAUUUUGACAAAACAACUCAAAACAUAGUUCUCUAAUGUCUUAAUAAAAUAUUAUUUAAGGGUGCAAUAAUUAAAUAUAUCAAUUCAAUAAAUUUUGUAAUAUAUAGACAAAACAAUAACACAACAAAUUUUGAAACAUUUGUUUAACCUAUCGAUUUNNNNNNNNNNNNNNNNNNNNNNNNNNNNNNNNNNNNNNNNNNNNNNNNNNNNNNNNNNNNNNNNNNNNNNNNNNNNNNNNNNNNNNNNNNNNNNNNNNNNNNNNNNNNNNNNNNNNNNNNNNNNNNNNNNNNNNNNNNNNNNNNNNNNNNNNNNNNNNNNNNNNNNNNNNNNNNNNNNNNUUCAGAGCAGUUAUUCCACAAAGAGAUCGUAUGAGAUAUUGUUUUGAUAUUCAGAUUUGUUUCUUGACUGUUAAGAAGAUUGAUAACUGUAAAAAUGUCUCAUUCGAAUAUUAUAUGUCUAUAACCGAAUCCCCAACAUGAGGCAACUUUGUUUAAAAAGUAAAUAAUUUCAUUUUUCUUAUAUUAUAUAAUAAAUAUAUAUUAUUUACUAAUAAUAAAAAUAUAGUUAUUCAUUUAUUACAAAUAUCUAUGCAAAUAUGUGAAUCAAGUACAACAAUCAAACAACAUAAUGAUUUCCACAAAAAAAAUUUUAAAAAUAUAUUUAUGUUAGGUAGUCUUAUUUUAUAUUAUUUAAAUAAUGUAAUACAAUAUUAUACAUUAUUUUUUAGAAUUGAGAAAUACAUAUAUAUCAAUUAGACAAAUUAAGCGAUAAUUAGACAAAUUUGAUUUUUUUUGUCAGCCAAAAGUUUAUUAUUAAUUAGCAUCAGUUAUUUCAAGAUGUUUAAGAAAUGAUGGACAAAAAAAAUAUGAUGGAUAUAAAUGAUAUAUGAACUAUGAAUAGUAUUUUGUAAAGCUGACUUAGAUAACACAUCUGCACAUCCAUUUACAGUCCUUUUUGAUAUCUAAAUUCAAUUUCUUCAGAGCAGUUAUUCCACAAAGAGAUCGUAUGAGAUAUUGUUUUGAUAUUCAGGUUUGUUUCUUGACUGUUAAGAAGAUUGAUAACUGUAAAAAUGUAUCAUUCCAAUAUGAUAUGUCUAUAACCGAGUCCCCAACAUGAGAUAAGUUUGUUUUAAAAGUAAACAAUUUUAUUUUUCUUAUAUUAUAUAAUAAAUAUAUAUUAUUUACUGAUAAUAAAAAUAUAGUUAUUCAUCUAUCACAAAUAACUAUGCACAUAUGUGAAUCAAGUACAAUAAUUAAACAACAUAAUGAUUUCCAUAAAGAAAAUUUAAAAAAUAUAUUUAUGUUAUGUAGUCUUAUUUUAUAUUCUUUAAAUAAUGUAAUAUAAUAUUAUACAUUAUUUUUUUAGAAUUGAGAAAUACAUAUAAUAUCUUAUCCGCGCGUAGCGCGGUUAAAAAAUCUAGUAUAGUUAAAGUUUGCUGAAAAACAGUUCAGUAAAGGCAGAUGAUAUAUAUAUAUAUUAAACACCACAAUGGACAUGGUUUAAAGGCAGAUGAUUAAGGAAGCAAUAUACAGAUUUAAGAGACGAUGGAAGAUUACCUAUUACCUAUGUAACCAAAUUAUUUAUGACAGUAAUUUUUGAAACUGCUGUUAUCAGUUUUUUUAGGUAUGGACAUGCACAACGAUUAGUCUUUUCUUCCGUUUUUCAAAAUAAAAUAUUAAACAAAAAUAAAAAUAUGAAAAAUUAAAAAAGAGAAGUAAGUGGACUGUAUUUUCUCUGAGACUUGAUAAGAGACUAGAGUCUCUUUAUAAGAAGCUCUGGACACAACUGUAAUUUUUAAAACUGUUGUUAUCAGUUUUUUUAGGCAUUUAUACGCAUAACGGUUAGUCUUUUCUUCUGUUUUUUAUAAUAAAAUAGUAAACAAAAAUAAAACAAGAAAAAUUAGAAAAGAGAAGUAAGAGGACUGUACUUUUUAAAUGUCAAAAUAAGAGAGUUUUUUUUAAAACUGAUUUAUUAUGAUAUUAUAAUUAUACAAAAAAAUAAAAAAAUAAGAGAGUUAUGAGAUUUUUUUUUUUUUUUUGAAACAGAUGAUGAUACACCCAUGGUCCUAAAAAUUUGUCUAGUUAAUUCAUAACGGGCUAAGUUGUAGACGGUCUGGGCCGAGUAGAAAAGCUAAUUAAUUAACAUUCCAAUUAAAGUACAAGCUAAAGAAAGCAAAACACACUCACCAAAAACAAGAAAAGACUUGAGCACCUAAGCUUAAACUGAACUAGAUUUGUUCAAAAAAAAAAAAAAACUGAACUAGCAAGACGAAUGGCAAACCGCAGUGGUCAAACUAAUCUCCAGCUCGCACUAAGAGACCUUGGCUAAUCCAUGAGGCCGGACUCGGUAGAAAUCUGCUUGCUCAGAGCUCGUCUCCAUGUACCUUUGAGUUAUCAAAAAUACUAGGAUAAACGAAUCAUGUCUGAAAUAUUCAAAAUUCCGUUAUAUGAUUAAAUUUUUCAUCUUGGACCUGACUACUGAAAUCAGCCUUCUGCUUGAUCCUCGGAUCUUCACAACUUAACAAUCUACCUUAAACAAACAUACCUACUUUUUGUUUUCAACUAUGCUUUAUGAAUGAUGACUAUUAUUCAAACAUAGCAUAAGAGUUUUGACAUAUUGACAAAAGAAAAAGCACAAGAACUUGACUUUUGAAAGAUUCUUAUUUUUGUCCGGUCAUAUUUUGUAAGCUGACUUUUCUUCCUCUACUCCCACUACCUUUUUCAAAUAUAUGAGUCCAACGACAUGUAAAGCAUGAAUGAAAUUUCAAAGAAUAAACAACAAAUUUUUUUUUGGUCAACAGAAUAAACAACAAUUUACACUUGAAAUAUAACUCUUUUCUUCUUUUUUCACAAUAAAAAACCUCUUUAUGUACAACAAAAUCUGUAGAGGCAAGAAAACCCACAAGCGACUCAAAACUCCAAUGUAGUAAAACAAACAAAAACAAGACUAAUGUUUUCCCUUUUUGUGUAUGUUCAAACACAACAAAGAGGACAUCUAAUGAGUCCAUUCUCAUUACAAUCAGGACAUGUUUGAAACCCAUACUCUCUUCCUCCCUUUACACUCUCAUCUUCAUCAUCUUCAUCAUCUUCUUCAUCGUCUUCAUCUUCAUAGUACACUUUGCAACUCCCUGAACAUGUCUCACAAGGCACAAACCUUACAUCUCCACAAGCCUCACAUUCUAGCCCAUUACCAUCUCUGUUUUCUUCCACCCUCUCGCAUCCUCGUAGAAGCUUCUCAAGCUUCCCAUCUUCAUUCAACUUCCUAAUCUCCUCAGCUCCGCCGAGAUACUUCCUCCCCAAGAAAACUCUAGGCAAUGUGAUCCCAACACCAUUGCUAAAUUUAUCACCUAGCAGCUCCUUCAGCUCAUCUUUAAAACCCGAAUGCAUCGAUACAUCUCGCUCAUCCACUCUAAUCCCAAGGCUUUUCAGUAUAACUCUAACAUCACAGCUUUCUUCAUAUGUCUUCCUUAUACCUCUAAGGCUUGUGAAGUAGAGUAUCACUUUGUCUUUACCAACAGCUUCCUCCUCCUCUUCUUCUUCAUCAGAGAACUCAAACUGUGGGUUUAGUUUCAAAUCAUUAACCGAAAUGUGGAAAGGAUGAUUAGAAGGGAGUUCUUGGAGAGACUUCCUGAACGAAGAAAUGAUCUCAGGAUCAAAAUCGUCGAGCCCUUCUUCCUCCAUCUGAAGCCACAAUGGCUUUAGAUCACAAUUCGACUUGGUACGUUCACAAUCACCACCACGAGCAACUUCAAAGGAGAAGCUGCUAACGUGGUUUGGUGAACGAAGACCAUCUUCAAGCCCGUCCAUCAUCUCCCAAGUAUUGAUCGUCUCCGGCUCUCCCGGAGGCGUCACGAUAGGAGUCUUAGGCACAAUCUUGGGGAUCUUCUCGCUCAUCAUACUUGACCAUACUUUAGCUUCCAUGAGCUUAGCCUGCAUUUCCAAACUCGACCUCUCCUUGUCGGGCCUCGCUCUGACUUCCUUAGGACCAAACCCAUCUCCUGUUCCGUCGGCGACAAGCUUCCCGCUGAAGUCUAGCAAGUCUUUGUGGUCUUGUCCGAAAGAGUAGUCGCAGAGCUUGAGAGAUCCGAAGCUGGAGGAGCUGAGAGGGACCAUGUGGGGGCUAUCGUCGGAGCGUUGCGAUGGGUGGCGAACAGAUUUGCUUCGCUGAAUGUCUACCGGAGAAUAUCCUCUCCGGCAAUGGAUGCAUUUCUUGCGGUGGUGCUUCGAGCUCGCACAGCCCAUGAUGAUCGUUAAAACAGAGUUUUUUUUAAAAAAGAGAUCUUUUUUUUUUUUGGGAAAUGAAAAUUGAAAUAAUGAGAUUUGGAGACAAGGGUUUGGUGAAAUCAAUGAGAUUUAUCGAAAUUUGCGAAAUAAAAAGACGAAAGAGAGAUCGUAACGACUUACGAGCAAAGAAUGAUGAAAUAAAAACAGAGGACCAAAACAGAGGAUUAGAACAAAACAGAGGAACAAAACAGAGGAACAAAACAGAGGAUUUAUCAAAGCUAGCAGGAGGACAAAAUCAUCAUCAUCAUCAUCAUCGAGAUUCUUCGUAUUCAGCCUCGUCGUCUGGUUUCCAAAAUCUCUCUUUCCUGAAAAGUCGCAGAGAUAGAGAGAGGAGAAAGAAUGUCGCGUUUUAGAAAACGAUUCAAGAAUUAUUCUCAGAGAUGUUUGAUUAUUAUAUUUAUAAAGUCUACAGAAACUUCUUUUGCCAUUUGGUAGUUAUUUCUCUGCUUUGACUCCUUCUACCUUCUAGUCGUCGUCCCCUUUGAAGGUGCGUGAGGGAGGCUACUUUUCGGAUAGAACUUUUUUUAAACGAUUUCUUAAAAUAAGGAAUAAUAUCUACAGUUUUUUAUGGCCUUUUGUUUAAUUUCAUUGUCUUUCUUUUUUGUAUGGAGAAAUUAUUUUCUAUGAACUCUUAUUUAUUAGUUCAUACUACUAACCAAACAUGAUUUCAUUCUAUACAGAAUGAUAAUUUUACUAUUUUGAAAGAAUCAAAAGAAUUGUUGGUAAGCUUUACAUUGUUACUAAAACAAAUUAGUCUAUACUAAUAUAUAAAAAAUGUAAAGCUAUUUUUGAAAGGUUUUAAGAAAAU
rnacentral:lncRNA from 1 species